CGCUCUUGCUAUCCUUUUGCAUUCUUCAUCAUCUUCCACUCACCAGAAACACAAUGGCUACCAACAAAGGCGGCAAGGGAAAGCAUGGCCAAGGUGAGGGAAAGCAAAAGCGCCCUCCGACUCCUCCGUCGGAGGACUUCGCUGUCUCGGAGUUCUUGGACGAGCACUUCUCUCAGGGCGACGACUCUCCACUGCCAACUCCCCUCUCGCUGUCGUCCGAUUACUCGAACGCUCGAUGGGGUUGUCGGUGGCGGAGAGGGCCUACAUCUGAUCCGUCGAGCGAUCAGGGGGAAGACAUGUAGGAUGAGGACUCCUCGGAGGACUUCAAGGGGGUGGACUCUGAGGAGGACUCCAAUGAGGAGGACAUCAGUGGCAGUGAUGGAGCAGCUACGAGGGCGGCGAUGGGAGCGGCUACGAGGGUGGCGAUGAGGGCGGCAACAUCGGCAAUGGAGGCAGCGCGGGCGGUGGUGGUGCGGACGACGGCGGUGAUAGUGGUUACGACGACGACGAUGAGAGCGGCGGCGACAGCGACAAUGUCGGUGGCAGGGCACCACCAGCUUUAAUAUUAGUAUAGUGUAGUAGUAGGUAUGUGUAAGUAGUGGUAGUGGUAGGGUGAGGGAUGAUAGGGUUGGUUCAUAAUGAGCCCACCCUUUCCCUUUGUAAUGUACUCUUUCUAAUAAAUGAAAUCCUUUGUUCAUGUGUUUGAUUUAGCGCUUAAUACUCUGCCCGACUUAUGCUUUGCCCAAAAUCUUCGAUAGAGUGAGCCCAAUUGAUAAUUCUGAUUGACUAGUUCUGCUGAUGACUUCGUAUGAUAGGUCUGACUGACAUGUCCAUCCAACUUACUUGUCUCGGUUCAGUUCUAGUCUAGGUUACUUUGUCUGCCUCACUGCGCCCGACUUAGCGCGCGUGUAUACAUCCUUGCUGGCAGUUUCCUGGCAGCGAACCCUAACUCUUAUUUUACCGCCGCAGACAAUUCCCUGAAACUCCUAUUCACCCUCGCGAUUGCACUUGAUUCUGCUCAUCUGCAAGUCCUGAUGGCGCCUAUGAAGAAGAAGCAAGGAGCUACUGCACCUGUCAUUCCUCCAAUUGACCCUAACAACCAAUUUCCAUUCUGCGAUAACUAUGCCUCUGUCGUUUCUGAAUCCGAUUUGCUUUAGUUGGUUGAAAUCGAGGUUCUGCUAUAGAAGGAGAUGUACUCUUGGCGGGGAUGGCAGGGGAUCACCGUCUCAACAGAGGAUACCCACGAGUCAUUAGUUUUUGUUCCCUUCUUGAUCUGAGGUCUAGGUCUGCCAGUUUCUCCCUUCUUCCAUGGCCUUCUCGAUUUCUACUCCCUCAACUUAACCCAUCUGAAUACCAAUUAUGUACUCCAAAUUUCUAUCUUCGUCCAUCUCUGUUAGGCCUUUCUGGGGAUUAAUCUCCACUUUGGGUUAUGGAAAUAUUUGUACCACUGCAAGCCUGGUAUGGCCAGGGGCAGCACCGGUUGGUUGGCGUUGCUAGCCUUGAGCUUCGUCGUGGUAGGAAAACUGAGUAUGUUGAUAUUAUAUUGAAGGAUAGCAUCAAGGGAUGGCGCUUCGAGUGGUUCAAUAUGGAAAACCACAACAAGUCUCUACCUGCUUGCUCUGGGAGACAGCCCGAUGUUCGAGUGUCGAGUUGAAUAAAGGCCCCAAUUGACUCGGAGGUUGCUGAAGCCAAGAUUCUGCUUGAUGAAAUAGCUGUUUGAAAGACAAUGGUUUGACUGUCGAGGCCGUUGUCAUCGAUUUUGUCUUCAAGAAUAUUCAGCCUUUGAAGGAUAGGGUUUAUCCGGCCUAUCUAUAUACUAGGGUGAACGACCCCUCCCGAGUAACAAAUAAGCACCUAUCUGAGGCGAAUGUUUUGAAACGGGUUGAAAUGAUGUUGAGAGGUGCCGUUGCAUAUGUCGGUGCUCCUUGCUCUUACUCUGCCUGGAACAUUUCCCCGAUGGUAAGUUUCAACUGUCUGUAUUUUGUUCUGCACAAUUGUUAUGUGCCCUGUUCUCAUUGUGGGAUUUUGUUGCUGUAGAGUUCUUUUUCUAAGUUUGUGUCCAAUCCACCCAUCCGAGGGGAGGAUGGGUGUCCAGGCCAUAGAAUGCGGUCUGCUCCCGAUGAAGUAGAUGCCAUACUUACUGCACACAAGAGCCUGCAUGAAGAAGAAAAAUAGAGCCACAUCCUGAUGCAAGCUACUGCUGACGAAUCUGAGAUUGAUGUUGUCCUCGGUAUGUUGGUUAGAGAGUCGUCUGAGUUUGCACGAGUUGAGUCGGGGAGCAGGGCUCCCGAUUAGUUGGGCGCAGGGGAACAAGAGUUAGCAGUCCUAAGGGCGCACGUCACAAACGGACAUGCCAAACAGAGUCUUAGACCAAUUCUAUCGAGGUAAAGAAGAAGAAAGGGCUUCGUCGUUCUUCGGAUCUGGAGCCAAUGACUACCCUUGUCACGCCGAACCCUGAUGAUAGUACAGUGAAUGCUGAUAUGUGUCACACCCGGUUUUGGAAGGUAAACCGAAUGCGAACCAUGUACGUGCCAGGAUCAGAACUCACAUACACAGCGAUUACAUAAUUGGGCAUCAUCACAUAAUGCUCGAAAUAAAUAGCGGAAAGGUACUUUAGUUACAUCAAGAUGUCCAAGACAUCCACAUAGUUUAAUACAUAUCCAUAGUGUUCAACAUUAAUAUCAAAGUGCAGAGAAAUGAAACGUAGAAGAUAAGCCUACAUAGGCAGCUGACUGGGGUUUGCCACUAAAAUAAACUAGAACUCAUCAUAGUCUUGGAACUCCUCAAAGUCCUCCAUGUUGCCAACAUCUCCUCCUGAGCACUGAGUACAGUGGGGACAACCUGGGGUGCGGUGGUUUGUAAAGCAAGGGUGAGUACACAUCAACGUACUUAGCAAAUGUCCCGUUUGGCUAAAGUGGACUAGCUGUAUGUGGAGUUAAGGUUAAGAAGUUGCUUUUAGUUGGUCAAGUUUUAUUACUAUAAGUAGAGCUAAAUUUUAGUAAUAAACCCAGUUAUUACCUAGAAGUACUCCCUCCAAAAAUUAAUACCAGAGAUCAAAUUUGUAAUCAUCAUUGUUAAUCAUCAUCAUAAAAGUAACCAAAGUUCUUCUAAUCAAAGAGGAUCCCAAGGCCGCUCAUAACCAUGAGCACGGCUGAUAUACCAGUUUGUAACAAUCUGCAGAGGUCACACACUUUACCCACAAGUCGUGAUUCCCUUUCUGCACGGGGUUCUAGCCUCCCCAUUGAUCACUACCAAGGUGACCUAGCUGGGUCUCACUACGCAGCCUUUAAAAAGAUUUCCCAGAGGUCAUAGUCGCCCGUUAGGUUUCUCCAGUUUGAUAAACACAGUACAUCACCCCAAAAGUAGGGUGACUAACAAAACCAAAUCGAGAACCUCUGCAACCAGCCUCGGCAGAGCAAGUACUAUGCCCGGACCCCAUUGACGGCCCUACGGCGAAGCCAACUACUCCUCUGUUUCCUCUAAUUAAUUAGCUAAGGGCGUCCCAUUCCACCCUCAUGGUUGCACUGUUAUCCCGAGUUGUCACUCCCCAAACAGGUCCUUACGGAGAGGUACUCAGGAAACAGCCUGAGCCCCCUAAAGUAAUCACAAGAACCUCAUCGGGAUAACAUCAUCGUAUCAUAAAUAAUCACAUCAUGUUCAUUGAUUAAGUUAAAGCAAUAGCAUAAUGCGAAUCAUGAUAACCCAAAACGUAAACAAGGAUAAGGUAAAUACAGACUAGUCAAUCCUUAAGUUUUAAAAAAUGUAAUGCGGGACAGUGAAUUAUAAAGUAAAUUAGGACAUGAUAGGUCUGAGGACACUUGCCUUCACCAGGUUGUUGCUCAGAGGGAUCUUUGGCAACACACUCAGGAACCACGGGCUGCACAUUGUCUAAAUAAAGCGAUCAUACAUUCAAUACAUUUGGAAAGUACAAAUGAACAGCACAUCAAACAUGUACAAACAUUGGAACACAUCUCAAAAGGUAUAGUAUUAAAUAAAGGAGAAUGAGAGCAAAUUAUAAAAUGAACUAAACUUAAUUAGGAGUUGAUUACUCUAAGCGUUUGGAACACAUCUCAAAAAGGUAAAAUAGUAAUUAAAUAAGGAAAGAGAUUAAAUUAUAAGAUGAACUAAUCUUAAUUAGGAAUUGAUUUUUCUUUAAGUGUUGUCCAUAAUUACAUAACCUAAUUCUAUUCAUUUUAUUUAAACCUAAAAGUUAAACCAGAGAUGAAUUCAUGUAGUACAUAUUAUUAAUCUCACAAGAUUAAAUAUACUUUAACUUCUAGGGAUUUCCUUUUAUUUAUUUCAUUAAAUGAAUAAAUCAACAUAUAUUUUAAUCUUAUAUUCUAGGUGUAAAUUUAAAGUUUACAGACUAUAGGUGAACAUAAUUUAUUUGGGUAGAUAAUAAUCUUAUGAACAUUUUGCAAUUUGAACCACUAAAUUUGGAGUUCAUAUGAAAAAGAUAUGAAAUGAACAAGUUUUGAAGUUUAAAAUAUGAAAUUAGGUCUAAUUCUGUAAUUAUUUAAAUGUACAGGGGGCUGUUUAAAAGAACACAGGGACCUGCACGAGAAAACCAGGGACGGCGGGUUUAUUUCUUAAAACCCGAGGGUCUCUUAAGCAAAACAUACACGCGAAGGGGUACGGCGUGAUCUCGACCAUCAGAUUAGAGAUCAACGGACAUGAUUAGAUCCCGCGGACGCACGCGCGGGCGCAAGCGCGCAGACGCGACUGACAGGUAGGGAUGGGGUGUCAGCGAACCAGGGCGGGCUGACCAGCCGGGCCCAGCUACAGGGGCGCGGGAGAGGGGGAGAGAGAAGAGCAGUCGGAUCUGGAUCGAAGGGUUGAGAUUAGAUCCGCUCUGCUAAAGUCUAAACCGCCCGAUCUCGGACGGACGCCCGAGAUCCAACGGCUGGCGGCCGGACGCGGGUGUGGUGGCGCCGCUCGGUCUCGCGGCGAGGACUCGCCGGAGACGAGGGGACUGGCCACGGCGAGGCUCUAGGGGCUUGGGGAAUUGCUCGAGCGCGCUCAGGUCGAUCUGGCAAACUCGACCAUGGGCGCAAAACCAGCACGGGGGCACCAGAGGACGCAGACCACGGUGGAAAGGUCCCGCGUCGGCGCAACUUACUCCUGUGAGCAAUUGCAUGAGCACUGGGGCGAUACAUGGUGAAACAAAGGCAUGGGAAGGUUGCUCACCUCGAGUGCGAACUUCGGGACGCUCGGGGAAUGGCGGGGGUGCGGUGGAGCCUCUGGUCGACGACAGCGGGCUCUAGCUGCGCAAGAAACGCUCCGGUGAGCACGGACCCGACAAAUCAGAUAGGGGAAGGGAAAACCAAAAGGUGUCUCGAGUAUCUAAUGGCAAGCCGGAACUCACCGAGGCAACGGACGGGGUGCGGGCUCGACGACGGUUGCAAAACAGAUGAUGGUCGAUGGUGAGCGGCAUCGGAUCUAUCUGGUCGCGUGCGUAGAGAGAGAGAGGGGGCGAGAGGGUUCGGAUGAGGGCGCAAGUGAGCGGGGGGAGGUGGGCGAGCCGGGCGCGGGGCUCAAAAGGGGCAAGGACGUGCGGAGGUGGCCGGAGAUCGUGUGGUCGUGGGCGCGUCCACGGCGGGGGAACGUGGGCAGGAGGUUGUGGACGAGCUAAUAGGUGGGGUUGGUGGGACAGAGAGAGAAGCGGGCGCGCGAGCGAGAGAAACAGCCGACAAGACUGGCCCACUGGGCAGCGGGAGGGAGAGAGGGAGAGAAGGGGCGCGAGAGCUGGCGCCGACAGGCGGGACCCGCCUAUCAGGCACCGAGGGCACGCGGGCACGGGCACGGGCACGGGCACGAGCGCGCGAGGCUGGGCUUGAUGGGCCGACUGGGCUGAAAUGGUUUUUUCUAUUUCCAGGGAAUUUCUAAUGCCUUUUACAUUUAUUUUCUCUAGGGUUUUCAAUUCAAAUUUAAACCAAGUUUUAAAUUCAAACCAAAUCAAACAUGUGCGACAAUUCAAAGAAUAUUUGGAACUCAACAUGAUGCAACAUUUGAUGACUCAUCUGUUUUGUCAAAAAAUAAAAUAAAUACUCCCUCACUAAUUAAGCUAACCCUAACCAAAAGAGAAAGAGAGAGAGAGAAACUAGAGAGAUAGAAACUAGAGUGAGAGAGAGAAGAGUAACACCUGAAUUUGGAUGAUAAUAAGAAAGAAAUUUUAUACCCCCAAAUUCAGGGUGGUACAGUCCUAUCCCCCUUAAAAGAAUCUCGCCCUCGAGAUUCAGGGCUGGCUAGCAAAGAGUUCAGGGUACUUGGCUCUCAGAUCAUCUUCUCUUUCCCAGGUUGCUUCUUCCUCUGAGUGAUGGCCCCAUUUGACUUUGCACAUCCUGAUGGUGUUCCUCCGAGUGACCCGAUCUGCUGUCUCUAGAAUUUGAGUUGGCUUCUCUCAGUAUGACCAUCUAUCUGCGGGUGAUAAGCUGAAUUGAAUUUCAAGUGUGUACCGAAAGAUUCAUGUAGCUGCUACAAAAAAUGAGAGGUAAACUGGGUGCCUCUGUCUGAUACUAUCUUCUUUGGAAUACCAUCCAAGCACACAAUCCGAGACAUGUAUAAUUCUGCCAUCACUGCACUGUUAUAGGUGGUCUUGACUGGUAUGAAAUGUGUCGCCUUUGUUAAAUGGUCCACUACUACCCAGAUGGAGUCAUAACCAGCCCGAGUGCGGGGUAGACCGACUAUAAAGUCCAUCCCAAUUUCAUCCCAUUUCCACUGAGGAAUCUACAACAAACCUGCGGGUCUCUGAUAUUCUGCCUUGAUCCUCUGACAACUGUCGCAUCUGACCACAUACUCUGCUAUAUCUCCUUUCAUACCAUACCACCAGGAUCUCUUCUUCAGGUCUUGGUACAUUUUCUCGCUACCAGGGUGUAUAGAAUAUGAUGUCUCAUGAGCUUCCUUGAGAAUCAGUUUCCGGAUCGAUUUGAUGUCGGGAAUGCACAACCUAUCCUUGAACCAUAUCACUCCUUCUGCAUCUUCACGGAAAUUCGGACCUUUCCCAUCUAUGAUUAGUUGCCGGAUCUCGUUGAUCUUCUUGUCAUCUUUCUGACCUUUCCUGAUGUCUUGCUCUAGAGUGGGUUCUAGCUCGACUGUCACUCCUUGAGUGUUGUUCAGAAAUCCGAGACUUAGCUUGUCAAAUUCCUUUGCUAGCUCGAACGACAUCGGGUGAGCGGCCAACAUAUUGACUUGAAUCUUUAUGCUAAGAGCAUCUGCAACCACAUUUGCUUUGUCUGGGUGAUAAUGGAUCUCCAGCUCAUAGUCUUUGAUCAAUUCUAGCCAUCUUUGCUGCCUCAAGUUUAACUCUGAUUGAGUGAAUAUGUACUUGAGGCUCUUGUGAUCCGUGUAGAUAUCACACUUUUGCCCAUGAAGAUAAUGUCUCCAGGUCUUCAGUGCAUGAACCACCGCUACUAGCUCUAGAUCAUGAGUGGGGUAAUUAUUCUCAUGAACCUUCAACUGUCGGGACGAGUAUGCCACUACUUUCCCUUCUUGCAUUAACACGCAUCCCAGUCCGGUGUAUGAAACAUCACAAUAUACUAAGAACGGCUUGUGAACAUCUGGCAGAACCAAUAUCGGUGCUGUUGUCAACUUCUGCUUCAACAUCUCAAAUGAUUCUUGGCACGCUGGGGUCUACUUAAACUCAACCUUCUUUGCUAGUAAGGCGGUCAUAGGUCUGGCAAUCUUGGAGAAACCUUCAAUGAAACGCCGAUAGUAGCCGACCAUUCCAAUGAAACUCUUGAUUCCUCGGACAUCGUUUGCUGCUUUCCAGUCCAGAAUUGCUGCUACCUUCUUUGGAUCCACAGCUAGUCCAUCUCGGUUUAUAAUAUGACCCAAGAACAGAACUUCGCUGAUCCAGAACUCACACUUGCUAACCUUGGCAUACAACUGGCAAUCUUGUAGCCUCUGAAGCACCUUCCUCAAAUGUUCCUGAUGCUCUUACUCAUUCUAGGAAUAUACAAGACUAUCAUCAAUGAACACCACUACGAACUUGUCGAGGUAGUCCAUGAACACACUGUUCAUCAGGAACAUGAAGUAAGCUGGCACAUUCGUCAAACCGAAUGACAUAACCACGAACUCAUAUAAUCCAUACUUGGUGAUGAAUGAUGUCUUCGGUAUAUCUAAAGGUCAGAUUCUGAGCUGAUGGUAACCUGGCCUCAGAUCUAUCUUUGAGAACACACUGGCUCCUCUCAACUGAUCAAAUAGGUCAACAAUUCAAGGCAGUGGGUACUUGUUCUUGAUAGUGACUUCAUUCAAAGCUCUAUAAACAAUUGCACAUCCUCUUCAUGCCAUCCUUCUUCUCCACAAAUAGCACUAGGGCUGCCCAAGGUGAGGUACUUGGUCCGAUGUAGCCUUUCUCUAACAACUCAUCAAUUUGCUUCUUGAGUUACACCGACUCUAGUCCGGAUACUCGAUAGGCUCUCUUGGAAAUAGGGGUGGUGCAUGGGAUAAGCUCUAUGGCAAAUUCAACUUUCCUUUCAGGUGGCAUGCCUGGUAAAUCUCUAGGGAAUACAUCGGGGAAUUCAGACACAACUCUAAUUGCCUAAAUCGUAUUAGACUCUUUGUCAUCUAUUGCUAAAUGGUGACAGGCUCCUUCUUCUAGUUCAGGCAAGUACAACUGGGUUACUACUUCCUUUUCAGAUUGGGACACCAACUUGACUGUUCUCUUCUCACAACUGACAGUGGCUUGGUUUCUGUGUAGCCAAUUCAUCCCUAGGAUGGACAAGAGAACCUCUUCCUGGCCAUAGCUCAAUCUGAUGGUUCUCAGAUCAGUGUUGAGGAUAGCUUUGUGUUGGGCUAACCAAUUCAUGCCCAGAAUUACAUUUAUAUCUUGGCCUUUUAGAACAAUCAUGUUUGUGGGAAAAUCCCGUUCAGCCAAUGUUACGGGCACAUGGAAUGCCACUUCUUUAGUGAAUAUUUGUCCCCCAGGCGAAUGAAUUACAAACACUUCCCUUGAUUCAUUGUAUGGAAUGCAAUGUUUCUCCACAAACUUCUUGCUUAUGAACGUAUGUGAAGCACCAGAAUAAAAAAGAAUGACUGCAGGGUGAUUGGCCACGAGAAACGUACCGAUCAUGACCGGUUCUCCUUCUGGCGUCGUGGCCACUUGCGUAUAAUAAAUUCGCCCGGUUUUCUUCAUAUUUUUGCCCGCCGUAUUAUUCGCCGGGUUUCCCUUGCCUUGGGUGGAACUCCCUGAACUCUGCUGAUUAUUUGAUCUGUUCUGCUUUGGAUAUGGGCAGUCCUUGAUAAAAUGCCCGAACUUCCCACAAUUAAAGCAGCCUGUUGAGGAGCUUGGGAGGGCGGGGAAACGAGUACCAGGGGCACUCGGCUAAGUUGUUGAGGUGGGGGCAGUGGCAGGGCGGAUAAAGACAGGUUGUUUAAAGGGGUAGGAGGGUGGACGUGGUGAAGAACAGUUUUGAUUAAAAGGUCGGAUCGCCAACCUUUGUCUCUUCUCAGGCCCCUGGUUGGACCUAUCACCUCCAUAGCCCUUUGACUUUCCUGGGCCUACAUAUUUGGCUUCAACUGCCAGUGCUGUGCUGACAGCCCUGCUGUAGGAGAGGUCGAGGCAGGUGGACAUUUUCCACUGCAGCCGGUCAUUAAUGCCCCUCAUAAAACAAUUUCUCUUCAUAUCAGUGUUGACCUGAUCAAUGGCAUACUGGGACAAAUGGUUGAACUUGUUGAGAUACUGUGUAACAGUAUCUCCACCUUGUUUAAGCUUCAUAAAUUCUUCUUGAUUCAUAUGGAGCACCCCUUCUGGAAUGUUGUGCUCCCAAAAUGCCAGUUUAAAUUCAUCCCAGGUAACUUGAUGACCAGCAGGCUGGAUAGCCACAUAAUUUCCCCACCAGGUGCUGGCAGGGCCUCUUAACUGUUGUGCCGCAAAUAAGGGCUUCUGAGUCUCCGUGCAUCGGAGAAGCCCAAACUUUUGCUCGAUAACCCGGAUCCACUCGUUCGCUUCAAGGGGAUCUUCAGCCUUGACAAAUAGCGGGGGAUGCGUUUCUGAGAAAUCCAAAUAUGAAGUUUCGCGGGGUCCUUGUGGAGAAGCGGGUGUUAUCGGCUGUUGCGUUGACUAAGGCAGCGAUAGCCUCAGCCAAGGUCGGGGGUACUGGUGGCGGAUUUGGAGUAGUUUCCCACCCACGAGAGGUUCCCGCACCAUCCAGUCCAUGAGUUCUGGACGGCAUCUGAGGCAAGGAACAUUUGGAAAAUAUAAUAUGCCAAAGCACACCAUCAUUUUACAUUACUUAAAAGGUAAUGAUACAUACUCGAAUUUACAACCGGACUACAUUACCUAUUAUACAUUAUCAUAUCUAAACUACACUACUCUAGCUUCUUAUCACUUUUGGUAGCUUCACUGUCGGGUGUAGGGGACAUUCAUCAGCCAGAUUCAUUGAAGGAGGGGGCCUGAAAAGGUCCAGUUCCCCACCAAGGGCUUCACCCGCUGUUCCAGAAGGUCCGGCUCCCAUUCCGACAGGAUCUGCAGGUACGUCAGGGUGCAGUCGUGAAUACAAUACAUGAACUUCCUCAUGUAGUGUAUUACAGUACACCUGCAAGUUGUCCACGGCUGUGCUAAGCUCCUCCACACGGGCUUGAGCUUUGGCUUCCUUGGCCCAAGCAAGUGAACAUAAGUUAACAGCCCAAUCGAGUGCUAAAUCUCGUUCAGCAAGUUGGUCUUGCAGAUGUCGGAUGUCAGUUCUUAACUCGUUUAUUCGCUGACCAUCCUCGACCCACACAUUAUUCCUGUGACGGAGCUCCGUUCGACGCUGCACUACCUGAGCUUCCAGGUCUCCGAUGGGAUCAUUGCUACCACUACUACUGUCCUCAUGCCUUGGAGCUAGUUGAUGGCGAGGCACGCCAAUUGGUCCGGUAGACUUGCGCGCGGUUUUCCUUGUGCGCGGCGGCAUAUCUCCAUUAGGGGGAAAAUCUUAUUAGUAUAGUUUUUAGUAUGAUGCAUGCAUAAUUAUAGAAUCAACCUUAGUUGAUUCACAACCUUCCAUACAUUGCACUCUACUAUCUGGUCUUACUACAAGUGUUUCAGAAGGUAGUUAGAUAAGAAGGAAAGAAAUUUUCUUAAAUAAGUCUUUGAAAAUUCUUUUUGGAAAUGACUCAUAACAUCUGCAGAGAUGGGCUUCGCUCCGAUACCAGCUGUGACAGAACCUCCCAAGUCAUUAGGCCCACCUACAGUUGUCCUUGUCCAUCGGACCUCGGACAACCCUGCAGGUGCACCUAAUCACUUGACAAGUUCGGUAUCUGAAUUCUUUACCUUGCCCAAGAGCGUUUCACCCAUCACGCAGACAUUACAACACAUCGGAGGUACGAAAAUGCGGAAGCAGUUACAAUAACUUACUUUAUUUUAAAGUAAGAAAGCGUAGUAUUAUUACAGACCAGAGUAAAUAUAGGAGUGCAGGAGUAAUAUUAUUACAUAACUUGGGAGGCAAAACCCCCUCCCGAUAAACAGUAAAAAGUUUUCCUUAAAGGAGGACACUUCCUCCCGUGGCUUCAGUCUUGAUUUUCUUCUUUAGGCACCACCUUGGAACAGAAGCAACAAAUAUUUGUUGCUUCUUCACCUAAAACAACAUGGUACAAAGCCCUGAGUAUGAAGUGUACUUUCGCAAGUCUUACCCAUCAAAAUAAUAGACUGUCAAGGAUAUGCUGGCCUUUGGGAAUCAAGGUAUGGCUUAUCAAUAAUCAAAGACUCUGUUUGCAGAAAUGCUUACUAAUAGUGGAUCCUUAAAAAUCUAGUUUUAUUUGUCAGGUUAAGUAAAGUUACCUGUAUCUAGGGUUCUUUCUACCCUAGUUCAAUCACUUGACCUAUACUAGCCAAUUUCUUUUCAACUCUUCUUUUUCACUGGAAUGCUACGUGUAAGUCAGUGACCAAGUCUUCAUGUCUGCGAAGUUACGGCGAUCCGAAUCGAUUAUACUCAGCUGAGGAUCUCCAAUCACAUGACAUAUGCAGCACUUAACCCUUGCAUAUGUCAACUCGCCACCGGGGUUCUUAAGACCAGAUCAGGUUCACGCCAACCGAGAGCACAUAUACACCACCGUCCAGCCUCUUGCCACGGAGGGUACACGCUACACUCGCCAUCUCUCCACUCCCAUUGCGUGUUAUCUUAUUCUGGUAUUAGUCUGUCCGAGGCAAAGCUUACCCAUGACGAGGCAUGUGACCAGUUAAAGGGUCCUUGGUCAGCAGGCCUACAUCGACAAGGUCCUUAAUCAACUCAGACGGAGACACUACACCGAGACUCUCUUCUCGUGCAAGUCACCCGGCCGGUCUCAGCUUUAUCAUUUCAAACCCAAAGUUUGGUACCUGGCAGAGGUACAUCUUUUCCAAUGUUGAACCCAUCAUGGCCAUGAUGGAUCCACCAUGAAGUUUUAUUUUUUUAAAACAUCCCACCCACUUUGAAGCACCAUCUUUUGUCAAAACCAAAAUAUUUAGUUUUUCUAAAGCAAAGCUAAGCAUAAGAAAAACCUUUUUGUAAAUCAAGGGAUUGAGCAGAAGUAAUCAAAUCCAAGGAAGGAAAUGCAGCAAUUGGUUUAGCACACAUAUCCUAUCACCUAAUGCAUCAAGUAAGUGAGAAAGAUUUUAAAAUAGAAAGGAGGUGGCAAAUGCGCCGGGGCUUGCCUUGUGUGAUAGGUGAGUCAGGCUCUGUUCCACAGAUACCAAAGUAAAAGCAGUUGCCUGCCUGAGGUUCUUUAGGUGGUGGUGGUGUAGUCCUCGCUUCUUCAACUUCUAUCUCUUCCUCGUUUUCUAUAUAUAGCCAUAUAUAAUCAUGAAUGCUCAUGUAAUGCUCAUGAAAAUGCAAAAUGAUAAAAGUAUAUUAUCCAAUGUCUUGAAUAUAAUUUUCCUUCACGGAUCUCCAGGAAACUAGGGUUUUUGGAGUCUAUAGUGAAGUUCAUAGAGCAGGGCACUAGGGUUUUGGGUUCUAGGUUCCAAACAUGGUCCAAAUCAUGCCAAACUUUACUCAAGGCUUCUAAAUAACAUUUAAAACUUAUCUAAAAAGUUUGGUGAAUUUUGGAAUUAUUAAUUAUUCUCUAAAAUUUCAGAAGUAUGGGUUUUGGCUAUUUUAAAUACCCCAUAAUUCUCUAUUGGAACUAAAAAUCAUGAAACUAUUUUUAUUAAAUACUAUAGAAAAUUAGGAGCCUAGCAAAGUUGGUCUGGUAUUUUUAGCAUUUUCUAUAAUUUCCUAGGAAUUCUCGAACUCUGGUAGAAAAGGAAAAAGACUCUACAGUGCUGGGCUGGAACAGGCCCAAGAUGGCCCAUGUCCAAGCAAAGUCGUGCGCGCCCGCGCUGCGGUGUUCACUUUGCGUAGGGAACCCUAGCGGUUUGAAAUUUCUAUAAAGAGUCCCUCCCACUGUUCCUCUGUCUCGCUGACCUUUGCAAAUACACCCCCGCACUUUGAUUUCUUUACAUCCCACAGUCCUCGACCGUGGGCGGCGGAGCAACGACUCCGGCGAGCCCAUACCGACUGGAAAACGCAACGGCUAGACUUCUCCUUUGCUUGUCACUUAAUUCAACCCUUCCCAACACUAAUCCCUCAGUUAAUUUCACUGAUCUGGACCGGAGCACGUUUGCUCCCGAUGACGGCAGAAACCGAGGAUAAUCCAAGGUGUUUUAGGCAAUUCACGGUGGUCUAGUUCAAUCGAAUGGGUCGGUGAGCUUCAGGGGUCAUGAGGAAAGCUAGAACACCAAUUAAGAAAGCUUGAACUGACCUGCAGAAGGGUGGCCACGACGAGGUGUUCACGGGGCGGUGGUUUGGCUGAUUUGGGGGAAAUGGGAAAUUAGGCGGCUCUAGUGAACAAUUGGAGGUAGGUGUUAGUGCAUUGGAUGCGUAUUUACCUAGUGGAGCCGCAGAUGCGCUCAAUUUAUAGGCUCCAGGGGCGGUGGCACGUGAAUUUGGGUUGGUGCGGUGGCGAUCGGAGAAGAAAGGGGUCACGGGCGCACGAGAUUAGUGCCUUUCACCGUGGCGGCUCUCCGGCGAUCACCGGGCAUGCAUGACGCGAUUCACUGCGACGUGGUACCGUGCUUAAGCACGUGGCGCACAGGCGGUAAGUGGCCAAUGGCGGCGAGGCUUAUCCCGACUGAUCGACGAGCAAGUGGGUACUGUGAAUUUAGUCGUGACCAAGCCCGAGUUGAUCCGGGCGCUAAGAUCUUUACUCUCCUCAGUUAUCCACUUGUGCUAUGCACGAAUCAUAGCGGCCAGCGUGAAUCGCAGCGUGGAGGUCACCGGGGACGAGCUUCUCUGCGCUGGCGUUCUAAUCAAAACACUGUACCAUGGGAACCCAAUUUAGAGCCUCUGUCCGAUCAACUUGCAGGACCCAUAACUCCAAUUUUUGUAUAAGAAUUUGCUAAUCUCUCUGUAACAAAGUUCUAGCCCUUUAAUCCAGCUACAAUCUUGCUAUGGUGAUCAUGCUCAAACACCCACUGGAUCAUCUUCGAAAGGGCUCCCAAAGUUCAUCCUAUGUCACUGAAUAUCAAAAUUCAGGCUUUAGGCUAACUGACAGCCCAACUUUGGGCUUGUUUUUCUCCAAUUUUUAUACAGCAUCAGUGCUUAGUCACUUAAUCAAAAUUGUUCUCCUUACAUAGCUCUACAAACUUGAUGUGUUGACCCUAGGCAAAUACCUCAUAAUUUAGAAGAUACAAAGUUCUAAAAUUGGUCCAAAUGCAUUGAUUUUCAGACUUAGCUAUAUGAUCAUAAAAGUGGCCUUUUUGCAUUUAGGCCCAAAUCUCAUGGGUUCUUUUGCAAAUCUCCAGAUAUGUGAACCAUAUGACUUGAGGUACCCUAAUUUCAUGAUUUUUGCACUUAGGUCCAAAAGUGGGCAACAUUUGCAUAUAACCCGUAGGGUUUCUGUCCAAGGUUUUCCAGGGGUCUAUUUAUGGUUUUCGGUACUUCUAGGGUUUGGAUACCACUUAAGUCCAUCAAUGGUGACAUUUUAUGAUCAUUACUAAUAAGUUUUGAAGUUUUCUUUUAUUUAGACUUUGUUUCCUCUUUUAAGCCCCAGUUUAGGGUUAAGUACUGUACCCUAGGGUUUCACUCAUGACAUGUCACAUCAAUAGAACUUAUUUGAAAUUUUUGCCUAGUGAAUGCAUUCUAAGUGUGACAAACACAUGAUAUGCUGAUGCUCAUGAUGUUAUGCUCAAGUUUUAGUGGCAGUAACACCAGGGGUGUUACAAGAAAGACCUGCCAACCCGGCCCCACAAGGUUAGUGGCACAACAUAGCUUUCGUACGAGUGUGUGCGAGCCACGGACGAAAGGAACCGGCCACCGGGCCGCGCCCAUGCGUUUUUCGUGCGGAGAGUUGGGCCGACCAGCCUGGCCCAUUCGACCAAGGAGAAGGGGAAAAUGGAAUCUUGGGCCAGGUGAAGCAAAAUCGGCCCAGGCGUGAGCCUCUUCUUUCUUUUUUUUCCUUUUUUUAUUUAUUUAUCUUACUAUUUUGAAUUUCGAAAUUCAAAUUUCACUCGAAUCUAGGUUUAUGUUUCAACACAAUGAAAACUCUAGCCUGAAGCUACAAUAUUCAUAUAUGUUUAUAUUAUGUUUUAUCUUUAUUUUUAUUCAUCUAUUUAGGAAAUGUUCAAAAUAUGAUGUGGACACCAAACCUGUGUUUGGUUAUAAUUCAUAUGAAGAGAUAGUUUACUUAAUUAUUUUAGAGAAUAUAUGCAAACAUGUAGUUUAAUUAAGGGUGAUUUUAUAUAAGUAUCUUUUAUAGAAAACACUUUUAUUUAGAAACAUAUUAAUUUUGGGAGAAUCAACCCCAAGAGUAGAAGAAAAUUUUCUUAUUUAGGAUCCCUUUAAUUCAAUACUUUUUGGAGAAUUGUCUUAAAUACCAAAAUGGAGAUUUGAGGUGUUACAACCGCUGACUAGGUUCUGGCUGCAAGAGGUCUGGCUGACUUCUAUUUGAUCGAUCUCGAGUUUGUCGUUUUGUAAUUCCUGUAGAUAUUUUGCGGAUCACGUUGCUUCAUAAAAUCUUGAAAAAAAUCCAGUUUGCCCACCCAAUGGAUGCGCCAAAUGGGUGUGUAUUGUGUUUUAUCCAAAAAUAGUAACCUGACGUGAUGGGCGGGUAACGAUGCGUCUGAGCAAUUGGCAUUACUUCCCCUAUGGUGUCAUGUUUCCCAAUGGGUGUCAGUGAUCUGCUCCCUUUCUUGGAAACCUACGUGGCUAUUGAAGUCCUCGUGACUGUUCGGCGUACAGGUGAGAGGCGAAGGGUUGCCUCUUGCCCUCUUUAAAUAGACUGCCUACCUGUGACCGGUUCCUUCACUCGCUCUUGCUAUCCUUUUGCGUUCUUCUUCAUCUUCCACUCACCAGAAACACAAUGGCUGCCAAUAAAGGCAGCAAGGGCAAGCACGGCCAAGGGGAGGGAAAGCGAAAGCGCCCUCCGACUCCUCCGUCGGAGGACUUCGGUGACUCGGAGUUCUUGGAUGAGCACUUCUCUCAGGGCGACGACUCUCCAUUGCCAACUCCCCUCUCGCUGUCAUCCGAUUACUCGAACGCUCGAUGGAGUUGUCGGUGGCGGAGAGGGCCUACAUCUGAUCCAUCGAGCGAGCAGAGGGAAGACUCCUCGGAGGACUUCAAGGGGGUGGACUCUGAGGAGGACUCCAAGGAGGACUCCAAGGAGGAGGACAUCAGUGGCGGCGAUGGGAGCAGCUACGAGGGCGGCGAUGUGAGCGGCUACGAGGGCGGCAAUGAGGGCGGCAACAUCGGCAAUGGAGGCAGCGCUGGCGGUGGCGGUGCUGACGACGGCGGUGAUAGUGGUUACGACAACGACGAUGAGAGCGGCGGCGACAGCGACAAUGUCGGUGGCAGGGCACCACCAGCAUUAAUAUUAGUAUAGUGUAGUAGUAGGUAUGUGUAAGUAGUGGUAGUGGUAGGGUGAGGGAUGAUAGGGUUGGUUCAUAAUGAGCCCGCCCUUUCCCUUUGUAAUGUACUCUUUGUAAUGAAUGAAAUCCUUUGUUCAUGUGUUUGAUUUAGCGCUUAAUGCUCUGCCCGAUUUAUGCUUUGCCCAAACUCUUCGAUAGUGUUGGGGACUUGUUCUCAAAUGCUUCGAAUUAAGAACAAGGCAACAUAAAAUGUUAAAUGUUAAUGCCCUUCGUCCGUUGAAGCAUUAUCUCCCCAAGGGUAUAAUGAACUUCAGACGAAGGUCAUGAGCAAAAAUCACGAAGGUCAUACCUUCGUGACUAGAGUUGUAAAAUAGUGAGAGAUGAAAUAUAAAAUAUAAAACAUGAAGGAAUAAUAUAUCAAAACACAUAAACUUAUUCAUAUAAUUUCAUUAUACGAACUUAAAUGUUAAAACAUAACAUUUAAUCACAUUUAUACCUUCGUCUUGACAGAAGGCAAUAUUCCAAGUGUAUCAUGCAAGUGAUUACCAGAUUGCGUGAACAGUACGGGGGUACUGUUCAUCUAUUUAUAGGCACAGGGCGCAGCCUGUGUGAAAUUACAUUUAUGCCCUUUACAAUCAAUAACAAUUAUGACACAAACUAUCAUGGGUCUAUUGGUCAUUUCAUCUUUAAGUCGGUUCACUCCUUCGUCUUGAGACAUGUCACUAUGCCGAAGCUUUAUGGGUGAUAGCUUCGGCAGUGCUUUUGAGAGGAUCUGCCGAAGGUGUUUCUUUCUUCAGGAUCUUCGGCUACGAAGCAUACCCCCAACAGUAGCCCCUUCGCGGUGCUAGAUCGUUUUUCGUAACGAGCUUGAUCUGUGAAAAAGUCUCCUAGGCUUCGUGAUGCCGAAGAUCAGAAAACACCUUCCCUGAGCUCGUUGCCGAGAAAAUAUUAAAAUAAUCCGAGCGCAAGGUGGCCCCACCAUGCAGCAGUUACGCGCAUCCUGGCGAUUCACCUUCUCAGGCUCUGUGGCCCACCGUUCAGUGGGUGCGGGCGGCUGUUUGUCCGGUACGGAAGACUUGACGAUUUACCUUCCCACCUGCGUUACUAUAUAAACAGACGGGUAGGUGUGAAGUUACCAUAGCAUUCAUUGCUAUUGCACUGUUUUGCUGCAAAAAAUUUGACCAUAGCCAAAGCUUGCUUACUGCAUCCUCAACCGAAGCUAUUCAUUUUGCUCAAGCUUCGUAACAAGAAAGAGCUUCGACAAAGUUAAAAAAAUCAACUUCGUCAAAAAACAAGAAAUUUAAUCAUCAGAUGGCUAGGGUACGCUCAACAGCUAGGGUUACUCGCGACGGAGAGGAAGCCGAAGGUGCCGAAACCGCUCCAAUCUCUGAAGUGAUGAAACGGUCAGGGCUGGUAGUAUCGGAGGAUGCACCUGCCGCUGAAGCUGAGCAGGUUGAUGCUGAGGAAAUUGAAUCUGAAGAUGAUUACAGCGCCGUGCCAUCUAAACCCAGCCACUUGGAGUUUGGGAAAUCCACCAUUACUGAAGGUGAUAUGUCUAAGUUGAUGAAGUUAGGCUAUUUCAGUGAAGCAAAAAAGGAGCUGGUUCGUUUUGGCGGAGAGGAAAUUACUCCAAAGCCGGAAAAGGAUGAGGUGGUAGUCUUCAAAAGCUUCUUUAAAGCAGGAUUAAGAUUUCCUUUGAAUGGGAUGAUUGCUGAUGUUUUGAAGAAGUUUGGGAUUUAUCUUCAUCAGCUAACUCCUAACGCCAUCGUUAGGGUUAGUGUCUACAUCUGGGCCCUCCGAAGCCAGGGGGUAGAACCAUUUGCCGAAGGCUUCUACCGAAUACAUGAGCUUCAUUAUCAAACAAAAGCUAGAUAAGAUGGACUGCAUGAAAACUUCGGCUGCUACAAUUUUGCUUAUCGCAAAAAUACGAAGUUUCCAGUUAUUAGCUAUCGUACCAAGUGGCCAGCUGGUUGGAAGACUGAAUGGUUUUACGUCAAAGUUGAUGAAGAAAAGGAGAAGCUGGUCCAAAGUCCACUAGAAUUAAUCUUUGGAGAAACCAGGCCCUAGUGCAACAUGACACCGGAGAGUCCAAGCCAAAUUGCACUGGGCGAAUUUCGAGUUAUUGCGGAGCAUAUUGGCACUAGGGAUCUGGUGUAAGAAUUCUUGGCUUUUAGAGUGUUCCCAACUUUGAAAGAGUGGGACAUGCCGAAGCUCAAGGGAGAAAAGAAAAAGAGGGAACUUGUUUGGUUGCCCUAUUAUUAUAAAUUCAAGAAACAUUUCAAUGUACCUUGCCAAGAAUGGUUAGACACAAUUGAAGUUAUGUGCAACGAAAUUCUUGGCAAUUAUUCUAAAAAAGAAGAUCAACUAAUGACUGCAGCCUUCGGCACUCGUCCGAAGCGAAGGUUAAACCGGGUGAUGGAUGCUCUGAACUUUGAGUAUCCUGAUUAUGAGCGACUGGACCGAGGUGCCAAAGGACAGAAGAUAAAGAGAGUUGCUAGCGUCCUGAAUAAAGAAGCUGCUAAAUUGCUGAAAGAUGAUGAAGAAAAACUGAAAAAGAGAAAGCUGAGGCCUGAGCCGAAGACAGAUGCUUCGAAGAAAAGAAAGGUUGCGGCUCCGAAGCAGAAGGCAACUGAUAUAGAAGAAGAAACUGUUGCAACACCUUCUGCCACCCACAUGGAGGAAAUCUUAAAGGUAAUGACUGAAUCUUUGCCUAUCAAGCUAAGUCCGCUGGGGCCGCAUCUGACGAAGCUUUUUCAGAAGGAAAAGGAUCCCUCGAUAACGAAGAAGGCAGCUGGGCCGAAAAAACAAAGAAUUAUUACAGUGACAGGAGUUAUUGAAGGGACACCACCACAGGCUUUGGCUUCGAAGGCACCAGCUGUUGAGAGCGCAACAGCUACUAAAGCUGCAGCUGCCGAAGCUACCAUGGCUGAAGAUGUACAUUUAGAAAGCGCACUUUCUAAUAUUGAUAAAAUACUUCUAGACAUGGCCGCAGAAGAAACUGCUGCAGCCACCGAAGAAACCAUGGCCACAAAGCCUGAGAAGAAAAAGGAAAUAGUCGAAGACGCUUCGGAAGAGGAAAUUUUCAACUUUCAAAACUUAAUUGGACAAGAGUUGAUGAAGGCUGAGAAAGAAGAGUUAAAAGAAUAUGCCAUAUCCUGCGGAUAUCAACCAGGGGCACUACUCUUCGGUGGUGUUGACGAUGAAAAGUUAGGCUGCGUCCGAGAUCAAACCGGAGCGAAGGUUAUCGGUAAUCUAUCAAAGAGUAUUGGUUUCCCGAAGCUUGAGACUCACAUAAGCCGCUACCGACGACAGCAUCUUGUCAGUAGUUUAUUCUAUUCUAAUUUCAAGGUAAAAACUUUUCUUUGACUUUUUAUUGUUUUGAACAACGAAGGUGUUUUCUAACGAAGAUUGCUUGUGCACAGAGUAUGCUGUUGAGUAAAGCUUUGAGAAUGCAACAAGAUCUUGAAGAUAAAAAACAUGAAGUUAUAAUUGAGGGUUUAGAAAGCAAAUUAAAAGAUCAAGCAGCUACUCUUGAAAAGAAGGAUUUCGAGCUUCAGACAACAGAAGGUUUAUUGGCAGAAGCUGAAGCUAAAAUUGCAAAGUUAAAUACAGAGCUUCUCUCAAAGUCAGAAAGCUUCGAACAGGAAAAGCAAAAGUUAAAUGCCAAACUUAAGACUGAGGUCGAGAAAAGUUCAAAUUUGCAAAAAUCAUUGACAGAGCUUCAAAACAAAAGUCUGGAGUUCAGUAGCUAAUGUGUACAACGGCUGAAGCAGAUCUUCAAUUUGGUUGGAGCCAGCUGGGAAAAAUUUAGUCCUACGACUGAAGACCUGCUAGGGGCCUUCGAACAUAUCGAGGGUGAAGUUGAUGCCCUUGAUGAAAUUAUAGCCGGACAUGGUGAUUUCUGUGCCCUGGUAGCUUCUCGGGGCACAACUGUCGCUUUCCUGAAAUCUGGUUGCACACAUGGAAAGAUUGUCAAUAGACCCAACUUUAGUUUAUCACCAGCAGAUCUGGUUGAUAUUCCCAGUCUUGCCCGAAGCAUAGGAAACAUAUUUAUAAAACUAGUAUGGACGAAGGGUGGACGAAGCAUAGCUGGUGAUGAAGCUCGAGGUCAUCUUAAGCCGGUAACAAAAUCAUACCUUGUGCUUACCUUUUCCUUUAAACUUGAAUUUUCCUUACAAUACUUUAAUAUGUACAGGAUGACGAAGCUGAGUAACAAGAUGACGAAGCUAAAGAGCACAAAGCCGAAGCUUAACAGACGAUCCGAAGCUCAAUAGAUAAUGAUGAAGCUUGAAUAGAUAGCUUUGGAAAAAACUCUAAGAACUCUUGUAAUAACCUUUGUAAAGAAUAUUGUAAUCUAACAAUUAGAUUUUACUCUGUAAAUUUUGUCCAUACCUUGUAAUAUAUUUUUACCUUUCCAUCAAUGUAUGAAGUGCUUCGAUGUGAAUGAAACUAGCAUUUUUUGAGCCGAAGGCAAAAAACACCUUCCCUUCUUUUCGUAUACAAUGAAGCAUGAAAACUGCUUCUUUUCUUUUUGCCGAAGCCUUAUCUUUAGAGCCGAAGCAUCCACCUGUGUCUGUAUGUUAUGAAGAUGAUCCUAUAUAUGUCUAAAUGAAUGUUUAUGAAUAUAAAUGUAUGAUGUAAUGUAUCGUGCAAAUGAAUGUCCAAACACACACAUACGAAGCCACAACCAUAGCCUUCAUUCCCUUGGGAAUGACCGAAGUCUCUUUGUCGUUUAAUUUUCGGCUUCACCGCUUAUUUUUCGGUGUAUCAGCGCUGACUUUUCGCUGUAAGUUCUGCAUCCCCUUAGGAACGUCUUUUGAACUUCUUCACCUCUAUUUCGGUGGUAUCGCGUUGACUUUUCGCGCUUCGCCUUAUAUUUCGACGGUAUCAGCGUUGAAUUUUCGCUGUAAGCUCUACAUUCCCUUGGGAACGACUUUUGAGCAGAAAACUUACGCUGCGCUCCCUUAGGAACGGCUUUUUUGUAGCUUCGUCGUGCUCUGCAUCCCCUUAGGGACGACUUUCGAGCUUCUCCCAGUUUUUUCUUUUUCCCUGCACUCGAUGGUGCAUGCUCAGUUUUUACAUUUACAUAUUUGGGGGAUUUUGCUCUUGUAGAGCUAAAUAAGAAAAUGAGAAAUUACAUGCUAUGGCCCCAUUAAAAACCUUUCUCCCCCUUUGGAAAAGAAAAGGGUGCCAUAGAAAAAAACAAAAAGAUUACAUCAAGCUAGACAUAAUAUCGCCGAAGCUCAUCCGCAUUUCAAGACCUAGGAAUGUUGUUGCCGUCCAUAUCCUUCAAUCUGUAAGAACCGGGUCUUGACGAAGAUACUACCAGAAAAGGUCCUUCCCACUUGAGCUAUAACUUGCCUACUGUAUCUGGGUUGGCCACUCUCCGAAGUACCAAAUGCCCUGCUUAAUGUUCUUUAGCCAAACUUUUCUGUCACGCCAUUUUAUUGUUUUGGCUUGGUAUUUAUUGAUAUUCUCUACGGCAUGAAGCCUGAUCCCUUCUAUAGCAUCUUUUGCCACAGAAUAAUCAGCUUCGUCUUCUGCCGAAGCCACUAUUCUUAUUGAUCCUGCCUUAGCUUCUUCUGGGGUUAUUGCUUCGUCACCAAACAAUAGUUUGAAUGGUGUAAAACCUGUUGACCUUAAUAUUGUUGUAUUGUGGCUCCACACCACUUUGAUCAAUUCAUCUGGCCACUUUCCUCUGGGCUGAUUAAAGAUUAACUUCAUUAUUCCCGUCAUUAUAAUGCCAUUAGCUCUUUCAACAAGUCCAUUUGACUUCGGAUGUCUGACCGAUGCAAAAUGAAUCUUCGUGCCAAUUUGUUCACAGAAUUCUUUGAAAGCUUCAGCAUCAAACUGUGGUCUGUUGUCUACAGUAAUAGCCUUCGGCACUCCAAAGCGACAAACAAUGUUUUGCCAGAAGAACUUCUGAACGGUGACCGAAGUUAUUGUGGCUAAAGGCUUCGCCUCAAUCCACUUGGAAAAAUACUCUACUGCCACCACAACAUAUUUUAGAUUUCCUUGUGCUAGUGGAAGUGGGCCUAGAAAAUCGAGGCCCCACCUUUGCAACGGCCAAGUGGGCUGUAUUAACUGAGUGAGAGAUGAAGGUUGCUUCUGGUCUCUUGCACAUUUUUGACAGCCUUCACAUUUUUGGACUAAUUCUGCUGCAUCCGAAGCUGCCUUCAGCCAAUAAAAUCCUUAUCGAAAAACUUUUCCCAACAAAGGCCUAGAUCCAAUGUGAGAUCCACACAGACCUGCAUGUAUCUCUUUCAUUAAUUCCAUACCUUCGGUUCUUGAUAAACAUUUGAGGAGUGGCGAACAAACUCCAUGUUUAUACAAUUCCCCUUCUAUUAUCACAUAUGGUCUUGUUCUUGCCUCCAUUCUUUUGUUCUAAGCUUCGUCACUUGAAAGACAAUUGCCUUGAAGGAAAGAUAUUAUUUCAGUUCUCCAGUCUUCGUUGUGUACUGGAGAAAUAGUAAGCACUGCUCUCUCCAUGAGCUCAACCGAAGGUGCUUUUAUUGCUUCAAAAAAUACUUCGGAGGGUAGGGGGAGCACCUGAGCCGCUGAUUUGGCUAGCAAAUCUGCAUGCUCAUUUUCACCUCUUGGAAUAUUCUUGACGGAAAAACCUUCGAAGGAAGCUUCCAACCUUCGGACUGCAUCUAGAUAUUUUUCAAGCUUCGGAUCUCGUGCCUUGCUGCUCUUAUCCACAUGGCCAGCAAUAACUUGAGAAUCAGUCUUUAGGAUGCCCUUCUUAUUCCCAUUGCCCUUAGUUUCUGAAGCCCCAACAGAAGUGCUUCGUACUCAGCAAUAUUAUUUGUGCAACUGAAAUCCAGUUUGACUGAAAACAUGUUUUGACUUUUGAAGGUGCCACUAGGACCGCAACUGCUCCUGCACCGAAGGUUCCCCAAGAACCAUUGCAGAACACCGUCCAAGCUUCGGUAUCCUUGCUUGUCCCUUCUUCGUGAGCCCCUGGCGUUCAGUCAGCGAUGAAGUCUGCUAGCGCCUGGGAUUGAAUUGAAGAUCUGUGCACGUAGUCAAUGGUGAAUUCAUUGUGCUCUGUGGCCAACUUUCCAACCCUUCCAGUAGCUUCUUUGUUCCUCAUAAUAUCCUUCAGAGGCUGUGAUGAGGGAACAAUUAUAUGGUAAGCUUGAAAAUAAUGCCGAAGCUUCCUGGAGGCCAUUAAUACAACAUACAACACUUUCUCCAAUUCUGUGUAAUUUUUCUUUGAUAAGCUUAAUACUUCGGAGACAAAAUAUACUGGGACUUGCUUUUUAGUUUGUCCUUCAAGCUUCUCCUGUACAAGUGCCGCACUUACAGCAGAGUGCGAAGCUGCCACAUACAAUAGCAGAGGAGCCCCUCGCGUGGGUGGGGUUAGCGUUGUUAGAUCUAUCAGGUAUUGCUUCAGCUCUUCGAAGGCUUUCUGCUGAGCUGAUCCCCAUUGAAAGACUUCGACCGACUUCAGCACUUCAAAGAAUGGUAAAUUUCUCUCUGCUGAUCUAGAUAUGAAUCGAUUCAAAGAUGCUAGUCUUCUUGUCAGCCGUUGAGCUCCCUUCUUUGUGCUUGGCGGCUCCAUCCGAAGAAUAGCUUCGAUUUUGUUCGGAUUAGCUUCGAUCCCUUUCGUUGAAACUAGACAACCAAGGAAUUUUCCCUUCUUUACUCCGAAGACACAUUUUUCUGGAUUUAAUUUCAGGACAGCUUGCCUAAAAUUAGCAAAUGUUUCCUGCAAAUCAGCAAUGUGAUUUUCCUGCUUCAUGCUCUUUACUAUGAUAUCAUCAACAUAUGUUAGCACAUUUCUGCCUAUCUGAGAGUGAAGGACUUUGGCUGUCAUUCUACUGAAGCUUCCUCCAGCAUUCUUGAGCCCCUCAGGCAUCCGAAGAUAACAAUAUGUACCACUGGGCGUUAUGAAGCUGGUUUUUGGCUCAUCUUCCUUCUCCAUCCAGAUUUGGUGAUAGCCUGAAUAACAAUCUAGUAGACUCAUGAGCUCUGAUGAAGCUGCUGCAUCUACUAGAGAAUCUAUUCUUGGUAAUAGGAACUCAUCCUUUGAGCAAGCCUUGUUGAGAUCAGUAAAAUCAAUGCACAUUCUCCAUUUACCAUUGGCCUUCUUCACCAUAACAGUGUUGGCUAGCCAUUCUAGGUAUUUUACUUCUCUGAUAACUCCAGCACUAAGAAGUCUUUUCACUUCAUUCCGAGCACCUUCGGCUUUGUCAUCAGACAUUUUCCGAAGCCUCUGCUUUCUGGGUCUGAAGGAUGGAUCGACAUUGAGCGAAUGUUCAAUUACGUCCCUGUUGACACCACAGAGAUCGUUGGCUGACCAUGCGAAGACAUCUUUGUUGUUGAACAAAAACCUUAUUAGAGUUUUCUCCUGCUCUUCAGAUAAUUGAGAUCCUAGCAAUACCUUCUGCUCUGCUAUAUCUUCACAUAGAAGCAUGGGCUUCGGCUGAUCGGCCGAAGCAGCCUUCUCCCUUCUGUACUUAUACUGCUCACAAGCUUUGGCUCCAUCUAUAUUAUGGAUUGCUUUUGAAUCUGUCUAGUUUCCUUCAGCCUUUCUGGCAGCUUCCUGACUUCCAUGAAUAGCAAUAGGCCCUUGAUCCGAAGGUAUCUUCAUGCAUAGAUAUGCUGGAUGAAGAAUUGCUUCAAAAGAAUUGAGUGUCCCACGACCAAUGAUUGCAUUGUAGGGGUACUCCAUGUCGACAAUAUCAAACACAACUUGCUCAGUCCUUGUAUUGUUGACAAAUCUGAAGGUCACUGGCAUCGUGAUCUUGCCGAGUGCUACGAUCUGCCUUCCUCCGAAGCCACAAAGAGGGUGUGUAGCAUCAUGAAUCUUAUCCUCUGGCUCUUGCAUCUGUUUGAAGGCCUUGGCAAAUAUAAUAUUUGUUGCACUGCUUGUAUCAAUCAGAACAUUGUGGACCAGAAAUCCCUUGAUGACACAAUAAAUGACCAUAGUAUCAUUGUGAGGGUAAUCCUUGAGCUGAAGGUCCUCCUGGGAGAAGGUAAUUGGGAUGUGGGACCAUUUCGACUUGAUGAAGGGUCCCUGCAACCCCAACAUGUUGUACCCUUCUCUGAGCCUCCUUCUUCUGCUUCUUGUUGGCCGGCUCUGAGCAUGAACCGCCUGUUAUUGGGAGCACCAGCUUCGUAGCCGAAGCAGCUUCAGCUUGGUUGUUGAAUAAAGCCAUCAGCUCAAAAAGUGGAAGUGAGUUCACCGGAGGUGGGCGCCAAUGUUGGGGACUUGUUCUCAAAUGCUUCGAAUUAAGAACAAGGCAACAUAAAAUGUUAAAUGAUAAUGCCCUUCGUCCGUUGAAGCAUUAUCUCCCCAAGGGUAUAAUGAACUUCGGACGAAGGUCAUGAGCAAAAAUGACGAAGGUCAUACCUUCGUGACUAGAGUUGUAAAAUAGUGAUAGAUGAAAUAUAAAAUAUAAAACAUGAAGGAAUAAUAUAUCAAAACACAUAAACUUAUUCAUAUAAUUUCAUUAUACGAACUUAAAUGUUAAAACAUAACAUUUAAUCACAUUUAUACCAGAUUGUGUGAAUAGUAUCAUGCAAGUGAUUACCAGAUUGCGUGAAUAGUACGGGGGUACUGUUCAUCUAUUUUUAGGCACAGGGCGCAGCCUGUGUGAAAUUACAUUUAUGCCCUUUACAAUCGAUUACAAUCAUGACACAAACUAUCAUGGGUCUAUUGGUCAUUUCAUCUUUAAGUCGGUUCACUCCUUUGUCUUGAGACAUGUCACUAUGCCGAAGCUUUAUGGGUGAUAGCUUCGGCACUGCUUUUGAGAGGAUCUGCCGAAGGUGUUUCUUUCUUCAAGAUCUUUGGCUAUGAAGCAUACCCCCAACAGAUAGAGUGAGCCCAAUUGAUAAUUCUGAUUGACUAGUUCUGCUGAUGACUUCGUAUGAUAGGUCUGACUGACAUGUCCAUCCAACUUACUUCUCUCGGUUCAGUUCUAGUCUGGGUUACUUUGUCUGCCUCACUGCGCCCGACUUAGCGCGCGUGUAUACAUCCUCGCUGGCAGUUUCCUGGUAGCGAACCCUAACUCUUAUUUUACCGCCGCAGACACUUCCCUGAAACUCCUAUUCACCCUCGUGAUUGCGCUUGAUUCUGCUCGCCUGCAAGUCCUGAUGGCGCCUAUGAAGAAGAAGCAAGGAGCUACCGCACCUGUCAUUCCUCCAAUUGACCACAACAACCAAUUUCCAUUCUGCGAUAACUAUGCCUCUGUCGUUUCUGAAUCCGAUUUGCUUUAGUUGGUUGAAAUCGAGGUUUUGCUGUAGAAGGAGAUGUACCUUGGCGGGGAUGGCAGGGGAUCGCCGUCUCAACGGAGGAUACCCACAAGUCGUUAGUUUUUGUUCCCUUCUUGAUCUGAAGUCUAGGUCUGCCAGUUUCUCCCUUCUUCCGCGGCCUUCUCGAUUUCUACUCCCUCAACUUAACCCAUCUGAAUACCAAUUAUGUACUCCAAAUUUCUAUCUUCGUCCAUCUCUGUGCGGCCUUUCUGGGGAUUAAUCUCCACUUUGGGUUAUGGAAAUAUUUGUACCACUGCAAGCCUGGUAUGGCCAGGGGCAACACCGGUUGGUUGGCAGCGCAAGCCUUGAGCUUCGUCGCGGUAGGAAAACUGAGUAUGUUGACAUUAUAUUGAAGGAUAACAUUAAGGGAUGGAGCUUCGAGUGGUUCAAUAUGGAAAACCACAACAAGUCUCUACCUGCUCGCUCUGGGAGACAGCCCGAUGUUCGAGUGUCGAGUUGAAUAAAGGCCCCAACUGACUCGGAGGUUGCCGAAGCCAAGAUUCUGCUUGAUGAAAUAGUUGUUUGAAAGACAAUGGUUUGACUGUCGAGGCCGUUGUCAUCGAUUUUGUCUUCAAGAAUAUUCAGCCUUUGAAGGAUAGGGUUUAUCCGGCCUAUCUGUAUACUAGGGUGAACGACCCCUCCCGAGUAACAUAUAAGCACCUAUGUGAGGCGAAUGUUUUGAAACGGGUUGAAAUGAUGUUGAGAGGUGCGGUUGCAUAUGUUGGUGCUCCUUGCUCUUACUCUGCCUGGAACAUUUUCCCGAUGGUAAGUUUCAACUGUCUAUAUUUUGUUCUGCCCAAUUGUUAUGUGCCCUAUUCUCAUUGUGGGAUUUUGUUGCUGUAGAGUUAUUUUUCUGAGUUCGUGUCCAAUCCACCCGUCCAAGGGGAGGAUGGGUGUCCAGGCCAUAGAGUGUGGCCUGCUCCCGAUGAAGUAGAUGCCAUACUUACUGCACACAAGAGCCUGCAUGAAGAAGAAAAAUAGAGCCACAUCCUGAUGCAAGCUACUGCUGACGAAUCUGAGAUUGAUGUUGUCCUCGGUAUGUUGGUUAGAGAGUCGUCUGAGUUUGCAUGAGUUGAGUCGGGGAGCAGGGCUCCCGAUUAGUUGGGCGCAGGGGAACAAGAGUUAGCGGUCCUAAAGGCGCACGUCACAAACGGACAUGCCAAACAGACUCUUAGACCAAUUCUAUCAAGGUAAAGAAGAAGAAGAAAAGGCUUCGUGGUUCAUCGGAUCUGGAGCCAAUGACUGCCCCUGUCACGCCGAACCCUGAUGAUAGUAUAGUGAAUACUGAUAUGUGUCACACCCGGUUUUGGAAGGUAAACCGAAUGCGAACCAUGUACGUGCCAGGAUCAGAACUCACAUACACAACAAUUACAUAAUUGGGCAUCAUCACACAAUGCUCGAAAUAAAUAGCGGAAAGAUACUUUAGUUACAUCAAGAUGUCCAAGACAUCCAUAGAGUUUAAUACAUAUCCAUAGUGUUCAAUAUUAAUAUCAAAGUGCGGAGAAACGAAACAAAGAAGAUAAGCCUACACAGGCAGCUAACUGGGGGUUUGCCACUAAAAUAAACUAGAACUCAUCAUAGUCUUGGAACUCCUCAAAGUCCUCCAUGUUGCCAACAUCUCCUCCUGAGCACUGAGUACAGUGGGGACAACCUGGGGUGCGGUGGUUUGUAAAGCAAGGGUGAGUACACAUCAACGUACUUAGCAAAUGUCCCGUUUGGCUAAAGUGGACUAGCUGUAUGUGGAGUUAAGGUUAAGAAGUUGCUUUUAGUUGGUCAAGUUUAAUUACUAUAAGUUGAGCUAAAUUUUAGUAAUAAACCCAAUUAUUACGCAGAAGUACUCCCUCCAAAAGGAAAUACCAGAGAUCAAAUUUAUAAUCAUCAUUGUUAAUCAUCAUCAUAAAAGUAACCAAAGUUCUUCUAAUCAAAGAGGAUCCCAAGGCUGCUCAUAACCAUGAGCACGGCUGAUAUACCAGUUUCUAACACUCUGCAGAGGUCACACACUUUACCCACAAGUCGUGAUUCCCUUUCUGCAUGGGGUUCUAGCCUCCCCAUUGAUCACUACAAAGGUGACCUAGUAGGGUCUCACUAUGUAGCCUUUAAAAAGAUUUCCCAGAGGUCAUAGUUGCCCGUUAGGUUUCUCCAGUUUGAUAAACACAGUACAUCACCCCAAAUGAACGGUGACUAACAAAACCAAAUCGAGAACCUCUGCAACCAGCCUCAGCAGAGCAAGUACUGUGCCCGGACCCCAUUGACGGCCCUACGGCGAAGCCAACUAUUCCUCUGGUUCCUCUAAUUUAUUAGCUAAGGGCGUCCCAUUCAACCCUCAUGGUUGCACUAUUAUCCUGGGUUGUCACUCCCCAAACAGGUCCUUACGGAGAGUUACUCAGGAAACAGCCUGAGCCCCCUAAAGUAAUCACAAGAACCUCAUCGGGAUAACAUCAUCGUAUCAUAAAUAAUCACAUCAUGUUCGUUGAUUAAGUUAAAGCAAUAGCAAAAUGCGAAUCAUGAUAACCCAAAAGGUAAACAAGGAUAAGGUAAAUACAGACUAGUCAAUGCUUAAGUUUUAAAUAAUGUAAUGCGGGACAGUGAAUUAUAAAGUAAAUUAGGACAUGAUAGGUCUGAGGACACUUGCCUUCACCAGGUUGUUGCUCAUAGGGAUCUUCGGCAACACACUCAGGAACCACGGGCUGCACGUUGACUAAAUAAAGCGAUCAUACAUUCAAUACAUUUGGAAAGUACAAAUGAACAACACAUCAAACAUAUACAAACAUUGGAACACAUCUCAAAAGGUAUAGUAUUAAAUAAAGGAGAAUGAGAGCAAAUUAUAAAAUGAACUAAACUUAAUUAGGAGUUGAUUACUCUAAGUGUUUGGAACACAUCUCAAAAAGGUAAAAUAGUAAUUAAAUAAGGAAAGAGAUUAAAUUAUAAGAUGAACUAAUCUUAAUUAGGAAUUGAUUUUUCUUUAAGUGUUGUCCAUAAUUACAUAACCUAAUUCUAUUCAUUUUAUUGAGACCUAAAAGUUAAACCAGAGAUGAAUUCAUGUAGUACAUAUUAUUAAUCUCAUAAGAUUAAAUAUACUUUAACUUCUAGGGCUUUCCUUUUAUUUAUUUCAUAAAAUGAAUAAAUCAACAUAUGUUUUAAUCUUAUAUUCUAGGUGUAAAUUUAAAGUGUACAAACUAUAGAUGAACAUAAUUUAUUUGGGUAGAGAAUAAUCUUAUGAAUAUUUUACAAUUUGAUCCACUAAAUUUGGAGUUCAUAUGAAGAAGAUAUGAAAUGGACAAGUUUUGAAGUUUAAAAUAUGAAAUUAGGUCUAAUUCUGUAAUUAUUUAAAUGUACAGGGGGCUGUUUAAAAGAACACAGGGACCUGCGCGCGGAAACCAGGGACGACGAGUUUAUUUAUUAAAACCCGAGGGUCUCUUAAGCAAAACAUACACGCGAAGGGGUACAUGGUGAUCUCGACCAUCGGAUUAGAGAACAACGGACAGGAUUAGAUCCCACGGACGCGCGCGCGAGCGCGCAGACGCGACUGACAGGCAGGGAUGGGGUGUCAACGAACCAGGGCGGGCUGACCAGCCGAGCCCAGCUACAGGGGCGCGGGAGAGGGGGAGAGAGAAGAGCGGUCAGAUCUAGAUCGGAGGGUUGAGAUUAGAUCCGCUCUGCUAAAGUCUAAACCGCCCGAUCUCGGACGGACGCCCGAGAUCCAACGGCUGGCGGCCGGACGCGAGUACGGUGGCGCCGCUCGUUCUCGCGGCGAGGGCUCGCCGGAGACGAGGGGACUGGCCACGGCGAGCCUCUAGGGGCUUGGGGAAUAGCUCGAGCGCGCUCAGGUCGAUCUGGCAAACUCGACCAUGGGCGCAAAACCGGCAUGGGGGCACCAGAGGACGCAGACCACGGUGGAAAGGUCCCGCGGCGGCGCAACUUACUCCGGUGAGCAAUUGCACGAGCACUGGGGCAAUACUUGGUGAAAUAAAGGCAUGGGAAGGUUCCUCACCUCGAGUGCGAACUUCGGGACGCUUGGGGAUUGGCGGGGGUGCGAUCGAGCCUCACGUCGACGGCAGCGGGCUCCGGCUACACAAGAAAUGCUCCGGUGAGUGCGGACUCGGCAAAUCAGAGAGGGGAAGGGCAAACCAAAAGGUGUCUCGAGUAGCUGAUGGCAAGCCGGAACUCACCGAGGCAACGGACGGGGUGCGGGCUUGACGACGGUCGCAGAAUGGACGACGGUCGAUGGUGAGCGGCAGCGGAUCUAUCUGGUCGCGUGCGUAGAGCGAGAGAGGGGCGAGAGGGUUCGGCUGAGGGCGCAAGUGAGCGGGGGGAGGUGGGCGAGCGGGGCACGGGGCUCAAAAGGGGCGAGGACGUGCGGAGGUUGUGACACCCCAGUGUCACCUAGGGUUUCUCUCAAGUGCUAACCCAAGAACCAUCAUUUUAUGUGAACCAAAUUAAGCAUGAAGCAUCAAAUUGACUUAAGAAUAAAAGAUCUACUAAGUGUAUAUCUAAAGUAUCAUGUUCCAAACAAGUAAGAUUUUCAAAAAAGAGCAAAAUGUUGAAACCCUAAUACCAAACCUAAUUGAGUUCUUUAAGUAGAAUUGAAGAAAAGGGGCAAAGGAUUAUGAAAAAUAUAAAAUCAAGGCUUAGGCCAAAUAUAAACAUUGAAGUGUACUAAAUAAGCAACAAUAAAGAUUAUGAAAGCUUGUCCAAAAUAGUUUAGUAAAAACUCUAAAACAAGCUUCUCAAGUAAGGGUUCAAUGGGGAUUUCUGAAAUUCAGAAUUCUGAAUUUCAGCCCUUGAGCUAAAGACCGAGCGUGUUCACCUUGAUCCCUAGCUCAAAUCCUAAUGCCCCCAUUGACAAAAUUAUGCCUAACUAAUCCCUCUAUCACAUGCCAGAAGAUGGCAUUAGGACACGAGCCCUAAACAUGACAAAACCCAGGAUUUGCCUCGGGCUCGGGCACGGAGACAGACCAGAUUUCAGGGAUCCAAAUCUUUGAAACCAGUAGACAAAAUCCUAUGACCCCACACAGGAUCGGUAGCUUAUAGGGAGUAGAAGAUGUUUUGUGCACUGGCCAAGGGAAGAGCAGGCUCGGAUGAAUGACCACACGCACCAGAACUUGGGCAGAAUGAACGCGCACACGUGUUCGACCCUAGUCGGCACGCUGGCGUUCGCCCAACCCGCGUGCGCGCUCGCCCCAGCGUUCGGUCAAGUCCGCCGCGUGCCCUCUCCCUCGAUUGUGCUCGUUCGCGCCUAUAAAGCCUUCCCAGGUGCGCCUCACCUCACCCUGUGCUCACCUUCACCGGCCAGUCGCCCCUCCUUAGCUCCGGCGAGCUCUCUUCCGCCCGCGAUUGCCACCCGAGCCUCGGCCACCGUGGCCAGCCCACCCCAGUUGCUUCCCAGCCGUGCCAGCCGCUCGUUUAGCUUUGCCAAUAGCUUGUGAAGCUUUCCCAGCCCUCGGACCUGGCAGAACUUCACCGAAGAACCGAGAUCGUCCUCGCCGGACUUCGGCCGCCCGCCUGCGCGUGUAGACCGAGCAAUCAGGUGAGCCGUUCUUCAAUUCCUCGCACACACACCUUCCUUGAUCCCUAGUGAAGCUCUCUGACCUAUUUGAUUGGUUAAUUGUGCCCUGGAUAGGCCGGACUCCUUGCCGCCGACGACCUCCCCCGCCUGGGCACGUGGACCGGCCGACUCCGACCAUCCCCGACGGCGACCCGCAUAUCGCCGUGACCCACAGGACCUCCCCUACACCCUCGGCCACCUCACCACAGCAGUCUCGCCACCGGUAAGCCCCUCCGCUCUUUCUUCCGCCACAAGUACUAUUUGAUUUGGGGGAAGGACCUCGGGUUAGGAUUAGAAGAACCCAGGGGGUUUUCUGAAUUGUCAGCGACUCAUUUGAAUAGUAGCCCAAGGACUAGUCUGUAAGGAAAACUUGAAAACACCUGCCAGGGACCCCGUUGCAAAGUAGUUUUCCAUUUAAUCAUUUCUGUUUAAUCUUUUUAAUGAACACAAAACUUAGGAAAUUCAUAACUUAAGAAAUACUUAACUAAAAAUUGUCAAACCAAUUUUGCUGGAUUCUAAAUAUUAUGGACUACCAACUAAAAAUACUGAACCCCAUGCUUUCUGUUCUAAAUUUUAGAGUUUAGAUUUAAAUACAGAAACUGACCAAACCUUGUUUAAUUAAAGAAAAUUAGUUAUGCUUCUGUACUGAACCUAAGAAAAUUUGUAGAUGUUCAAACCCCAUUUCACCACUGUCUAAAAAUAAUGGGAACCUCAGUAUUGAAAUUCAAGUAGGGAUAUCUAUUAAAAGCCACUUUUACCCAAAACUUAAGAAAAUCAGAAAGGCAUUAGUAAUUAAUGAACGGUGAAUGAAAUUAUUUUUCCUAGCCUACUUAAGCAACAAGGAACCUAGGAAAAAUAAAAGACCCCUAGUCCAGAACAGAAUUAAAGUGGAAUGUUUUAUUUAGCAUUAUUCCAACUAGAAAACAAUUAUUGGAGUUAUAAAACCAGACUCAAAUUUGUUAAUAAAAAUCCAGUGGACUUGUAACCACCAAAACCCCACUGCAAAAAUAAUAAAUACACCAGCCCAUCAUUUUAAGUAGGGUAAAUAAAUAGAACAUGAUAAUGGGUCAUAUUUCAAAUAAAUCAUGAGUAACCCAAAAUAAUGCAAUAAUGGGCAAGUAAAAUUUUGCUAGAUCAAUAAUGAGAUAGGCCACCAGAGAAAAAUGUAAACCCAUUUGAAAGAUGCAUAAUAAUACCUAUUACCAAUACUUCAUGAAAAAAGGCCAUUUAAUCCAAAUAAUUCCUACCACCCCUUCCCUUAAGCAAAAAGAUGCCAAACUUCAAAAUGAUUGCUCUUGCACAAAGAAGAAGUUAGGAAAAAUUAGAAAUCUGUUGUUUGAUAUUUUUCAAAUAUAGUCGUAUUAGAAAGCACCCCUUUGACUAGAAACUUUAGAAAAUCCUAGUAAAAUAACUAAUAAGUAUUAAUGGCUAGAAAUAUGUGCAAAGUCAUGUUAUAACAUCUAAAUGCCAGCAAAAAUAAGUCUUAGAAAAUUACCUACUGUUAAAUGGUAGUUCUAGUUCAAACCAUCCCUUCUUCCCUAGCAUUCUAUAAUUUUGUCCAGAGAGAACUCUUCACUUUUUAAGCCCCAAAUUUUAGGACAGAGAAUUAUACACCAGUAAUAAGCCACUGUAAUUUUUACAGAAUGUUUGGAAAUUUAUUAAGAUAGCUUGUAGUUCAAACCCACUCUAAAAACAUAAAGGAAAUAAAGGGAAAGAAAGGAAAGAUAAACCUCACCCCAAUAAGUCCAACUUGAAAUGUUGACAAUUCUCACUAAAACUUUAAAAAGAAUUCAGUGGAACACCAAAAUGAACUUACCACUUAGUUUAACUGAGUGUGAUCUAAAAUACUAAGUAUACCACCAAAAAUCUUUAGUAGCAAGACUUAACUCUAUCUAAAUUAAGUGGAUCAUUCACCAUCAAAGUUUAAUUGCUAAAGCACAUAUCAUAUCAUGUAUGUAUCUUACUCCUUUCAUUCAUUAGAUUGUAAUCUCGUUGAGGGAGAGUACGUGCUCAUCCCCGAGCAAGGAACUGUCCAAGAGGAAGACCAGGAGCAAGCUUCCAAGGCUGCUAUCAAGGAUCUCCCCUCAGCCCCAGCUAUUGAAGGCAAGCCCCGGUUUUAUGUAUAACCGUAUUAUUAUAUGUUACUUUACUACACUUAAUGCUUGUAGGGUUGUAAUGUGCACUUAAGUGUAGGAGUUGCUUGAAACCUCUAAGUUGCAUGAACCUAGGAUUCCUUUUUGAGAUGGAUACUAGUACGAUAGGUCGAGUAGCUUCUUUGCUAAACAGGAUCUCGGUAUAAGUCGAGUGAUUUUUCUAGCAAUCGCGCGAGGUCAGAAAUUGAUUGUAUUCAUCUUGAUAACGGGAUCUAUGUUAGUCUAUGGACUUGGAUCCAGGGAGGAUGCCUUGUCCAUGAGACGGGAAAAGGGAAUUAAGGAUUAAUGUGUGGAUACCUGAGUCAAGCUUUUGAACGUACUAAGCACAUGUCGGGAAAUAUGGUAACCGGUAAACCUAGUACCUGAGUGAAGUCGGGCGCAGACUUUAUCCCUCACGCGACCUGAGACUAGGUCUCCCAUGCUAGCUAUGGUGGGUACAAGUGCGGUCACUGCACGGCGGCAACCGAGGUCAGUGGAGCAUUGUAUGCCAAGGCAGUGAGGCCUGGACGCGAACAUGAAAUCGAUGGGGACGGUUGGCAUGUGUGGGGUCGGAGUACCCUGACAUGUCGUGUGUUUAGAUUUACCUUGAAAGGAUAAAACUCGAUUCGAAUCGUCUGCUUCUCGCAGCUAAUGAGACUACUUGACCCCUUGUACUACAUUGAGUAAGAAGUGAAAUGAGGUUACAUGAGAUAAUUUGUUGAUUGUACUGAAAUGCUUGUUACCAUGUAUGCUUAGAAGGAGCAAACUUAGCUAAAGAUAAUGAUGCUAGAAUUUGAAAAGCUAAAAAUUGAUUUUAGAAACAACUAGUGCUUUUGGCAAACCAAACCCCUCAGCCAAAUAGCUGCAUGGUCUAGAGGUAGAGGAGUAGAUUCCUCACACCGAGUAAGUCUAGCUGAGUAUUAGUAUACUCAGCCUUGCUUGUGGAAUAAUUUUUGCAGGUACGCUUCAUGAUAUGGUUGAUCGUGUGACUUGGCCUACCACCCUGCCACCGGGUUGGACGGUCGAGUGGGAUGCUGCUCCGGCAGGACAGGAGCACAAGGAGUAGUGGGCUAGGCCUUGCCCAUUCCCUCGCUACCGACGACAUCAAUUAUCCGCUGCAUUUUAUUUUAUGAACACUUAUCAGCAACUUGAAAAAACUCCGAUUUAUGUAAUAACUUCAGCACUUAAUUUGAGGUUUCCUGCUUUAUUGUAUUUCUUCUGUGACUCACCUUCGAGUGAGAUUGUGGAAUUUGAUCCUGGUUAAGUGGAUCUAUCAGACUAGAUCUGAGGGACUGACAGGUUAUUCCAAUUUAAGUGUGUUAUGGCCCCUGAGGCGUGACUUAGGCACUUAAGCUGGAAUAAUUCGGGCGGUUCUGCCACAGAAGUGGUCAGAGAUCGUGCGGUCGUGGGCGCGUCCAUGGCGGGAGAAUGUGGGCGAGAGGUUGUGGACGAGCUAACUGGUGGGGUCGGUGGGACAGAGAGAGAAGCGGGCGCGCGGGCGAGAGAAACAGGCGACAAGCCUGGCCAACUGGGCAGCGGGAGGGAGAGAGGGAGAGAAGGGGCGUGAGAGCUGGCGCCGACAGGCGGGACCCGCCUGUCAGGCAUCGAGGGCGCGCAGGCAUGGGCGCGCGCGCGAGAGGCUGGGCUUGCUGGGCCGACUGGGCUGAAAUGGUUUUUUCUAUUUCCAGGGAAUUUUAAUGUGUUUUACAUUUAUUUUCUCUAGGGUUUUAAUUCAAAUUUAAACCAAGUUUCAAAUUCAAACCAAAUAAAAAAUGUGCAACAAUUCAAAGAAUAUUUGGAACUCAACAUGAUGCAACAUUUGAUGACUCAUCUGUUUUGUCAAAAAAUAAAAUAAAUAAUCCCUCACUAAUUAAGCUAAGAGAAAGAGAGAGAGAGAGAGAAACUAGAGAGAGAUAGAAACUAGAAUGAGAGAGAGAAGAGUAACACCUAAAUUUGGAUGAUAAUAAGAAAGAAAUUUUAUACCCCCAAAUUCAGGGUGGUACAAACCUAUCCCCCUUAAAAGAAUCUCGCCCUCGAGAUUCAGGGCUGGCUAGCAAAGAGUUCAGGGUACUUGGCUCUCAGAUCAUCUUCUCUUUCCCAGGUUGCUUCUUCCUCUGAGUGAUGGCCCCAUUUGACUUUGCACAUCCUGAUGGUGUUCCUCCGAGUGACCCAAUCUGCUGUCUCUAGAAUUUGAGUUGGCUUCUCUUAGUCUGACCAUAUAUCUGCGGGUGAGAAGCUGAAUUGAAUUUCAAGUGUGUACUGAAAGCUUCAUGUAGCUGCUACAAAAAAUUAGAGGUAAACUGGGUGCCUCUGUUUGAUACUAUCUUCUUUGGAAUAUCAUGCAAGCACACAAUCCGAGACAUGUAUAAUUCUGCUAGCACUGCACUGUUAUAGGUGGUCUUGACUGGUAUGAAAUGGGUCACCUUUGUUAAAUGGUCCACUACUACCCAGAUGGAGUCAUAACCAGCCCGAGUGCGGGGUAGACCGACUAUAAAGUCCAUCCCAAUUUCAUCCCAUUUCCACUGAGGAAUCUGCAACAAACAUGCAGGUCUCUGAUAUUCUGCCUUGAUCCUAUGACAAUUGUCGCAUCUGGCCACAUACUCUGCUAUCUCUCUUUUCAUAUCGUACCACCAGAAUCUCUUCUUCAGGUCUUGGUAUAUUUUCUCGCUACCAGGGUGUAUAGAAUAUGUUAUCUCAUGAGCUUCCUUGAGAAUCAGUUCCCGGAUCAAUUUGAUGUCGGGAACGCACAACCUAUGCUUGAACCAUAUCACUCCUUGUACAUCUUCACGGAAAUCCAGACCUUUCCCAUCUAUGAUUAGUUGCUGGAUCUCGUUGAUCUUCUUGUCAUCUUUCUGACCUUUCCUGAUGUCUUGCUCUAGAGUGGGUUCUAUCUUGACUGUCACUCCUUGAGUGUUGUUCAGAAAUCCGAGACUUAGCUUGUCUAAUUCCUUUGCUAGCUCGAACAGCAUCGGGUGAGCGGCCAACAUAUUGACUUGAAUCUUUCUGCUAAGAGCAUCUGCAACCACAUUUGCUUUGUCUGGGUGAUAAUGGAUCUCCAGCUCAUAGUCUUUCAUCAAUUCUAGCCAUCUUCGCUACCUCAAUUUUAACUCUGAUUGAGUGAAUAUGUACUUGAGGCUCUUAUGAUCCAUGUAGAUAUCACACUUCUGCCCAUAAAGAUAAAGUCUCCAGGUCUUCAGUGCAUGAACCACUGCUACUAGCUCUAGAUCAUGAGUGGGGUAAUUAAUCUCAUGAACCUUCAACUGCCGGGACGAGUAUGCUACUACUUUCCCUUCUUGCAUUAACACACAUCCCAGUCCGGUGUACGAAACAUCACAAUAUACUGAGAACGGCUUGUGAACAUCUGGUAGAACCAAUAUCAGUGUUGUUGUCUACUUCUGCUUCAACAUCUCAAAUGAUUCUUGGCACACUGGGGUCCACUUAAACUCAAUCUUCUUUGCUAGUAAGGCGGUCAUAGGUCUGGCAAUCUUGGAGAAACCUUCAAUGAAACGUCGAUAGUAGUCGACCAUUCCAAUGAAACUCUUGAUUCCUCGGACAUCUUUUGGUGCUUUCCAGUCCAGAAUCGCUGCUACCUUCUUUGGAUCCACAGCUAGUCCAUCUCGGUUUAUAAUAUGACCCAAGAACAAAACUUCGCUAAUCCAGAACUCACACUUGCUAAGCUUGGCGUACAACUGGCAAUCUCCUAGCCUCUAAAGCACCUUCCUCAAAUGUUCCUCAUGCUUUUACUCAUUCUGGAAAUAUACAAGACUAUCAUCAAUGAACACCACUACAAACUUGUCGAGGUAGUCCAUGAACACACUGUUCAUCAGGAACAUGAAGUAAGUUAGCGCAUUCGUCAAACCGAAUGAGAUAACCAUGAACUCAUAUAAUCCAUACUUGGUGAUGAAUGAUGUCUUCGGUAUAUCUAAAGGUCGGAUUCUGAGCUGAUGGUAACCUGACCUCAGAUCUAUCUUUGAUAACACACUGGCUCCUCUCAACUGAUCAAAUAGGUCUUCAAUUCGAAGCAGGGAUACUUGUUCUUGAUAGUGACUUCAUUCAAAGCUCUAUAAUCAAUUGCACAUCCUCUUCAUGCCAUCCUUCUUCUCCACAAAUAGCACUGGGGCUGCCCAAGGUGAGGUACUUGGUCCGAUGUAGCCUUUCUCUAACAACUCAACAAUUUGCUUCUUGAGUUACACCAACUCUAGUCCGGAUACUCGAUAGGCUCUCUUGGAAAUAGGGGUGGUGCAUGGGAUAAGCUCUAUGGCAAAUUCAACUUUCCUUUCAGGUGGCAUGCCUGGUAACUCUCCUGGGAAUACUUCGGGGAAUUCCGACACAUCUCUAAUUGCCUCAAUCGGAUUGGACUCUUUGUCAUCUAUUGAUAAAUGGUGACAGGCUCCUUCUUCUAGUUCAGGCAAGUACAACUGGGUUACUACUUCCUUUUCGGAUGGGGACACCAACUUGACUGUUCUCUUCUCACAACUGACACUGGCUUGGUUUCUGUGUAGCCAAUUCAUCCCUAGGAUGACAUCUAACCCUUGAGUUCCCAUUACUACUAGGCUAGCGGGGAAGUCUAUCCCCCUUAUUUCAAUCCUUAGAUUCGGACAAAUCCUAUCGGACUGAACUUUCCCCCCAACUGAAUUAACUCUUAAAGGUGAAAUCAUUGGUUCUAUGGGGAUGUUAUGUGAUUCUACCCAAGAUGUAGAAACAAAAGAAUGUGUGGCAACAGUAUCAAAUAAUACUUUUGUUGGGUAGGAUUCGACUGGAAACAUACUUACUGCCACGUCCUGAGUAUCCUGGAUUGCUUCGGCCUCCAGGUGGUUCACCUUUCCAUGGUUGUAGGCCUGACCACGACCUCCUGGUGCUUGCUAUGGCGCUCCUUGCCUUACUGGAGUACUGACUGUUGGCGACUGCUGAGCUGCAUCUUCUUGGGGUGCCUGCUGUUCCGGCUGAGCACGCCUUGCACCUUUGCGCCUGUUCUCAGACAUCUGUAGAAAGCACACACACAUCAGAUUUGACUCUGCAGUCUUUCAGCAUAAGAAAAGAGAUACAAAAAUCUUUAUAGCACUGAACAUUGAUCUUCUUCACCGACAGCUUUUCAGUUAAAGAAGAAAAUGGAAAUAAAUGCAUUACCCAACUAAAUAACUUACUUAAUUAAUAACUACACCAAGUUGCAGGAGAUACCCAAAACUUGAUGACAAUCAUUACAAAGAUCCAACUUCAUUACAUGUUCAUCAUGACAAGCAUUCCAACAUACGAUAAGCAAACUAACUAUAACUAAGACUGACUAGACUAAGACACUGAAUUAAGCAUUAUUACAGACUCUGACCCCGUCGAUCUAUGGAUCCAAAUCUAUCUUGGUCCAGUAGUCUGGGGUACCAUAGUCGAAACGACCAUAGGGCAGUGAGCGGUAAGGGUGCUGAAUCCCGACAGGGGCGGGAGAACCACCAUCUAGAUAGUGGCAUGCUGCACACUCAACACGCAAUUCCGCAACCUCCGCUCGAACCUUGCCCAACUCGUCAAGGGCGUGGUCCAGCUCUGUGUUGAGCACGGCGGCCAGGUUGACCAUUCCGUUCGGCCUGGGAUUGCCCUCACCAACUGGCGAGACAAUCACACCUCCAGCACUGCUGGUCGAACGUCGAGGGUAGUACUUCAGGUCAAGGCCAUCAGCUACCCCACUGAACAACGAGCAAUACUGGGAAAGUGCACGUCGUACUGCAUCUUGCAUGGCUGCCUUAGUAGUAUCCCUCUCAGUAAUAGAGUAGUGUUCUAAGAAGUCCUCUGCACCCCGGAGAUCAUCGUCCGGACGGCGCACCAAGCAAGUAGCCUCCCACUGGUCCGCGUAUAACCCGCGACGAUGCUGAUAGACUACACAACGGUACUCGAUGGACCAAGUGUGUUGAUCGAAGGCCCGACGCAACAGGGUGUUGAGAGCGUCGUGGAAGUGACACCUGUGAGCGGCGUCGCGAGUGAUGGGUCUAGCAAUCCAUCCCUCCGGCUCUGGCUCCUCCGAGAUCUCCGUGUCGUGGCUCGAACUGCCACCAGCGUCAUCGUCGUCUCCGUCUCUGUCAGGGUCUCCUCAAGUAGCCGGGAUGCCUUGUGGUGGUGCAGGGGGCAUCUCUGGCUGAGGUGCAGGGGAAGGCGGCCUCCCAGACUCCACCUCCUGCUUAGGCAAGGGGGAAGAGUCCUAGUGCUCCUGCUCCUGCUCCUGGCAUCGGCACUCCUGCUCCUCAUGAAGGCGACGGUGCAGUCUCUCCAGGUGACUGGACUGACCUGGCACCGUGCGACGCAGUGGACGCUCCGCCAAGCGAGAAGGCAAAAAGGGGAUCACUGACUUACGUGCAGUGCAUCUAAUAUGAGCCAUCUACAAAAGACAUCGUAAGUAAAAGAGUGAGAGUAGAACUAUAAGACCAGAAAGUAAACAGAAAGAAAAGUUAGACAAAACUUUUGAGAUAAGUAAAUAACAUAGAGUUGGUCAAGAUGACCAACUUCUGAAAUGACAUUUAGGUGAAGGUAAGAGUAGGGGUCUAUAGUCCUUAGGGCGACCAUUCUAGUCUAGGUUAGCGGUCCUACAGUCAGCAAGGCUCUGAUACCACUUAUGUCACACCCGGUUUUGGAAGGUAAACCGAAUGCAAACCAUGUAUGUGCCAGGAUCAGAACUCACGUACACAGCGAUUACAUAAUUGGGCAUCAUCACACAAUGCUCGAAAUAAAUACCGGAAAGGUACUUUAGUUACAUCAAGAUGUCCAAGACAUCCAUAGAGUCUAAUACGUAUCCAUAGUGUUCAACAUUAAUAUCAAAGUGCGGAGAAACGAAACGUAGAAGAUAAGCCUACACAGACAGCUGACUAGGGGUUUGCCACUAAAAUAAACUAAAACUCAUUGUAGUCCUGGAACUCCUCAAAGUCCUCCAUGUUGCCAACAUCUCCUCCUGAGCACUGAGUACAGUGGGGACAACCUGGGGUGGGAUGGUUUGUAAAGCAAGGGUGAGUACACAUCAACGUACUCAGCAAAUGUCCCGUUUGGCUAAAGUGGACUGGCUAAAGUGGAAUUAAUUAGCUAAGGGCGUCCCAUUACACCCUCAUGGUUGCACAGUUAUCCCGGGUUGUCACUCCCCAAAUAGGUCCUUACGGAGAGGUACUCAGGAAACAGCCUGAGCCCCCUAAAGUAAUCAUAAGAACCUCAUCAGGAUAACAUCAUCGUAUCAUAAAUAAUCACAUCAUGUACAUUGAUUAAGUUAAAGCAAUAGCAUAAUGCGAAUCAUGAUAACCCAAAAGGUAAACAAGGAUAAGGUAAAUACAGACUAGUCAAUCCUUAAGUUUUAAAUAAUGUAAUGCGGGACAGUGAAUUAUAAAGUAAAUUAGGACAUGAUAGGUCUGAGGACAAUUGCCUUCACCAGGUUGUUGCUUAGAGGGAUCUUCACAACACACUCAGGAACCAUGGGCUGCUCAUUGUCUAAAUAAAGCGAUCAUACAUUCAAUAUAUUUGGAAAGUACAAAUGAUCAGCACAUCAAACAUGUACGAACAUUGGAACACACCUCAAAAGGUAUAGUAUUAAAUAAAGGAGAAUGAGAUCAAAUUAUAAAAUGAACUAAUCUUAAUUAGGAGUUGAUUACUCUCUAAGUGUUUGGAACACAUCUCAAAAAGGUAAAAUAGUAAUUAAACAAGGAAAGGGAUUAAAUUAUAAGAUGAACUAAUCUUAAUUAGGAAUUGAAUAUUCUUUAAGUGUUGUCCAUAAUUACAUAACCUAAUUCUAUUCAUUUUAUUGAGACCUAAAAGUUAAACCAGAGAUAAUUCAUGUUGUACAUAUAUUACUAAUCUCACAAGAUUAAAUAUACUUUAACUUCUAGGGCAUUCCUUUUAUUUAUUUCAUUAAAUGAAUAAAUCAACAUAAACUUUAAUCUUAUAUUCUAGGUGUAAAAUUAAAGUGUACAGACUAUAGAUGAACAUAAUUUAUUUGGGUAGAGAAUAAUCUUAUGAACAUUUUGCAAUUUGAACCACUAAAUUUAGAGUUCAUAUGAAAAAGAUAUGAAAUGAACAAGUUUUGAAGUUUAAAAUAUGAAAUUAGGUCUAAUUCUGUAAUUAUUUAAAAGUACAGGGGGAUGUUUAAAAGAACACAGGGACCUGCGCAUGAAAACCAGGGACGACGGGUUUAUUUCCUAAUACCUGAGGGUCUCUUAAGCAAAACAUACACGCGAAGGGGUAUGGGGUGAUCUCGACCAUUGGAUCAGAGAUCAACGGACAGGAUUAGAUCCCUCGGACGCGCGCACGGGCGCAACUGACAUGCGGGGACGGGGUGUCAGCGAACCAGGGCGGGCUGACCAGCCGGGCCUAGCUGCAGAGGCGCGGGUGAGGGGGAGAGAGAAGAGCGGUCAAAUCUGGAUCGGAGGGUUGAGAUUAGACCCGCUCUGCUAAAGUCUAAACCGCUAGAUCUUGGAUGGACGCCCGAGAUCCAACGGCUGGCGGCCGGACGCGGGUGCGGUGGCGCCGCUUGGUCUCCCGGCGAGGGCUCGCCGGAGACGAAGGGACUGGCCAUGGCGAGGCUCUAGGGGCUUGGGGAAUAGCUCGAGCGCGCUCAGGUCAAUCUGGCGAACUCGACCAUGGGCGCAAAACCGGCAUGGGGGCACCAGAGGACGCAGACCACGGUGGAAAGGUCCCGCGGCGGCGCAACUUACUCCGGUGAGCAAUUGCACGGGCACUGGGGCGAUACUUGGCAAAAUAAAGGCAUGGGAAGGUUGCUCACCUCGAGUGCAAACUCCGGGAUGCUUGGGGAACGGCGGGGGUGCGGUGGAGCCUCGGGUCGACGGUGGCGGGCUCCGGCUGCACAGGAAACGCUACGGUGAGCGCGGACCGGGCAAAUCAGAGAGGGGAAGGGCAAACCAAAAGGUGUACCGAGUAGCUGACGGCAAGCCAGAAUUCAUCGAGGCAACAGACGGGGUGCGGGAUCGACGACGGUCGCAGAACGGACGGCGGUCGACGGUGAGCGGCGGUGGAGCUAUCUAGUCACGUGCACAGAGCGAGAGAGGGGGCGAGAGGGUUCGGCUGAGGGCGCAAGUGAGCGGGGGGAGGUGUGUGAGUGGGGCGCGGGGCUCAAAAGGGGCGAGGACGUGCAGAGGUUGCCGGAGAUCACGCGGUCGUGGGCGCGUCCACGGCGGGGGAACGUGGGAGGGAGUUUGGGGACGAGCUGACAGGUGGGGUCGGCGAGACAAAGAGAGAAGCGGGCGCGCGGGCGAGAGAGACGGCACCGACAAGCCUGGCCCACUGGGCUGCGGGAGGGAGAGAGGGAGAGAAGGGGCGCGAGAGCUGGCGCCAACAGGUGAGACCCACCUGUCAGGCACCAAGGGCGCGCGGGCGCGCGCGCGAGGCUGGGCUUGCUGGACCGACUAGGCUAAAAUGGUUUUUUCUAUUUCCAGGGAAUUUCUAAUGCCUUGUCCAUUUAUUUUAUUUAGGGUUUUCAAUUCAAAUUCAAACCAAGUUUCAAAUUCAAACCAAAUCAAUCAUGUGGAGCAAUUCAAAGAAUAUUUAGAACUCAACAUCAUGCAACAUUUAAUGACUCAUUUGUUUUGUCAAAAAAUAAAAUAAAUACUCCAUCACUAAUUAUGCUAACCCUAACCAAAAGAUAAAGAGAGAGAGAGAAACUAGAGAGAGAUAGAAAUUAGAAUGAGAGAGAGAAGAGUAACACCUGAAUUUGGAUGAUAAUAAGAAAGAAAUUUUAUGCCCCAAAUUCAGGGUGUUACAAUAUGAGGAUGUUGUGGAGGGCUGCAGUGGUGUAAGGGCUGGAAGGUACGUGGUGGAGGAAGGAGUGACGAGGAAGGGGAAGAAGUGCUCCCCCUAGUCCGUCGAGAACGACGAAGUAAAGCUGGUGGCGACAAGUCAGGCCUAGCUUCUGUGGGGACAAUGGAUAUCUGAGGCCUGAUAAUUUCUGCAAUUGACAGUGUGCUGGAAGACACUAUUCCUGAAGAUCUUUUGCUUAAGUUGUCUGAAAUCAGGGUCGCUGACGUCCGUGUAGAGUGCCCGGACGAUGUGCCCUCUGCUGGCUUUCUGGUCGGGCCGGAGGUAAGCGUGCCAGUCUGCUAGGGCUCUUCAACCCCUGUGGGUGCUUUAGCCCUUGAGGGUGCUCCAUCCCCCAAGGAUCCUUCGAUUGGCUACCUCUCUACUGCUUCGAUGGAUGUUCAAGUGGGAUCGCCAUUGCUUUGAACUAAUGAUGCCACGAUAACAAGCUCUUAUAUGCUCAUUGGUUCGGCCAGCCCGAUCGCCUUAGAGGUUAGUGGUCGUGGCGCUGAAGAGUCAAUGGAUGCUCCAAGUGCUGAAGACCCAAUGGGUGCGUUUGGAGUUGAGAUCCCAAUGGGUGUUGCACUUAGCUUGGAUUACCCUGUUCCUUCGAUGCCUGACCCUGGUCAUAAUGCGGCUUCUAUUGAUGUCCUUCCUUCUUUGAGCGUGUCGGCACUUCCAGCUUUGGGUUUCCCUUGUUCCUGUUCAAGUUACAUGUACCUUCUCCCCGUGCUUCCUUGUUUUUACAAAUGGGUGUUCCCUUUGCUGACUUCUGUACCUGUCGAGUAUCCUAGACUUGGUGGCUGCUCAGCUGAAGGCAUAUGGCGCUCUUGUGCCUAAGCAAAUUUCUUCCUUUUCGCAAUGGAACCCCCUUUCUCUUUAGAAACAGAUAGAUGAUAUGAAAUCUGCUAACGCUGGUGAGUUGGUUAACAGUGUUUUCUAUUAAUCUUUCUGUCUGUUCAUAUCACCAGUGGUUGCUAUUUAUUUCUUCAGCUUUGACUCGACGGUGUUCUGAUGCUGAGGAGAGGUGUGUUCAAGGUCGGCCAGAACUUGAUCAGGUGACCAUGUCUCUUGACGGCACCCAUGACAUGAACUCUUCCCUUCAGUCAAAGCUUGUUUUGGAGAAGAAAACCCUUGAGGUAACCUACUGGGAGCUUCAAGUUGCUUAUUCCAUGCUUUCGACCUAUUACCAAAAGGUUCUCCCACCCAUAGGAGGAGAUGCAGAAACUUCUUGACUCUCGAAACAAUCUUGAUAAAUUGUACCAAGACGCCACUAGCUCCCUUACCACCCUAGAAAGGAUCCAUCGCUUCACGAUGGAUGAGUUGGAGCACAAGAGGAACGAGUUGAAGGAGUCCCAGGAUGAGGUGUUGAUGCUCGGUGAGUCUCUAUCUUCGAAAGAUUCUGCCAUCAAAGAGCUCGGUGCCUCGAAGAAGCUGGUGUUGCAGGAGUUAGAAGCUUCUCACUGGGAUAUGAGCAUCUUGGAGGAUGACCGCUAGAUCAUGAAGGCAUGGUGCAACAAGGCGAUGGACAAGGCAGUCCGAGUUGGUUGCCUCUUGAUGAAAAGGCCCGGCGUCGUGGUGCCUGAUGACAUCGUGGAUGACGUUGUUGCUGCGUCGGGUACUUCGAGCAAGCCUUCGGCUUCUAGUGGUCCGAUGGGCUAUAUUCCUCCUGGAGAUGGUCCUGCAUGAUGGUUUGUGGAAACAAAAAAUUGAAUACUGGUUGAUUAGGUAGGAGAGUUGUUUAUUUCCUGAACAGUUUAUUUUUUGAAUGUUUGUUGUGACUAGUAGUUGAGGAUGUGCAACAUCACCUUAAGUUGUUUCCAACUUGAGUUAAUUGUUCUGGUGAUGGGUUAUAGUAAGCACCCUUUGCUUCAUGUGCAUGAGCAUGUAAUAUGGACUUAAGGCGUCUCUGACCUCAUUCGAUUGCUCUGGUAGCAGGGUAUAGCGGGCACCCUUACUCUUGUAAGCAUGAGCAUGUAACACCAACUUAAGGCAUCUCCGGCUUAAGGUGAUUGCUCUGUUAGCAAGGUAUAGUAGACACCCUUAGUUUUGUAAGCGUGAGCAUGUAACACCGACUUAAGGCAUCUCCGCCUUAAGCCGAUAGCUCCAUUAGUAUGGUAUAGUAGGCACCCUUAGUUUUGCAAGUGUGAGCAUGUAACACCGACUUAAGGCAUCUCCGACUUAAGCUGAUUGCUCCGUUAGUAUGGUAUAGUAGGCACCCUUAGUUUUAAAAGCAUGAGUGUGUCGCGUCGACUUAAGGUGUUUCUGGCUUAAGCCGAUCGCUCCUUGAGAGUCUGUUUGUAUGUGGACGAACAUAGAAGCUUUAUUGACAAUGAGAUCACCAGUUUACAAAGUGUAGCCUACCAUGUAGAGUUUUGGGUUCUACUAUGGGUAGAACUUCCUGAGAUGCUCGAUAUUCCAUUAGUUCCCUAUUGGAGUACCAUCCAUCUGAGUUAGCCGAUAAGACCCUGGUUGACUUACAUCUGCGAUCAUGAAAGGCCCUUCCCAUGGCUGUGACAUUUUAUGUCAUCCUUCUCUUGACUAUAUGCAGCGAAGCACCAGGUCUCCUACUGCAAAUGUCUGGUGUCGCACUGCCUUUUCAUGGUAGCGUCUCAGGGUUUGCUGGUAUCUGACCGACUGAAUGACCACAUUCAGACUUUCCUCCUCUAACACAUUGAUUUCUUCAAGCCGAGUUGCUUCUGCUUCUGUAAUGUUUUUGAAGGUUAAUCUGGGUGCUCCAAAAGCCAGGUUAGCUAGUAACACUGCUUCUGAUCCGUAUACCAUAUAAAUGGAGUAUUCCCAUGUAAGGCUUGGCUGGGCUGGGUUCCUAGACUCCAGACUACAUACGGCAGUUCCCUGAUCCACUUUCCCGCGAGCUUUUCAUUUUAGUUAAACACUUUUUUCUUGAGUGCCUCUAAUAUCAUCUCGUUUGCUCUCUGUACUUGCCCAUUAGCUCUUGGGUGUGCAACUGAUGCAUAUUUGAUUUGAAUGCACUUUUGUUCGGAGAAGUCAAAGAAUUCUGCACUGGGUGAAAUUUGAUUCCAUGUAUGUGAUGAUACUGUUGGGGUACCCAAAUCUGAAGAUGAUUUCCUAGAUGAACUCCACUGCCUUGGAUGAGGUCAGGGUAGCAAUCGGCUUGUACUCUAUCCACUUUGUGACUUGGUCGAUAGCCACCAGAACAUGGGUGUAUCCUCCCUAAGGUUUUUUAAAUGGCCCGAUCAUAUCUAGCCCCCAGCACGCGAACGACUAGGUGACCAGAAUAGUUUGCAUUAGUUGGGCUAGUGAGAGCACCUAGAGGGGGUGAAUAGGUGAUCCUGCAAAAAUUAAAUCUAAACAAGAAAAACUUGGUUUAUAACAAAUGUUAGUAGAAGCCAAAACAAAGUUGUGAUGAAUAGAGGUAGAGAGGAGAAGAGAACUCUUCACUUGAUUGUUCUUUUUGAGAUAUGUACUAAACUUUAGGAACAAUAACACAAGUGAAAAUGUGAGAACCCUUUGGAAGAAAACAAUCGCAAUAAAGAAAUGCACAAGAGACACGAUGAUUUUAUCCCGUGGUUCGGCCAAUGCCUACUCCAUUGGUGACCUCCUUCGAUCAAGGGUUGCACUCAACCCCUCUCAAGUGAUCCAAAGAUCAAACUUGAGUACCAUGGUUUUCUUCCUUAUAUCGAGGUUUUCCCUUUGUGAGGAAUCUUCACACGUUGGAGUCUCUCUUGCCUUAUGCAAUUUGAUCUCGAUCAAAACACAAGAGUAAGGGGGAGUAGCAACACACACAAGAACUCAAAUCACAGCAACACACGCACUCGAGUCAAGAAGAGAGCACAAGAAGUAGCGCAACAGAGUUACAACUCAAAAACAUGCUCAAAUCUCUAUCUAGCAAAGCAGUAGCGUGGUCGCAAGUUCUUGGUGUUGUAGAGUGUUCAAAGAAUGCUUGGUGUACUCUCCAUUGCGCCUAGGGGGUCCUUUUAUAGCCCAGAGGGCAAAAGAGCCGUUUAAUCUUCUUUCAAAAGGCAUUGAUUCCCUUUUGUCCACGGGCACACCAGACUGUCCGCUGCACUCCAGACAAUGAACAUUGCACAGUUUGUUUCCUUAUUUGGCGAAGUCGACCAUUGCCGACCGUUGGCCCCAUGGCGCACCGAACAAUCCGUUGCACCCUGGUGACCGUUGGCUCAGCUAACGUGGCAACUGAUGAUCAUGUCACCGACCGUUGGCCGUGGCACGCGGCUGGCACACCGGAUAGUCCGGUGAAAUAUAUCCAUGGCGCCUCGACGAAUUCCCGAGAGCGGCCUAUUCAUCGGCAUGGCCAGCCAGGGCACCGGACGGUUCGGUUCACCCCAGACUGGUGCAGGUUUGGGAAAACUUAGCCAAACUUCCUCGUUCCAAUUUAUCUCGACUUGAGAAGUUUCUUAGCACUUAGAUGAACAUAGUUAGCAACAAAAACUAUUUACUAAGUGCCAGAUUCAUACCUUUGUUUCUCCAUUUCAUUAGGAUUUGCAAUGUACUUAUGUAUCUCUCAAUUUGCCUUUCUUUAUACCUGAGCUCAUACUCACAUUAGGCUUGUCAGUUCAAGGUGAUGUGUUGGGCACUUAAUCACCAAAAAACUUAGAAAUGGCCCAAGGUCACAUUUCCCUUUCAAUCUCUCCCUUUUUGGUGAUUUAUGCCAGCACAUCAAAAGCAACUCAAAAUGCACUAACAUAUCCAAAUGUGAGCCAAAGUGUGCAAAUUUAAGUCAAACCAAAAAGUAAUUGAAUUAUCACAUGAUUUGGCAUAUUUGGAUCAUUUUGCCACCACCUGGUUUGUUUUCUCAAAACAAAUUAAUUUUCUUACCUCUAUGUCAAAAACACUUUGUUUCGUAAAAUCAAAAUAUUUUUUAAAACAAGUUUUGUUCAAAAACCAAAAACUCCCCCUUUUCCCAUAAUCAGUUUUCCCCCACAAGAGAGUAGUUUUGCAAUAAGAGGGUUUUGAUCAAAAGACAAGUACUAAACACAAUGAUUUUUGAAAUUCACAAAUAAUAGUUGAUACAGUUGCUUUGGCCUUUAAUUUCUCCCCCUUAGGCAUUAAGCACCAAAAUGGAGAAACUUGUGGCUUGAAACUUCAUUGCCUUACCAAAAAUUAUGAAUUAAAAGUAAGAAGGCAAUGAACACUAAGGGAAACUUGAACAAGAUACCAUUUUGUAGUGGAAGUCUUGUUUGUUGUUCAAGUUCACCAUUUCCCUUUCUAUUCACCUGAGACUACAUCAAAAUCACUUAAGCAAAGAUGUUAGUCUCAAAGGGCCAAGUUGUAUCAUGUCCUCCCCCUAAACAUAUGCAUCAUUUGCAUAAGGACUUGAGAGGUCCGCGGAUGACGUAUUACAACUUGAACACCAUAAAUACAUAAUGAAACUUAUAGCGACAUGAUCAAUACAUAACAACAUAUGUGCUCCAGAUCAAUCCAAGUUGUUCCACGAAUGUAAGACAUUUAGCUCACUACACAGCUUACAAAACCUUUUCUCAUCUAAAGGCUUGGUAAAGAUAUCGGCUAGCUGGUGAUCGGCGCUAAUAUGGCAUACAUCGAUAUCUCCCUUUUGCUGGUGGUCUUUCAAAAAGUGAUGCCGGAUGUCUAUGUGCUUAGUGUGGCUAUGUUCAACGGGAUUAUCUACCAAGCGGAUUGCACUCUCAUUAUCACAUAGGAGUUUGACUUUGCUCAGAUCAUAGUCAAAGUCCUAGAGGGUUUGUCUCAUCCAAAGUAGUUGCGUGCAACACUAGCCUACGACAACAUACUCGGCCUCGGCGGUGGAUAGGGCAAUGGAAGUUUGUUUAUUUGAACUCCAAGACACUAGGGACCUUCCUAGAAACUAACAAGUCCCUGAUGUGCUCUUCCUAUCAAUUUUGCACCCGACAUAUUUGUAGUCCGAGUAUCCAAUCAAGUAAAAGGUAGAUCCCUUAGGAUAUGAGACCCCUAUGUAAGGUGUAUGAACUAGAUAUCUAAGAAUACGCUUCACAGCCACAAGGUAACAUUCCUUGGGAUCCGAUUGAAAUCUAGCACAUAUGCACACUGAAAGCAUAAUGGCCGGUCUACUUGCACAAAGAUAAAGAAAAGACCCUAUCAUAGCUUGGUAUACCUUUUGAUCUACGGACUUACCACCCGCGUUGAGGUCCAAGUGUCUGUCAGUCCCCAUUGGUGUUUUAGCAGGCUUUGCAUCCUUCAUCCCAAACUUCUUAAGUAUGUCUUGUAUGUACUUUGUUCGAGAGAGGAAUGUCCCUUCCUUGAGUUGCUUUACUUGAAAUCCAAGGAAGUAAGUUAACUCUCCCAUCAUGGACAUCUCAAAUUUCUGAGUCAUAACCCUGCUAAACUCUUCACAUGACUUUGAUUAGUAGAACCAAAUAUUAUCAUCGACAUAUAUUUGGCAUAUAAACAAAUCACCAUUGCAAGUCUUAGUAAAAAGAGUAGGAUUAGCUUUCCUGACCUUGAAAGAAUUAGAAAUAAGGAAAUCUCUAAGGCAUUCAUACCAUGCUCUUGGGGCUUGCUUAAGUCCAUAGAGCGCCUUAGAGAGCUUGUAUACAUGGUUGGGCUACCUGUCAUCCUCGAAGCCAGGGGGUUUCUCCACGUACACUUCCUCCUUGAUUGGCCCAUUGAAGAAGCGCUCUUCACGUCCAUUUGAAAAAUCUUAAAGGGAUGGUGAGCAGCAUAGGCUAACAAUAUUCGAAUAGACUCAAGCCUAGCUAUAGGAGCAAAAGUCUCCUCAAUAUCCAAACCUGCGACUUGAGCAUAACCUUUUGCUACAAGUCUUGCAUUGUUUCUUGUCACCACUCCAUACUUGUCUUGUUUGUUGCGAAACACCAACUUGGUGCCCACAACGUCUUGAUUUGGACGUGGCACCAGGCUUCAUACUUCAUUUCUCUUGAAAUUGUUGAGCUCCUCUUGCGUGGCCGACACCCAGUCCGGAUCCUACAAGGCUUCUUCUACCCUGAAAAGCUCAAUAGAAGAAACAAAAGAGUGGUGCUCACAAAAAUUUGCAACACGUGAACGAGUGGUUAUUCCCUUACUAAUGUCACCAAGUAUUUGAUCCACCGGAUGAUCUCUUUGAAUGUUGGUGCGGACUUGAGUUGGAGGUUCCUAUGGUACUCUUUCCUCCUCCCUUCCUUCUUGUUCUUGUGCUCCCCCUUGAUCCAUGCCAUCAUCAUGAUGUACUUGUUCCUCAUCUUGAGUUGGAGGCAGCACUAUUGUGGAGGAAUAAGGUUGAUCUUGCACUUGUUGUUCCUGUGGUAGCACAUCGCUUAUAGCCAUAGUCCUCAUGGUGGCCGUCAUAACCUCAUCCUCAUCUAUGUCAUCAAGAUCAACUUGUUCUCUAUGAGACCAUUAGUCUCAUCAAACACAACGUCACUAGAUACUUCAACUAAACCCAAAGAUUUGUUGAAUAUUCUAUAUGCCCUUGUAUUUGUGUCAUAACCAAGUAAAAACCCUUCAACGACUUUGGGAGAAAACUUUGAAUGCCUACCUUUCUUGACCAAGAUGUAGCAUUUGCUCCCAAAUACACGAAAAUAGGAAACAUUGGGUUUGUUACUAGUGAGAAGCUCAUAAGCCGUCUUCUUAAGGAGGCAAUGAAGGUAGAGACGAUUUAUGGCAUGGCAAGGCGUAUUCACGGCUUCCGACCAAAACCGUUCCGGUGUCUUGAGCUCUCCAAGUCGUCCUUGCCAUGUCAAUGAGAGUCUUGUUCUUCCUCUCCACUACACCAUUUUGUUGUGGCAUGUAGGGAGCGGAGAACUCAUGAUUGAUGCCUUCCUCCUCAAGAUACUCUUCCACUUGAAGGUUCUUAAACUCAGAUCCAUUAUCGCUCCUUAUCUUCUUUACCUUUAGCUCAAACUCAUUUUGAGAUCAUCUUAACAAGCGUUUGAGAGUUUCUUGGGUCUCAGAUUUAUCCUUAAAAAAGAAUACCCAAGUGAAGCGAAAAUAGUCAUCAACAAUUACAAGACCAUACUUACUUCUGCCGAUGCUAAGAUAAGCAACAACCCCGAAGAGAUCCAUGUGGAGAAGCUCUAGUGGUCUUGAUGUUGUCAUCACAUUCUUGCUUGGAUGACUUGUUCCCACCUGUUUACCUGCUUGACAUGCUACACAAGGUCUGUCUUUCUCAAAACAGACAAUAGUUAGUCCUAGCACAUGUUCUCCCUUUAGAAGCUUAUAAAGAUUCUUCAUCCCAACAUGUGCUAGACUGCGAUGCCAAAGCUAGCCUAUGUUGGUCUUAGGAGGUAAACAUGCAUCUAGAUCGGCAUUCUCUUUAGUAAAAUCUACUAAAUAGAUCUUGCCAUCAGAAACACCUUUGAAUGCUAAUGAACCAUCACUCCAUCUAAAGACAGAUACAUCAACAUUUGUAAAUAAACAAUUAUAACCCAUAUGACAUAAUUGACUUAUAUAAAGCAAAUUAUAACCAAGCGAUUCCACUAAGAAAACAUUAGAAAUUGAAUGCUCGGUAGUGAUGGCUAUUUUACCCAAUCCUUUGACUUUGCCUUGGUUCCCAUCUCCAAAGAUAAUUGUAUCAUGGGAAUCCUUGUUCUUGACGUAGGAAGUGAAUAUCUUCUUCUCCCCUGUCAUGUGGUUUGUGCACCCGCUAUCAAUAAUCCAACUUGAGCCCCCGGAUGCAUAAACCUACAAGACAAUUUAAGCUUGGGAUUUAGGUACCCAACUCUUGUUGGGUCCUACAAGGUUAGUAACAUAAGUCCUUGGUACCCAAAUGCAAGACUUACCCUUCAUGCACUUUGGUCCCACAUUGGAAGCAACAAUUCUAUUAUUAUUACAAUAACGCACAUAGGAUGCAUCAAAAUACAAAAUAGUAUAGACGGACCAUGAGAUGCAUUCCUAUCCUUAGGCGCAUGAGAAAUGACAUAAGACACACGACGCCUAGGUCUACAUCUAUCAUGAACAUGAGAAGAUCUAGAUGAAGCAAUCAUGGCAUGUGAAUCAUUAUACACAGGUAAAACAACAUGGUCAUUACAUACAUCAUGAUGAUCAUUAUGAGCAACACUAGAAGCAUUCUUAUCAUGAGUAUACAAAUAAGCAUGGUUCUUGUUAUCAUGAAAAGAAUGUGAGCUACUAGCCAAAGGUGUCUUCCCUUUCUCCUUAAUGACUUUGGGGACCUUUUUGCUCUAUAAGUCCUUGGUUCCCCUUUAGAAAUCAAGUCCAUCCUUAAUUGAGGGAUGUCUACCAAUGGUAAAAGCACCCCUAGCAAAUUUAACUUUAUCACAUUCAUCUUUGCAGAUUUUAAGUUGAGCAUGUAGGUUGGCAAUAUCAUCAUUUAACUUAGAAAUUGUAGAGACAUGAUAAUUGCAAGCGUGAACAUCAAAAUCUUGACAUCUAUUGCAAAUAGAAACAUGCUCCAAAGAUGAACAAGCAUCAUUCAAUUUUUUCUAUUCUAGGUUUUAAUUCAACAUUUACACUCUUAAGGCUAGAAAUAGAAUCAUGUCAAGAAGACAACUCAAAAGCAAGCAUUUCAUUCUUCUUAAUUUCCCAAGCAAAAGAUUUUUCAACAUUAAGAAAUUUAUCAUGUUCUUCAUAAAGAAUAUCCUCUUGCUUUUCUAACAACCUAUCUUCUCAUUAAGAGCAUCAAUAAAUUCAUUAAUUUUAUCAACUUUGGAUCUAUCCAAGCCCUUCAUCAUCGGAGUCGGAGGAAGAGCAGUUUGAGUCCCAUUCUUUGUCAAUAUGCGCCUCGCCCUUUGCCUUCCUAUAGUUCUUCUUAUUUUCGUUCUUCCCUUUCUUUUCUUGUGCCUGGUCAUCUUCAUUAUCGGGACAUUGUGCAAUGAAAUGACCAGACUUACCACAUUUGAAGCAUGAACGCUUUUCCCUUGAUUUGAUCGGCAAUGUUUAAAGGUCCUUACAACCUAGGCUAGAGGGGAUACAUGGCUUGUGGGUAGAGUUGUACCACCUCUGCAGAGUGUAAAACUGAAAUGUCAGUCGUGCUCACGGUUAAGAGCAGUAGAGUGUUGUUAAUAAAAUAUUGACCAACUAAAAUGCUUACCGUAUAAUCAGAGCCUACCUUGUUAACCUUGUAUAAUUCCUCUCAUUUGUUGAGCCCCACCGUAAGUGAGCUUACCCCUUACUAAAUUUUUGAUCAGAAGUUGAUGAGGAAGACCUUGACGAUGGUGUUGACGAGUACUGAGUCUAGCGACGCUCUGGUCAUAUUCCCGUGGGAGAUUGCCCAUGAUAUUUCUGUUGUACUUUGAUUACAAUAUUGUUUAAGACUCUUAAGUCCGGAUGACGUAAUAAAUUUAUUAUACCCUUUUUUACGUCUUUAUUGCAUUGACUUUUGAUAUAUUAUAUUUGUGACGUCAAUAUAUGUGUGGAAAAUGGAUCAUAGCAUACAUAUGUUAUGCAUUCGGUUUUGCCUCUAAAACCGGGUGUGACGUGUGACACAGUGCUUUGAGUGUGUCUGAUUUGGAUAUAAAUUCUUAGAAAGAGUACAAAUUAUUCUUAAUUGAGUCACACUAGACGGUGGUUCCAAUUGUUCCGCGAACUAAAUCUUCGUUGAGAUAAAAGUUUGAACUUUUUUUUUUGUGGCGAACUACCGCAGUGUGGCGUGGCCCCGGCCCAAGCGCACUUCACCACACCAGGGAAUAUGGUGUUGUGUAGCUAUCGACUACAACCCUAAAAGCAUCAUCAUAUGUAACCUAGGAUCUUUAUUUGCUUAUUGGCCUCCUGCACUCAGAGAUUGGACAUGUUGUCCUAAUAAUGCUACUUUUUAGUAGGAGUACGUACACAUCAUCAUGUUGACUUUGCUAGCAGAAAGCUAUGUAUGUAAGAUAUGUAAUCCUUAACAAAUAAUAAUAGUCGUCGCUCCUUUGGCAUUAUCCUCGCACAGGUUCUGAGUUGGAGAACACACAAGAUGCCCUCGAUCUACAUGGUUGUUCACAAACGAGUGAUCUCCGUGAGUUGUAGCAUCACCAUCUGUGUGAUAGCAGUUGCUAGUGCCGUUUAAUUUGGAUAGGGAAAUAUCCGAGUGCAACAUACAUAUAUACGUGCCGGCCGGCAUUUGCUAGCUGUUUGGAUAUUGCUUGUUUGGCCACUCAAAUACGUGACGACAAACAGGACGAAACGUACCUAUCCUCUGUAUCUGCGUGUAAUCAGCAAUGAGGCAAUGACGACUUCUUCGAGGCAGGUAACUGUUGAGCUUGGACCCUGCACCCCCUUUCGCAGGUGGUUGUACUGGUAUCUGGUCAACUGACCGGUCAUCUUGAGAGCACCAUGACUCGAGUUAAAGUCACGUAGGCAUAAGUGCUAAGAGCAUAUACAACCUAUCGACUCUCGAUCGGUUUUUGGUUUUUUUAAAGGACAAGAUACAACUAAAUUUUUAUAUACAAUUCUAAUUUUUUAAAUCAUAAAUAUUGUUAAUAUAUGGAGAGUGGGGUAGAGAAUGUCUCUUAUAUUUUUUAAUUAAUAUUUAGAGACCCCUCAAGAAACGAGUAUUAAAUUAGGUUGUACAUGCUCUAAAACAAAUAUGGUCAUCGUACAUGACUUUGAACAAAGUAAGAAUGCAAUUAAUCGUUAAAAUCAACCGCGAGAUCAAUUUAACCGAUUUAGGCUACCUAUAACGGUUCCCUCUAUAUCAUUCUCUAUAUCUCACUUUUUCUCUAUCCACUAUCCUCGUAAAUCCCAACCCCCGCAACGGUUCCCUCUAAGGUGUUGUUUUGUUCGUUUGUUUUGCCAUGUGAUUCAUUUAUGUCAUAAUCUGAUUCCGUUACAUAGCGUUUGGUUAGGGCGGUCGGCAAUCGAUCAUGACGCGAUCCGAUAUGGCGACAUACUAUCUUGCUCCCGCUCCCCACCCGAUGUUAUUGGAUCCCACCGCGACUGUCGCCUUAUCACCUCGUUCCUAAGCUCUCUCGGACGCUGCUUUCUCCCGGCACCAGCGUCGGCUGCAAUCAUCUCCCUGCGCCGCCGAUAGCGGGCCUCCUCCGUUCAGUCGUCUUCCGCUCCUUCCCCCAUCCCCAAAACACAACAAGCUCGCUUGUGAUGGCCGAGAAGGAGAACGCCCUCGCUGUUGCGACGCCAUCGACGCUCCUGCGAGAGAGAGAGCCAAGAAGAACAACCUUCUCCACGCCGGCGCAAACACCCACGACGAGAUCGCCGACAAGGAGGGGCAUGCCUAUCGGUGCCCAUCUUCUCGUAGCAGGUUCUACGAUCGACUGUACUCGGCGCUCUGCAACAAGCAGCUCCGUUCGGUAUGGACCUGUCGACCAAUAUUCGUACGAUGGAGUCAUUGAAAGCCUUCUUGUUGUGUUCAGGCUAUUAUGGAAAUGGAAAACGUUGCUGAACCAAACAAAGGGUGUUAAGCACUACACUGUAACACAUAGCAGAGGCAGUCGAUUCCAUUGCCGUUACCGCUCACUUGAUUGAACCAAACAACACAUAAUUCAUCCCCAUAUACAUAAUACAUCAUAUUCCUAAUAUUUUUUAAAUUAGUUUUUAUGUAUGUAUUUGUUAUUGUCUAAAAUGGUACAUAUAUGUUCAUUUUGUGUUUAAUUCAUAAUUUAGAGUAUAAAAAUAUUUAGGGAGAGGACAGAGAAUACCAUAGAUAAGGGGGAGAGGAAGUUGCUGCCGUUUAGGGUGGGGAUAGAGGGCACCAUUGCGGGCUCUCAUGUCCCUAUACGCGCAGGCGGCGUGUUGUAGUAACCGCUGCCACCAGCCUUAGAGCCCAUUAUUUGUUUGAUAACUUCCCAACAACUCUUGGGAAGUCCUAUGGGUAGAAACACUCAGAAGUUGUUCUAAGAGUUGGCUAGUAAACUUCCGAACACCUCUUGACAAAAAUUAUCAAAGUGAACACGUAGAGGUUAUCCUAGAGUCGGCUAAGGCACCUAAAACGCUAGCAGAUCCCAGCGAAAGGGUAAAAUGGCAUGUGUUGUUGUUUUGACGAUUAAAAUUUAGAUUCUCAAUUAGCCAUGGUCAUCUUAUUUAUAUAUAUGGGGUGGUCUUACUCUUAUCCAAGUAGGAAACAUAAACUUUCAAGCACGUCUCAAAAUGACCUAUCAGACAAAAACAAAUAGAGUUAUCCAAGGGUCGGCUAGGCAUUGCUGGAUAAACAAUUAUAUGUACUAGUUGAAAACUGACAAGAGUACCUGAAAUUUUCAAUAUGUACUUGAAAUUCAAAUUCUAUUUGAAUUUGGUUUGUAAUUGGAAAAAAGAAACCGAAAAGAAAAAUAAAAAGGAAACCCACUCAUGACCCUGAUCCUCUGAGUCGGCCCAACCAUCCCACCUCCCUUUAGUUGAACGGGUCGCUGCUCGGUCGACCCAAACCCUGCGCUACAUCCACACCCACAUCCGAUGACAUCAUUGUGUAAUUCACAAAACUGUUCGCCCCAGAGUCAUGCACCACACACACGUGUAUGCCUCCAUUGUUGUGGGGUGAGUCCCACUUGACAGAUUAUUCUUCCUCUUUUUACUCAGGUUCAUUCUUAAGACUACCAUCCGGACUCUGCUCCGUAGACCGUCUUCCCUCUCACCAUUGGGCUCUCUACUGUCACGCAUGCACAUGUGUACCUUGUCGCUAGCCGAUGGACCCAGGGAUUGUCAGGUUCCUUCUUCCCCGCUCGAUAGGACUCAUCUCCUAAACCCAUCGUGGGCUCCACAAUUGAGCCGGUCUUGCACUGCCCUAGUUACUGUCGCCUAUGUAAGGAAAAUGGAACCCAGGCCAUUUGGCUAAGUGAUUUUGGUGUUUGAUGAUCAACAUAACCUUGUGGACUAAUAUGUUUGCUAGUGUUUGUUUUAAUAGUUCAUAGGAUGCGAAGAGGAUUGGACUAAGACACUGAGGAUGCAACACCUCAAAAGAAGACAUAAAAGAUGUGUAGAAGACCAAGACUAAAGAGGAAAAGAAGCCCAAAAGAAACAACGAAGAAAUCCAUGAAGUGGGUAGUCAACUAGCGCACUGGUGGUGUACCGGACAGUGAACAUUAACAUGUCCGGUGGGACAUCGGGCAGUCUGCGUAGAGGGGCCUGCAACCAGGGGCCCUCGGGUUGUAGCACCAGACUAUCUAGUGUGCACCGGAUAGUCUGGCAACGGCCAAAUCCAAUGGUCGACUGUUACAGACCCCAACGGUCGGCUGACAUGGCCAGGGCACCGAAUAGUGAACAGUGCAUGUUUGGUGGGCACCAGACUAUCCGGUGUGCCUGUCGACAGAAACAACAACUUUCUGUCCAACAGCUAUAAUUGAGGGGUAGGCUAUAAAUACCCCCAACCAUCCAUUUGAAGGUGUGGGUGCCCAAGCAACAUUCCAAGGCAUAUUGUAGACAUUUCCAUGUGCUCAAACACUUAGACAAAACCUAGUAUUUAAGUUUCAAUCUUGUUUUGUUGGUUAGAUUAUUUAGAUUGAAACCUAGCCUUUGCGGUACAGAUAGCAACACUUAGACAAAACCUAGUUUGCACAUUCUAGAUUAUUUAUUUCCAUAGGUUUUGCUCUAGGGAUUUACUUGUGGCCGAGUUUACUGAGAAUUUGUAGAAGUCCUAAUUCACCCCCUCUUAGGCGUCACCAUUUCCUUCAAUUGGUAUCAGAGCUCGGUUUGGCACAUUUGAAACGUUUUAGCUUCAUCGCUCGAGCCGACGCUUUUUAGAGGAAGGGGAUGGAUACCCAUAGGCCAUCACAUUUCGACGACACUAACUUCUCAUAUUAUAGUGAUAGAAUGGCUUGUUACAUAGAGGUUGUUGACCUAGGUGUUUGGAGAGUCACUCGUGAUGGGAUGAAGCUACCUAAAAAUUCUGAAAGCUCACCAUGAGUGACGAAAAAGAAAUUCAUUUGAAUGCUAGAGCCAAAAAAUGCUUGUAUGAAUCUCUUAGCAUGAAAAUUUUCAAUCAUUUUUUUACAUUAAAAAUUGUUAAUGAAAUUUGGCUUAAAUUCCAUGAGCUCUAUGACGGCACAUCAAAAGUUCGUGAGCAAAAACAUUCCCUAGUUUUAAAUGAGUACAAUUCUUUUUCCAUGAAAGAAAAUGAGCUUGUUAGAGACAUGUAUUCUCUUUUAAAUAUAAUCAUCAAUGAGCUCAAUUCUAUUGGCAUUAAUAAGCUAGGUGAUGCAGACAUUGUGAGGAAGAUUAUCUCCCUUCUACCACAACAAAAAUAUGGGAGCAUCAUCACUAUUCUUCACAACAUGGAGGACUUGAAUCAAAUGACCCCAACCAUUGUGAUUGGAAAAAUUGCGGCGUUUGAGAUGUCGCGAAAAAUGGGUCGACAAGAGGAUCCAACUUCUUCAAGACCAUAUGCUUUUGCAUGUGAUGAAAAGAACAAGGGAAAGAAGAAGGCUCCCACUCCAAGCUCCUCAAGUGAAGAAGAGGAAGAAGAAGAAAGUGAUGAUGAAGAUAAUCAACCAUCAACAUCAUCCUCCGAGGACGAAGAAACAAUCCGACACGUCGGAAAGAUAAUGGGGAUGAUCCGCAAGAUUAAUCUAAUGGGUAUGCCUCUGCAGGUCAAGGAUAUUCUCUUUAACAUUGACAGGAAAAAGCAAAGAAAGAGACGAUGCUUCGCAUGCGGGGAGAGGGCUACUUUAGGGACAACUAUCCAAAUAUGGUUGAACCAAAAAGGGGAGGAGCAAAGGCAAGGUGCUUAUAAUCAAAAUUUGGGAUGACUCUUCAAGCGAAGAUGAACCUCCAAGGACAUGCAGCCACCGAUCCUCAUCUCGCUCAUCACGGUCAUCACACAAGUGCCUUAUGGAAAGAGGUAAAAUGAGUAUUUCAUCCUCUAGUGAUGAUAGCAGUAGUGAUGAUGGUGAAGGUGAGUGAGAACCCUACUUAGAUGAGCUUGCGAAAGCCACUAAAUUUUUUGAGGAUGUAUGCACUAAGCAAAAGUCUCAACUUAAAACCUUGAAAAAUAAGUUGAUUAGCUCUCAAAAUGAUUAUAAACGGUUGUGGCUGAGGUUGUUGUUAAGCCUGCUACAUGGCUGCCAGGGUCUACCUGAUUGCUUCCACUGCUUGGGUCUGCACGAAGAACAUCUGCUCCACUAAUAUUGGGGGUGGUGGUGGAGGCAACUACUGGGUUGCCUCAUAUCGUGGGGCUUGCUGCUCUUGAUGGGUAUGCCUCCCGUCUCGGUGCCUGUUGUUAGACAUCUGUGGAAGGCAUUCACACAUUAGAAUUGAUCUCGCAGUCUUUUAGCAUAAGAAAAGGUACAUAGAGAUCUUCAUAACACUAGGAAAACGAGCAUCUUCACUAAAUCUUGACAUAGCCAAACACGGCUUCUCAGAUAUAGAGGAAAGUAGAAGUAAAAGGUUGACAAACUAAAUGACUAACUUUAUUUAUAUUAAUAACUAAACCAAAUUGCAGGGGACACCCACAUUUUGGUGACAAUCAUUACAAAGAUCCAAAUCCAACAUAAGUUCACCAUGAAAAACAUAGAAACACAGGAUAAUCAAACUACCCUGACUAACUAAGACUAAGACUACUUAAGCAUUUAUUACAAACUCUGACAGUAGCGAUCUAAAGCUCCACAUCUAUCUUGGUCUUGCAGUCAGGGAUGCCAUAAGCAUGAUGACCACAGGGCGGCGAGCGGUAAGGGUGUUGAGCCCCAGCAGGGGCGAGGAAACCAUCCUUCUGAUGGCGGCGAGCGGUAAGGGUGCUGAGUCCCAGCAGGGGCGAGGAAACCAUCCUCCUGAUGGCAGCGCUCUGUGCACUCAACAUGUAAUUCCACGAUCUCCGCACGAGCCUUGCUCAACUCGUCAAGGGUGUGGUCGAGCUCAGUGUUGAGCACGGCGACCAGGUUGACUAUGUUGGUCAACUUGGGAUUGUCCUCACCAACAGGUGAGACAAUCACACUCCUGGUACUGCCGGUCAAACAGCGGGAGUAGUACUUCAGGUUAAGACUGUCAGCCACACCACUAAACAACGAGCAAUACUACGAAAGCCCAUGCCAUGUAGCAUUCUGCAUGGCUACCUCGACAGUGUCCCUCUCAGAGAUAGAAUAGUGCUCUUAUUAGGCAUCUGCACCUCGAAGGUCAUCAUCUGGACGGUGCAUCAGGCAGGUAGCCUCCCAUUGCUUCGAGUAUGUCCUACGACUGUGCUGGUAAACUACACAACGGUACUCGAUCGACCAGGUGUGUCGGUUGAAGGCCCGAUGUAGCAAGGUGUCAAGAGCGUCGUGGAAGUGACAACCGCGGGUGGCAUCACGCGUGAUGGGUCGGGCGACCCAUCUCUACACCUCCUACUCCUCCGAAGGCUCCAUGUUGUGGUUCGAGCUGCCACCAUCGUCGUGUUUGUCGGGGUCUCCUCCAGCAGCUGGGGUGCCCUAUGGUGGUGCAGGGGGCACCUCUAGCUGGGCACAGAGGAGGGAUGCCUCCCAGACUCCACCUCUAGCUGAGGCGAGGGGAAGAGUCCGGCUGCUCCUUCUCCUAACAUUGGUGUUCCUCCUCCUCUGGCAGACAGUGGUGCAGUCUCUAUAGGUGACUCGACUGUCUGGACAGUAUGCGGUGAAGUGGACGCUCUGCAAGGCGAGAGGGCAGGAAAGUGAUCACUGACAUACGUGCGGUGCACCUAAGAUGGGCCAUAUAUAAAAGAUGUCGUAAGCAUAAGAGUAAGAACAAAAACUAUAUGACCAGCAAGUAAACCAUAAGCAGAAUAAAAUUAAAUUUUAGCAAGGUGUACUAUAUAUGUAGUAAUAUAACAUAGGUUUGGUCAAGAUGACCAACUCUUGAAGUAACACCAAAAGUCAAGGUGAGAAUGAGGGUAUAUAGUCCUUUGAGCGACCGUUCUAUUCUAGGUUAGCGGUCCUAUAGUCAGCAAGGCUUUGAUACCACUUAUGUCACACCCAGUUUUAGAAGGCAAACUGAAUGUGAACCAUGUACAUGCUAGGAUUAGAAAUUCACAUACACAAUGAUUACAUAAUUGGACAUCAUCACACAAUGCUCAAAAUAAUAGCAAAAAUAAGUACUUUAUUACAUCACGAUAUUCGAAACAUCCACAAAGUAAUUAACUUAAACUAUAAUAAAAGUGCUGAAUGAAACGUAGUACGAUAAGGCCUUCACAGGAAGCUAACUGGGGGUUUGCCGCUGAUCUACUCUAGAACUCGUUGAAGUCCUAAAACUCUUGAAACUCCUCCAUGUUGCCUUCAUCUUCUCCUGAGCAAUGGUUGCAAUGGGGACAACCUGGUGUUUGGUGUUUUUAAGCAAGGGUGAGUACACAUCAACAUACUCAGCACAUGCCAUUUGCUAAAGUGGACUAGCUGUAUGUAGGGCGAAGCUUAAAGCAGUGGCUUUUAGUUGGUCAGUAAUUUAGCAACAAUCCCAAGUUAUUAACCCAAAACAUACUCCAUCCAAGAGGAAAUACCAGAAUCCAUAAUUAUAAUCAUCAUCAUUAAACAUCAUCAUAAAGAUAUCUAGAGUAACUUUAAUCAAAGGAGCUCCCAUGGCUGCAUAACCGUGAGCAUGACUGAUAUACCAGUUUCUAACCCUCUACAGAGGUCGCACACUUUACCCAAGAGUCGUGAUUCCUUCUCUACUCGGGGCUCUAGCCUCCCCAUUGAUCACUUCCUAGGUGGUCCGGCAAGGUAUCAUUACGUAGCCUUUACAAAGAUUGCCCAGAGGAUAUAGCCGCCCGUUAGGUUUCUUUAGUUUGAUAAACACAAUACCUCUCCCCGUAGGAGGGGUGACUAACAAAAGCAAAACAAACGAACCUCAGCACCCAGCCUGGACAGAGCAAGUACUAUGCCCAGACCCCAUUGACGGCACAACGGCGAAGCCGACUACACCUUAAGUUCCUCUAAUUAAUCAGCUAAGGGUGUUCCGUACCACCCUCAUGGUUGAACUGUUUUCCCGGGUGGACAUCCUACGAACAUGUCCUUACAAAGAGGUACUCGGGAAAUAUUCUCAUCAUAUUCAUUAAUUAAGAUAAAGCAAUAGCAUGAUACUAAUCAUAGUAGCCAAUUCCUGAAGGAUAACCAAGGACAAAAUGCGUAAGAGGACACUUUCCUUCACCAGAUUGCUGCUCAGGGUAUCUCCUGCAACACUCUUGGGAACCACGGUCUGCUCAUUGUCUAUGGAAAGCAAUCAUUCAUUCAACACACUUGGGGAAUAACAAAAGAACAGUCACCAAACAUAUGCAACGGAGUAAACACAUGUUCGAUAGAAAGGUAAAGACACACAAGUGUAUUCUAUGUUUGGGUUAGGUCACUAUGCCAAGUGGUCUAUUGUUCUCUAAUUAAGUCUGUCUUACCCAAUUAAAGUUAUUUCAGGAAUGGGAUUAUACAUUAACUAGAGUUGAGUCUAUAGAGUUAAACACUUGAACAUUCAUUAGGACUCCUAUCUUCAUUUCUUUCCUAAUAAAGUUAUCUACAUCAUCAACUUUAACCUAGAGACCAACUAUAAAUUGAGACAUGAAAAUAGUGGAUGAAUAUAAUUUUAAUAGAUAGAAAAUAACAUAAUGAACAUUUUGCAAUUUGAACCAUCCAAUUUGGAGUUCAUAUGACAAAGUUAUGAAUAUUGGAUGCUAUAGAAUUCAAAAACCCUAUUUUAAACACACUCUUAUGAUUAAACUAAAGUCCAGGGGUCUCUCUGCAAGAAACCAGGGGCUCAUGCAAAAGACCGGGACGACGGGUUGAUUUCUAGAAAGUUGGGGGUCUCUUUAACAAAAUUACCAAGUGAAAGGCUAUAGGGUUUCCUCGGCCAUCAGAUCUCAGAUCAACGGCCGAGAACAGAUCCCGCGGGCAAGCGCGUGGGCGUGGGCGCGUGACUGACAGGCAGGCCAGGGCAGUCAGCGACUCGAGGUGGGGCGGGAUUGAUCGAUCGAGCCUAGCGACAGGAGCGCAGGUGAAUGACGAGCUGGACCCAGGGGCAGAGGUGCCAACACGAACCGGUAUCCGAAUAUCUGGGUCUUUGGAUCAGAGGCAGGCGGUUGAGAUCGGGCGCCUACAGGUUUAACGGCUUUGGGCGGUGCCACUCUCGCUAGCGGUGGUGAGGUCGCCGGAGACGAGGCAGGCCCGGGUUCCAGAGGAUCUAGGGUCACCUAAGCGGGCUAGGGCCGAUGAAGGGGGCCUGAAGAACCCGGUGGUAGGGUUUUGGCUGUGAGAAGGGGACUAGGAAUGGGUGAAUGGCGGAUGUCACUCCGAGCGGGUCAGGGGUACUCCAGCGAGCAAUCCCAACCACGAGGUGGGUCGAUCGAGCGCACCGAGGUUGGUGCGGGCUUCGGUGGGGGGUUUUGGACAUCCGGGGCAAAAGUUUAGGCAUGGGCUGGGGCUACAUCUGUUAGGUGCCGUGGAGGCACGGCGGUCCGACUCGCCACAACUCCGACGAGCUCUAAUUCGUUGUAGAGAAGUAGAAUUGAGGCCAAAGGAGCACGGGGUGUGCCUCCUUACCUCGGGAUGGUGCUUGGGGAGGCUUGGCAUGGUGUCUGGAGGUCCGGGCGGUUCGGCACAGUGGGUGCGUGUCAGCGGCGAGCUCGGGCGGCGGCGAGCUCGGGCGGCGGCUCGAGGUGGGUUUUCAACGGAUAUUAGAAAAAAAGGUUCAGAACUCCAUCAGCCACGGUAUUGGAUCUCUUUUGGGCAAACAAAAUUGGAAGGAAGAAAAUUUCUUUUUCUUAUUAAGAACUACUUCAUUUUUUUAAUCUAGUUGCGAGGUCUAAAUAGUGAGUAUGAAUCAUAGUUCCUUUUUUUAUCCACUCUAUGUAUUUCGUGUUCCAGAUACUAGAAUAAAUAAUAUCUGACGAAUUAGAAUCAUCUUGAUAGAGAUAACAGGCCCCUAUUCUCGCAUUUAUUGCUACAACAUUGUUCAUUCUAGUUCUUACUGCCUUUUUACUUAUUAUUUAUGUAAAAACAACCAGUCAAAAUGAUUAAUUGGAAUUCCAAUUAAUCAUUGAAGAAAUGAGAAAGGGAUUAAAGAUGUCGGGGACCAUAAUUAGGGGUACCCCCAAGACUCCUAAUCUCAGCUGGUAACCCCCAUCAGCACAAAGCUGCAAAGGCCUGAUGGGCGCGAUUCCGGUCAAGGCUCCGUCCACUCAAGGGACACGAUUUUGCCUCGCCCGAGCCCAGCCUCGGACAGGAACAGUAGACCAAGGCAGAUUCACGCCUCGCCAGAGGGUCUCCUCAAGCAACGGGCGCACCUUCGACUCGCCCAAGGCCCAGCUCGGGCAAGCUUCGCGGAGAAGCAACCUUGGCCAGAUCGCCACGCCAACCGACCGAAUCGUAGGAGCAUUCAAUGCAAGGAUCGCCUGACACCUUAUCCUGACGCACGCUCCUCAGUCGACAAGGCCGAAGUGACCGCAGUCACUUCGCCGCUCCACUAACUGACCUGACAGGAAAACAGCGUCGCCUGCCCUGCUCCGACUGCUGUGCCACUCGCCAGAGUGAGGUCGACAGCAGCUAAGUCCAGCCUCGGGCGCCAUAGGAAGCUCCGCCUCGCCCGACCCCAGGGCUCGGACUCCACCUCGUCCUCGGAAGACGGUCUCCGCCUCGACCAAGCCCCAGGGCUCGGACUCAGCCUCGACCUCGGAGGAGUCACCGCCUCGCCCGACCUCGGGCUCGGACCGACCACGUCACAUGGGGGGCCAUCAUUACCCUACCCCUAGCUAGCUCAGGCUAUGGGUAAUAAGACCGGCGUCCCAUCUGGCUCACCCCAGUAAAACAAGUAAUGAUGGCACCCCGCGUGCUCCAUGACGACGGCGGUACUCAGCCCCCUACGGAAGCAAGGAGACGUCAGCAAGGAUCCGACAGCCCCGACAGCUGUGCUUCCACGGGGCUCAAGCGCUCCUCCGACGGCCACGACAUCACAUGAACAGGGCAGCAACACCUCUUCGACAGCCAUGACGACAUGUACAUAGGGCUUUGGCUCCCCUUUGCUAGACACGUUAGCACAUUGCUACACCCCCCAUUGUACACCUGGGCCCUCUCCUUACAUCUAUAAAAGUAAGGCCCAGGGCUCUCGUAUGAGAAGGUGGCUGCGCGGGAGAACGAGCUGGCGGACAGUCUCACUCUCUCUCUCCCUCGCGAACGCUUGUAACCCCCUACUGCAAGCGCAUACGCCCUGGGCGCAAGACAACACGAGGCCGCAGUUUCCCCAUGCUGUUUUCCCCCCUUGUGUUCCAUCUUGCGCCGACCCAUCUGGGCUGGGACACGCAGCGACAAUUUACUCGUCAGUCCAGGGACCCCCCGGGGUCGAAACACCGACAGUUGGCGCCCCAGGUAGGGGCCUAUUGCGUGUUGACGAACAGCUUCCCGUCAAGCUCCAGAUGGGUAGUCUCCAGCAACCUCUCCAACCCGGGACGGUGCUCCGUUUUGGGAGCCUUGAGUUCAUGUCCCUCGACGGCAGCUACGACAUGAUACUCCUUCCUCCGCCGCGCGACAACGACAAUGGCGGCCGUCAGCCCGCCCGCCGGCGGCGGAAUCGAUGACGUCUUCCCCACGUGGCAGAAGAGCAACAUCCGGGUCUGUCCCGUCACCUUCCCCGCCAACGGAGGAGGAGGCGGGGCAGGCAUGGCCAGGCAGGAGGCGGCACUCCGUCGGCUGUCGAGCGAGUCGAUGGCACUGGUGCCCCAACGAGGGACACAUCGGGCGUUGACCUCGCGUCUGAGACGAAGACGAGCGUCGUUUCCCCGCAACACGCCAACCCCAAGCAGACGGAUGACGCCAGCACGCUCGCGAAGGACUUGCUGGGCAUUAGCCUCGUACCUGAGAUAACGGUGCAGUCUGUCCCCGACGCGACUUCGUCACCGUCCGUCGAUCAAGAGGUACCGUCCGUUUUCUAUCCUAUGCCUUUUAGAUUCAGCUUCGACCCACCAAGCGACCCCGCUUCGGUGGAUGCUUUCAUAAAGGCAUAUCCGAACCUUCCGAGGUAUCAUAUGCGGUCAACCUGGGACCGACUGACGGCCGUCUCGACCUACAGGCCCCCGGGUUCCGAGGAAGAUGACGAGCCCGACUAUGGUUGGGAUUUCUCCGGGCUCGAUAACCCCAGUGCCAUGCAGGACUUCAUGACCGCAUGUGACUACUGCCUCUUCGAUUGCUCCGAUAGUAGCCACAGCCUCGGCGACGAGGACUGUGGUCCAAGUCGCGAAUGUUUCCACGUCGAUCUAGGGGGUCUCGACGAAGGCAACCAUCUUGGUAUGCCGGAGGAUGGCGAUCCCCUAGGCCUGCGCCUCGUGUUGACAUCCUUCGGGGGCUAGCUGUGGUCCCAGUCCCUGCGGGGGGUCAGGACGCACAGCUCGAGCAAAUCCGCGAGAUGCAGGCCAGGCUCGACGAGGAAGCAGGACCACUUGUGCAGCUCCGGCAGACUAUCAGGCAGGAGGGGCAGGCCGAGCACCAGCUGGAGAAGCGCGUCAUCUGGCCCAGGACGUCCAGCACCACAUCGCCAACGAUGCCAGGGCAAGGCUGCCCCCGGCUUCCAGUGGGGUCGGCCAGAACUUGGCUGCAGCAGCAAUACUACUCCGAGCGAUGCCGGAACCAUCCACCACCGAGGGGCGGCGUGUCCAGGGAGAGCUCAAGAAUCUCUUGGAGGAUGCCGCGGUCCGACGGGCCGAAAGCUCUGCCUCCCGCAGGCAGGGGUCUACCCCGGAGCAUUGCGCCGCGACUUCCCGAUUCAUGCGGGAAGCCUCGGUCCACACCGGGCGCACGCAGGACACAGCGCCUGUGACCCCGGGUCGCCUCGGCAACGAGCACCAUCGCCGCAACCGUCGAGCCCACCUCGACGAUAAGGUGCACCGAGGCUACCACCCCAGGCGUGGGGGACGCUACGACAGUGGGGAGGAUCGGAGCCCCUUGCCCGAACCACCCGGUCCGCAAGCCUUAAGCCGGGCCGUACGACGGGCGCCGUUCCCGACCCGGUUCCGAACCACGACUACCAUCACCAAGUACUCGGGGGAGACAAGGCCGGAACUGUGGCUCGCGGACUACCGGCUGGCCUGCCAGCUGGGUGGAACGGACGAUGACAACCUCAUCAUCCGCAACCUCCCCCUGUUCCACUCCGACGCCGCCCGAGCCUGGCUGGAGCAUCUGCCCCCUGUGCAGAUCUCCAACUGGGACGACCUGGUCAAAGCCUUCGCCGGCAACUUCCAGGGCACAUACGUGCGCCCCAGGAACUCCUGGGAUCUCCGAAGCUGCCGCCAGCAGUCGGGAGAAUUCCUACGGGACUACAUCCGGCGAUUUUCGAACGAACACACCGAGCUGCCCAAAAUCACCGACUCGGUUGUCAUCGGCGCGUUUCUCGCCGGCACCACUUGUCGCGACCUGGUGAGCAAGUUGGGUCGCAAGACUCCCACCAGGGCAAGCGAGCUGAUGGACAUCGCCACCAAGUUCGCCUCUGGUAAGGAGGCGGUCGAGGCCAUCUUCCGGAAGGACAAGCAGCCUUAGGGGCACCAACCAGAAGACGUCCCCGAGGCGUCCGCUCAGCGCGGCGCGAGGAAGAAGGGCAAGAAGAAGUCGCAAGCAAAACGCGACGCCGCCGACGCAGACCUUGUCGCCGCCGUGAGCACAGGAACCCUCGGAAGCCUCCCGGAGGCGCCAACCUGUUCGACAAAAUGCUCAAGGAGUCGUGCCCCUAUCAUCAGGGUCCCGUCAAGCACACCCUUGAGGAGUGCGUUAUGCUUCGGCGCUACUUCCACAAGGCCGGGCCCCCGGUGGAAGGUGGCACAGCCCACAACAACGACAAGAAGGAGGGCUACAAGGCAGAGGAGUUCCCUGAGGUCCACGACUGCUUCAUGAUCUACGGUGGGCAAGUGGCGAACGCCUCGGCUCGGCACCGCAAGCAAGAGCGCCGGGAGGUCUGCUCGGUGAAGGUGGCGGCGCCAGUCUACCUAGACUGGUCUAACAAGCCCAUCACCUUCGACCAAGGCGACCACCCCGACUGCGUGCCGAGCCCGGGGAAGUACCCGCUCGUUGUCGAUCCUGUCAUCGGCAACGUUAGGCUUACCAAGGUCCUCAUGGACGGAGGGAGCAGCCUCAACAUCAUCUACGCCGAGACCCUCGGGCUCCUGCAGAUCGAUCUGUCCUCGAUCCGGGCCGGCGCGACGCCCUUUCACGGGAUCAUCCCCGGGAAGCGCGUCCAGCCCCUUGGGCAACUCGAUCUGCCUGUCUGCUUCGGGACUCCCUCCAACUUCCGAAAGGAAACCCUCACAUUCGAGGUGGUCUGGUUCCGAGGAACCUACCACGCAGUGCUGGGAAGACCAUGCUACACCAAGUUCAUGGCCGUCCCCAACUACACCUACCUCAAGCUCAAGAUGUCGGGCCCCAAUGGGGUCAUCACCGUAGGCUCCACGUACCGACAUGCGUACGAAUGCGACAUGGAGUGCGUGGAGUACGCCGAGGCCCUCGCCGAAUCCGAGGCCCUCAUCACCGACCUGGAGAACCUCUCCAGGGAGGUGCCAGAUGCGAAGCACCACGCCGGCAACUUCGAGUCAGUUGAGACGGUUAAGUCCGUCCCUCUCGACCCCAGCAACGACGCCUCCAAGCAGAUCCGGAUCGGCUCCGAGCUCGACCGCAAAUAGGAAGCAGUGCUCGUCGACUUUCUCCGCGCGAACGCCGAGGUUUUUGCGUGGAGUCCCUCGGACAUGCCUGGCAUACCGAGGGAUGUCGCCGAGCACUCGCUAGAUAUCCGAGCUGGAGCCCGACCUGUGAAGCAGCCUCUGCGCCGAUUCGACGAAGAAAAGCGCAGAGCCAUAUGCGAGGAGAUCCACAAGCUGAUGGCUGCAGGGUUCGUCAAAGAGGUAUUCCAUCCCGAAUGGCUAGCCAACCCUGUGCUUGUGAGAAAGAAAGGCAGGAAAUGGCGGAUGUGUGUAGACUACACUGGUCUAAACAAAGCAUGUCCGAAAGUUCCCUACCCUCUGCCUCGCAUCGAUCAAAUCGUGGAUUCCACUGCUGGGUGCGAAACCCUGUCUUUCCUCGAUGCCUACUCAGGGUAUCACCAAAUCAGGAUGAAAGAGUCCGAUCAUCUCGCGACUUCUUUCAUCACACCUUUUGGCAUGUACUGCUACAUUAAUAUGCCAUUCGGUUUGAGGAAUGCAGGUGCGACAUACCAAAGGUGCAUGAACCACGUGUUCGGAGAGCACAUUGGUCGAACAGUCGAGGCUUACGUCGAUGACAUCGUAGUCAAGACGAGGAAAGCCUCCGACCUCCUCUCAGACCUUGAAACGACAUUCGAGUGUCUCAAGGCGAAAGGCGUAAAACUCAAUCCCGAGAAGUGUGUCUUCGGAGUCCCCCUAGGCAUGCUCUUAGGGUUCAUCGUCUCUGAGCGGGGCAUCGAGGCCAACCCGGAGAAAAUCGCGGCCAUCACCAAUAUGGGCCCCAUCAAGGACUUGAAAGGAGUACAAAAGGUCAUGGGAUGAUGCCUUGCGGCUCUGAGCCGCUUCAUCUCGCGCCUCGGUGAAAGAGGCCUACCUCUGUACCGCCUCUUAAGGAAAACCGAGCGCUUCACUUGGACCCCCGAGGCCGAGGAAGCCCUCGGGAACCUAAAGGCGCUCCUUACAAGCGCGCCCAUCUUGGUACCCCCCGCUGCCGGAGAAGCCCUCUUGAUCUACGUCGCCGCUACCACUCAGGUGGUCAGCGCUGCGAUCGUGGUCGAGAGACGAGAAGAGGGGCAUGCAUUGCCCGUCCAGAGGCCGGUCUACUUCAUCAGUGAAGUACUAUCCGAAACCAAAAUCCGCUACCCGCAAAUUCAGAAGCUACUGUAUGCGGUAAUUCUGACGCGGCGAAAGUUGCGACACUACUUCGAGUCUCAUCCGGUGACUGUGGUGUCAUCCUUCCCCCUAGGGGAGAUCAUCCAGUGCCGAGAGGCCUCGGGUAGGAUUGCAAAAUGGGCGGUGGAGAUCAUGGGCGAGACAAUCUCGUUCGCUCCUCGGAAAGCCAUCAAGUCCCAAGUCCUGGCGAACUUUGUGGCUGAAUGGGUCGACACCCAGCUUCCAGUAGCUCCGAUCCAACCGGAACUCUGGACCAGGUUUUUCAACGGGUCAUUGAUGAAAACAGGAGCGGGCGCGGGCCUGCUCUUCAUCUCGCCCCUCAGGAAGCACCUCCGCUACGUGUUGCACCUCCAUUUCCUGGCGUCCAACAACGUGGCCGAGUACGAGGCCCUGGUUCACGGGUUGCGCAUCGCCAUCGAGCUAGGUGUCCGGCGCCUCGACGCUCGGGGCGACUCGUAGCUUGUCAUCAACCAAGUCAUGAAGAACUCCCAUUGCCGCGACCCGAAGAUGGAAGCCUACUGCGAUGAGGUUCGGCGCCUGGAGGACAAGUUCUACGGACUCGAGCUCAACCACAUCGCUCGACGAUAAAACGAGACUGCGGACGAGCUGGCUAAGAUAGCCUCGGGGCGGACAACGGUUCCUCCGGACGUCUUCUCCCGAGACCUACAUCAACCCUCAGUCAAGACCGACGACACGCCCGAGCCCGAGAAGGCCUCGGCUCAGCCCGAGGCACCCUCGGCCCUUCAGGGUGAGGCACUGCGCGUCGAGGAAGAGCGGAAUGGGGUCACGCCUAAUCGAAACUGGCAGACCUCGUACCUGCAAUAUCUCCACCGAGGAGAGCUACCCCUCGAUAGAGCCGAAGCUCAGCGACUGGCGCGGCGCGCCAAGUCGUUCGUCUUGCUGGGUGACGGGAAGGAGCUCUACCACAGCAGCCCCUCAGGCAUCCUCCAGCGAUGCAUAUCCAUCGCUGAAGAUCAGGAGUUAUUACAAGAAAUACACUCGGGGGCUUGCGGCCAUCACGCAGCGCCUCGAGCCCUUGAUGGGAACGCCUUCCGACAGGGUUUCUACUGGCCAACCGCGGUGGUCGACGUCACUAGGAUUGUACGCACCUGCCAAGGGUGUCAAUUCUACGCAAAGCAGACCCACCUGCUCGUUCAGGCUUUGCAAACAAUACCCAUCACCUGGCCGUUUGCUGUGUGGGGUCUGGACCUCGUUGGUCCCUUGCAGAAGGCACCUGGGGCCUACACGCACCUGCUGGUCGCCAUCGACAAGUUCUCCAAGUGGAUCAAGGUCAGACCCCUAAACAGCAUCAGGUCCGAACAGGCGGUGGCGUUCUUCACCAACAUCAUCCAUCGCUUCGGGGUUCCAAACUCCAUCAUCACCGACAAUGGCACCCAGUUCACUGGUAGAAAGUUCCUGGACUUCUGCGAGGAUCACCACAUCCGAGUGGACUGGACCGCCGUAGCUCACCCCAUGACAAAUGGGCAGGUAGAGCGUGCCAACGGCAUGAUUAUGCAAGGACUCAAGCCGAGGAUCUACAACGACCUCAACAAGUUCGGCAGGCGAUGGAUGAAGGAACUCCCCUCGGUGGUCUGGAGUCUAAGAACGACGCCAAGCCGAGCCACGGGCUUCACGCCGUUCUUUCUAGUCUAUGGGACCGAGGCUAUCUUGCCCACAGACUUAGAAUACGGAUCCCCGAGGACGAGGACGAGGGCGUACGACGACUGAAGCAACCGGACCAACCGAGAAGACUCACUGGACCAGCUGGAAGAGGCUCGGGACAUGGCCUUACUACACUCGGCGUGGUAUCAGCAGUCCCUGCGACGCUACCACGCCCGAGGGGUUCGGUCCUGAGACCUCCAGGUGGGCGACUUGGUGCUUCGGUUACGACAAGGCGCCCGAGGGCGCCACAAGCUCACUGUAACGCCCUGAAUUUGGGGGUAGAUUUUUUUCUUCUUUUCCCUCACCAAAUUCAGGCGUUACCCUUUCCUUUUCCCUUUUCUCCUCGCUAAACCUUGAUCUUUUCCAAAGUAUAGCGGGAUUCGGCUUGAGAUCCCAUGUAAAGCAAAACCCUAAAACACUUUAUUUUGUGCGAUGCACCAUGCCGAACCAUGCAUACCUUUUGAUUGUUUAAAAAUGUGAAUGCAUUCAUCUAGAGGAAAAUAGAUUUUAGAAGAAAAAGGAAAAAAACCUUUUUGUUCUCUUCCCCCCCUCUUUCCCCAUUUUUGGCCCAGCCGCCCCCUCCCCCUCGCGCCCGGCCCAGCCGGCCGGCCCAGCCGCGCCCCCUUCCCCUUCCCUCCCCCGCCGUGGGCCCCCCCCGCGCGCGCGCCCCCUUUGGGCCCAAAGCGGCCCAGCCGCCCCUCCCCUCCCCCCUUCCCCCAAAAAAUUCCCCUCCCGCGGGCCCCGCCCGUCAUUCUCUCUCCCUCUCUCCCUCUCCCCUACCCUACCCGCUGCCGCCGCCGCCGCCCUCUCCCUGCGCCGCCGCCGCCGUCGCCGCCGCGCCGCACUCCCUCGCCACAGUGAGGCCCCCUCCCCAUCUUCCCCCUUCCCCGCCCGCCGGCGCCGCUCCCCGGCGAGCCGCCCCGCGCCCGGCCCCGCCCCCGCCUCGGCGACCCGCCCGCCCGGCUCCCCGGCGAUCCGCCCCGUGCCCGUCCCCGCAACGCCUCGGCGACCCGCCCCGCCCCGCGCCCCCCGGCGAGCCGCCCCCGCCUCGACCUCGCUCGACCCCGGUAAGCCACCCCCGCGCCCACCCCGGCGACCCGCCCCCGUGCCGCCCCGCGCCCGUCCCCGCGCCGCCCCCGCGCCCACUCCGGCGAGCCGCCCCCGCCCCGCCCUCGCUCGCCCCCCGGCGAGCCGCCCCCGCCGCCGCCCCGGCUCGGCCGCCCCGUCCCCGCGCCCGCCCUGGCCCUGGUCGCCCUCGCCCCGUGCGCACCGCGCCGCCCGGCCCCCGUCCCGGUCGCGCCGCCCGGCCUCGGCUGCGCUGCCCCGGCCGUUCUCCCGCCCCGCCCCGCCCCGCCCGUGCUUCGUGCUCGCCCGCUCGCCCCGGCGUGCCCUGCUCGCGUCGUGACAGUCCCGGCGCGGCCUCGAGCUCGGCCCAGCGUGCUUAUGGCGCGCGGCCUUGAGCUCUGCUAGCGCGUGGUCCCAACGUGCGCACGACUAGUUCGUGGCGUGUGCGUGCGGCCUUGCGCGCGUGCUCGCGUAAUGCGCAGUGCCUGGGCACGGCUCGCCGUGCCCUCGUCUACCCCCAGACGUCCCCGUCUACCCCCUAUGUUUUAUGCGUGCUAAUCACAUUGCUCAUGUUAAUAAAAUAGGAAACUCAAUUUAGAAAUUGGUUACGUUAGUUAAUUUAUAUAGCUAAUCGUCUAUCUCAUUUAAUGUUAAUCUACUAAAAGUGGUCAGGUUUCCAUUAGUGCAUGUAGCUAAAAUCCUUAUCAUUGAAGCUAAGUAGAACUAGAGCACGUAGCAUUUAGUUAUUCGUCUACCUGUAGUGUGCCUCGAGCAUCACCUUUAACCCCUGUGAGACCUUUCCCCGUUUCUUUCUAACCAUGGUAAAUGCAAUAUCGCAUGUCAUAUUCUAUACACGUUUAAUCUACUUGUUCUCUUGUAUGGUGUACUGUUUGUUUCCUAAUUUGAAUGGAUGGAUGUAUGUAUGUUUGCAAUCGCAUAGAGAACGAUUCGGUCGAGGAGCCCGAAGAACUCGCAGGAGAAGCCCCUGAGCAGCAGUCGGUUGGUGGAGGCAAGUGUCCCUUGACCUAUCUCUGUCCUAUUUAUUCUUCAAUUCACCUCCCGCAUUACACAUGUAUGCCUAAGGAUUGACUAGUUUUGUUAUCCAUGUCCUUGUUUACCUAUUUGGGUUGGAUUAUUAUUGUUUAGCUUUAUGCUAUUGCUUAACUCUAAUCAAUGAACAUGAUGAGAUUAUCUAUGAUAUGAUGUUUUCCCCUCUCUUAUUACGAUGUUAUACUUGUGGUCUUCAAGGGGGCUCGAGCGGUUUCUCGAGUGCCUCUCCGUAAGGACCUGUUCUUUGGAUGUCCGCCCGGGAAAACAGUGCAACCAUGAGGAUGGAUUGGGAUGCCCUUAGCUGAAUAAUUUGAGGAUCCAGGGUGUAGUUCACUUAGCCGUUGUGCCGUCAAUGGGGCUCGGUGUAUGCGGCUCGCUCUGCCGAGUUUGGGUUCGCCCCUUGGGGAGGAGUGCGGUGCAUUUAGGAAACCUAACGGGCGGCUACAGCCCCGGGGAACCUUUGUAAAGGCUACGUAGUGAUGCCCUGCUGGGUCACCUUGGUAGUGAUCAAUGGAGAGUCAUGAUCUCCGGACAGAAAGGGAAUCACGGCUUGUGGGUAAAGUGCACAACCUCUGCAGAGUGUUUGAAAACUGAUAUAUCAGCCGUGCUCGCAGUUAUGAGCGGCCAAGGGAGCUCCAGUGAUUAGUGGUACUUGAUCAGAGACACUUUGGUUUACAGGUGGCAAUGAGACUGAUGGUUUUGGUUAUGACUAUGGUGCUGGUAAGUGGUAUUCUUUCCGUUUGGAAAGGGUACAUCGGGCUAAUAAAUUGGGUUAAUGCUAAAACCUGGCUUUCUAUUAGUAAAUAAUAAUCUAACCAACUAAAAGCAACUGCUUGACUUAUCCCCCACAUAAAGCUAGUCCACUACAGCCAGACAGGAUGCUUGCUGAGUAUGUUGAUGUGUACUCACCCUUGCUCUACACACCAAACCCCCCCCAUCCCCAGGUUGUCAGCAUUGCAACCACUGCUCAGGAGAAGAUGAAGCCGUGGAAGGAGACUUCCAGGAGUUCCAAGACUACGACGAGUUCUAGGCAUGGGUUAGCAGCAACCUCCAGUCGGCUGCCUGUGAAGGCCGUGUUUAUCUAUGUUUCUUUUCCGCACUUUUAUUUAUUGUAAAGACUAUGUGGAUGUCUCGGACAUAUGAUGUAAUCGACUAUUAUUUCCCUUUUUAAUACUAUUUGAGCACUGUGUGAUGAUGUCCAUGUUAUGUAACUGCUGUGUACGUGAAUUGCUGAUCCUGGCACGUACAUGGUUCGCAUUCGGUUUGCCUUCUACAACCGGGUGUGACACUCACGCCUCCUUGGGAAGGGCCAUUCAUCAUCGCCAAGAUUUUGAAGCCCAGAACGUACAAGCUGGCCAACAGUCAAAGCGAGGUCUACAGCAACGCUUGGAAUAUCCGACAGCUACGUCGCUUCUACCCUUAAGAUGUUUUCAAGUCAUUCAUACAACUCGUUUACAUACACAAAUAAAGUCUAACCAUCAAGCAAGGGUCAGCCUUGCCUCGGCAAAGCCCGACCCUCCCUCGGGGGCUAGAAGGGGGGAACCCCCUCUGCGUCAAAAUUUUCCUCGGAAAAAAACUUUCUGCCAGAACAUCUUUCGUGCUUUUUGAAUACUUCGAUAGUGGGAUCCUAAAAACGACGGAGUACACGUAAGCAGGCAAGGCCGACCGAGCCGAGGGACUCCUACGCCUCUAGGAUACGGAUACCUCACUCAUCACCUUCUACGAUAAGUAACUCACGCUCGGAUAAGCGAUUCCGCUGGCCGAACAAGUCUUAACGCUCGAAAGCUUUUCUGCCGAAACGAUUUUUCGUGCCUUCUCGACUAUAUCGAUAACAGAAUCCUACGGACGAGUAAGAGUACAUGUAAGCGGCAAGGCCGACCGAGCCGAGGGACUCCUACGCCCCCGGGAUAAGUAACACUUGCUCGGAUAAACAAUUCUGUUACCGACGAACAAGUCCUGAUACUCGAAAGAAGGGGAAAAGAAACGCAGCUUUACAACACGACGAUGGUAUGUUUGGGCCUCGGCGGGCGCAAAAAAAACAUACGCACACUACAGAUGAACUGUUCCUGCAGGUUCAGACAUCAAUAGGGAGAGCAGCAGCACCCUUGGCGGAAUCCGACCCAGCCUCGGACGGCGACAUGGUCGAAGGAUUUCCACCUCGAAGAAAGAUGUCAGCAUCGCGCCUGAGCCAUCGCCGCCAGGGUCUCCUUCAGGAACCCGGCCCCAGCAGACGGCUGGACCGGCCGUCCCAAAGCCUCAGCCAGUUAUCCCCCGAGGACAUCAGCCCGGCUCAUGGCCUCGGCAGCCCGACUCCAGGGUUGGUCCCACCAGUGGACGACCCAGCCAGGUUCCAGCCGCCGCUGCUACGCCUCCUCGGCCUAGGAAGUCACCUGCUCCUGGGUCGACGACGUCUUCUUUUCGAGCCAACUCCGCCUCUGUCCGUGCUGACACCGCUGCCUCCGGCUCCGGCUCAUCGCAGAGCGGCCGAGGGUUUCUUUAACUGAGAAAGAGAAGCCUCGAGCGGCAAGGUCGACCGAGCCGAGGGACUCCUACACCUCCGGGAUACAGAUACCUCACUCGUCACCUUUCGCACGAGGCAACUCACACUUGGUUAAGUGGUCCAGCUAGCCGACAGGCGAGUCCUAGUGCUCGAAAUGAGGAAAAAAACAUGGCUUUACGCCCAAAUACAUACAUGUUCAGGCCCCGACAGCCACAAUGAACAGACACCGGCACUCAAGGUGCCAUUACAAACGGAACUCCGGUUCCACCCCCGCAGGUACGAACAUCCCCCCAUAUUGGAGGGCCUGCGGGACGACAAAAUCCUAGGUGGAUCGCCGCCGCCCACUCCGGCAGCAGUGACAACGACCUCCGCUCCGGGCGGCCAAACAGCAGCAGCAAUGACCUCAGGGCAGACGCUGCUGCGAUAAGGCCCUCGCCCACGUCCCCACUCGAGGGGCAAGGACAAGCUAUCAAAGCCAAAGAGCCGAGGCCCGGAGCGAGGACGGCAGCGGCGAUCUCGUCGGUGACGAGGACUUCUCUAGCCGCCACCACCUCAGCACCGACGACGGUGGCCGCCUGCCCGCCGGCAGAUCCCCACUCAAGUCCUCCCGGACGGGCAAGCACCGACCUCCGCGUGAAGGCGUCGUGCCGAAGCAAGGGCAGGACAACCCAAGAACACGAACACCGCCCUAGCAGCGCGCGACGUCUUGGGCGGUCCCCUGAUGCGCGCAGCGCAACAGCCGCCCGUAUGGCGGGCAGAUAGCCGCACUCCGCCCAGCGGUGGGAGGUGGCACCGGAAGCCAUGCCAGAGCCAGCUGAGCCAGCGAACCAGGCAUGCUGGAGCUGACGACGCUCGCGGCCGCUCGGCCCCGCGUUGUCGAAGUCCGCCCCUUCCGCUAGGCCGUUGAGCGCCUUCUCCCCUGAAUGCUGAAGUAGAAGGUGGCCCACGAACCCGUGCGGGAGGUAGAGCUCCGGCUCAGCUCGCCCUCCGCCCCAGCAAGGAUGAUGAAGAUCCUUGAAGCUGAGGGCAGGGCAUAGGCCGCAGCCCGGCUUGCUUCUCCCCACCAUCAAACUGGUGGUCACCAUCUUGGGUGACCAUUGGCAAGGGGAUGCAGCCGGGCUGCCUGAUGAAAAUCCUUGAAGCCGAGCGAUGGCUAAAAGGUACUAGCUUCCGCGAAGUUGCGUUACUCCAACGACAGCAAGACGAAAGCAACGCGGGCGCUCCCCAUCCGGGGGCUCGGAAGGUGGAAGGACGCGAUGCAUGAGGGGAGUGCGAAGGCAUGGCUGCCAUCCAAGGGGGUCGCCCCCCUUUUUAAAGGCGACUCUCCCCACUUGCGUCCUCAGCCGUCACGGACUGAGUCUUCACCAACACGCUCCAAGGUCCUCCCCCUGAGACACGGGGGCUGGGUCCCGCGCGUCAUGCAAGCUGGCCCAGGGCAGAAGAAGCCAAACCGCCGCGCGCGGAGCGCGUAACUGCCCAGCGGUUACAAGCACUCCUCCACUUUCGCCCAGACCAGCGGGUGAAAGGGCGGACCGCCAUGCAGACGGCAUGCAACCGCACUAAGGGGGCGCACCCUUUCGAGUUCGACGCGUCCAGCAUGGAGGCCCAGGCCCACACGUCAUGUAACCGGCGCGCCGAUUACUACGUGCGAGACACUGCACCGCCACUUGCGCCAGUACCGCGCCUCCUCGACUACGGAACCGGAGCCGUGACUCGAGGCGACUCUGCGCAUGGCCCAACAGUGCCAACCGAGCACAUCGGUCACGGGUCAGUCAGCCGCGGGAGAAGGCGCGACGGUCGAUAUGGCCAGAAGUGGGCCGACAGUAAUGGCGGCAGCAGGCGAGCGGAAGCGGCGAUCAAAUCGACUGCAGGCUCACGUCCCCUCCUGGAGCAGCAGGAGAGCCCUCUCCCACGGCGUGAAGACGACGCGCCCGUGUUCCGUUCCUCGAACGGCUCGCGCACGCACAAUGGCUGCCCCGCGAACCACUCGUCCCGUCGCAUUAACUCUGCGGCAGGACAGGCGGCACCUUUGGCAGGCGAAGCAGGCGACGCUUCACCUCCGCCAUGAUGACCGCGUCAAAAAAGGUACGCCAUGUCGUUCAAUUUCGUAUCAUUUUCCUCUUCCCCUUUCUCUCUCUUGCUACAGGGACUGGGAAAGGGGAUACUCCGAAAGGGAUCCUUCUCCGUGAAGCAAGCGGGCCCUGAGCCCUCCUACUGAUCAGAGGUUUGAAGGCUGGCCCCUCGGAAGGGUUCGACAGCCGCCUCAGAGCACUCGGGCUCCGCGCCCACUACUGGUCAGAGGUUCAAAGGCUGGCCCCUCGGAAGGGUUCGAUAGCCGCCUCAGGCCACUCGGGCUCCGCGCCCACUACUGAUCAGGGGUUCGUAGGCUGGCCCCCGAAGGGUUCGAUAGCCGCCUCAGAGCACGCAGAGCGAGGGACGACUCUGGGUACGUCUGAUACAUGGCCGAGGCUCGGGCUAUGCUCCCGAGGUACCCUAGGACAUUUCCGAGACCAACAGGAGCGAUUCUGUAACGGAAUCCCAUCAGAGGGAGGCAUCGAGCCCUCGGACCCUAUCAAACGGGACCGGGUCCGGCAAGUCACCUGCAAGUACUUUUGAAGCGCGCCUCUGGGCCACUAGCCGACCCUUAUCGAACGGGGCACGGGCGUCCAUUCGGAUCACCCGUUAGCAACUCACUGGAGACACCAUGUUCGGCGCCCUCUGAGGGCAACAUGGCGCUCUCCCCCCCUCCUCCUUGCGGAAAGGCGACGAAGGGGCGUAUGAUAAAAGCCGAGUCAGUCCUUGACCAUCCUCUCGCUCUGUGCGGAGGCUCGGGGGCUGCUCUUGCAAACCCGGCUCCGGGCAAACCGUUGACGGCGUCAACAUACCAGCCCGAGAACUUGGAACCUGACUAUACACCCGGGCAACGACCAGUUCGCAUGAGGGAACAACCAGACCGGCCGAGGCAUCUCGAAACGCGCUAAGACCUCGGAGGAGUCAAACCACUCCUCCGAGGCCUCGGGGGCUACACCCGGCGGGUGCGCUCGCGCGCACCCACCAGAACAAAAUGCAACAGAGAAAGGCCGAUCCCCUUGCAAAAAAAGUGCAACAAAAGCCUCCAAGCGAGUACUAACACUCCCUUCGAGGUUCGGGGGCUACUGUCGGGGACCAUAAUUAGGGGUACCCCCAAGACUCCUAAUCUCAGCUGGUAACCCCCAUCAGCACAAAGCUGCAAAGGCCUGAUGGGCGCGAUUCCGGUCAAGGCUCCGUCCACUCAAGGGACACGAUCUCGCCUCGCCCGAGCCCAACCUCGGGCAGGACCAGUAGACCAAGGCAGAUUCACGCCUCGCCCGAGGGUCUCCUCAAGCAACGGGCGCACCUUCGACUCGCCCAAGGCCCAGCUCGGGCAGGCUUCGCGGAGAAGGAACCUUGGCCAGAUCGCCAUGCCAACCGACCGAAUCGCAGGAGCAUUCAAUGCAAGGAUCGCCUGACACCUUAUCCUGACGCACGCUCCUCAGUCGACAAGGCCGAAGUGACCGCAGUCACUUCGCCGCUCCACUGACUGACCUGACAGGAAAACAGCGUCGCCUGCCCUGCUCCGAUUGCUGUGCCACUCGCUAGAGUGAGGCCGACAGCAGCUAAGUCCAGCCUCGGGCGCCAUAGGAAGCUCCGCCUCGCCCGACCCUAGGGCUCGGCCCCCGUCUUGACCUCGGAAGACGGUCUUCGCCUCGCCCGACCCCAGGGCUCGGACUCAACCUCGACCUCUGAAGACGGACUCCACCUCGCCCGACCUCAGGGCUCGGACUCGACCUCGACUCCGGAAGACGGUCUCCGCCUCGCCCGACCCCAGGGCUCAGACUCAACCUCGACUCCGGAAGACGGUCUCCGCCUCGCCCGACCCCAGGGCUCGGACUCGACCUCGACCUCGGAAGACGGUCUCCGCCUCGCCCGACCCCAAGGCUCGGACUCAACCUCGAUCGACUCCGAAAGACGGUCUCUGCCUCGCCCGACCCCAGGGCUCGGACUCCACCUUGUCCUCGGAAGAUGGUCUUCGCCUCGCCCGAGCCCUAGAGCUCGGACUCAGCCUCGACCUCGGAGGAGUCACCGCCUCGCUCGACCUCGGGCUCGGACUGACCACGUCAUAGGGGGGGCCAUCAUUACCCUACCCCUAGCUAGCUCAGGCUACGGGGAACAAGACCGGCAUCCCAUCUGGCUCACCCAGUAAAACAAGUAAUGAUGGCACCUCGCGUGCUCCAUGACGACGGCGGUACUCAGCCCCCUACGGAAGCAAGGAGACGUCAGCAAGGAUCCGGCAGCCCCGACAGCUGUGCUUCCACAGGGCUCAAGCGCUCCUCUGACGGCCACGACAUCACAUGAACAGGGCAGCAACACCUCUCCGACAUCCACGACGACAUGUACAUAGGGCUCUGGCUCCCCUUUGCUAGACACGUUAGCACAUUGCUACACCCCCCAUUGUACACCUGGGCCCUCUCCUUACAUCUAUAAAAGGAAGGCCCAGGGCUCUCGUACGAGAAGGUGGCCGCGCGGGAGAACGGGCUGGCGGACAGUCUCACUCUCUCUCUCCCUCGCGAACGCUUGUAACCCCCUACUGCAAGCGCAUCCGCCCUGGGCGCAGGACAACACGAGGCCACGGUAUCCCCUUGCUGUUUUCCCCCCUUGUGUUCCAUCUCGCGCUGACCCAUCUGGUCUGGGACACGCAGCGACAAUUUACUCAUCGGUCCAGGGACCCCCGGGGGUCGAAACGCCGACAAAAGAAAAUAAAAAAUCCAAGUCUUAAAUGAAAGGAAGAAUUAUCUACUCCAUCCGACUAGUUCCGGGUUCGAGUCCCGGGCAACCCAUAUGGAAAAUAGAAAAGAGCAAUCUGAGUUUUUCAUUUUUACUAACUUCAUUUCCCAUUUUUUGGAUUUGGUAAAUGAAGUUAUACGAAAAUCCAAUCGUUGGGGCUGGCUUGGUUGACAUUGGUAUACAGCCUAUGUUAUACUGUUAAAUAACAAGCCUUCUAUUAUCUAUUUUCUUUCUAGUUAAUGUGUGUGCUUGGGAGUCCUUGCAAUUUGAAUAAACCAAGAUCUUACCAUGACUGCAAUUUUAGAGAGAUGCGAAAGUACAAGCCUGUGGGGUCGCUUCUGCAACUGGAUAACUAGCACCGAAAACCGUCUUUACAUUGGAUGGUUCGGUGUUUUGAUGAUCCCUACCUUAUUGACCGCAACUUUCAGUUUGCCAGGUUGUCUCUUGCCUGCUCAUGGAUUCAGCGGGCAGUUCAAAAGGUUGACCUAUUUGGGAAUCUCCGGAUCUAUGCUUAUUUUCAACUCCCCGAAGCAUUUCGUUGCUUGCUAUGCCCUUCCUCGUCUCUGGGUGCCUAGGUAUCCACCGCAAGCCUUUCCUCUUUUGAACCUCGCCAUUAACGUUAAGGCUAUGCCAUCCUAAGGUGCUACUAAAUGGAAGGAUCUUAUCAACGUCCAUGAAUGCGAAAUGUUAUUAAUGACUGGACGAAACCAAGAAAUAACCCCUUAUGUGCGAAAUUAUAGAAGAUCCCCUUUAAGAUGAAAGAUUUUGUUGAAAUUUUUCGUUUGGAAAUUUCCCGAAAAGCUAAUUAUAGGUUCUUCUCUCCAUCGGAACAAUAGGGCCAUUAUGCUUAUUACUAAACUUGUUGAAGAGAUGAAAUAGGCGGGUGAGAGAAAUCAGGCAGGGGGAGAGAAUAGGUGUGUGCGAGGCUCAAAAGAGCUAGGGGUCAUGGGGCACAACGUGGGCCGACUCUCUCGGCAUGCGUGCGCGCUGGGUGAGCGGCGGUUGCGGGGAGGGGAAGACGGGGCUGGGGCGACGGCGGCUGUGCACGUGGUACGACUGGCGAGCAAGGCCUGCAAGGCAGAGAGCGAGGGAGCGGCGCGUAGCUGAUGGAGUUGGCACUGACAGGGAGGUCUCACCGGGCAUCGAGAGCGAGGGAGCGGGCACACACGCUGCGGGGAACUGGGCCAACUGGGCCGAAAGGCCGAGUCAGGGAGGUUUGCGGGCUGCUUCGGGUUUCCUUUUUAUUCUGAAUUUCUAAUCCCCUUUUCUUUUUAUUUUUUUCAUUUGAAUUCAUAUCCAACCAAGCCACAAAUUCAAUUUCGAACAUUUCAAGCAUAUGCUUCAAACAAAGAUCAAAGUUUAGGCUCACCAUGAUGCAACAAUUCAUAUCCCCUUAGGGUUUGAUCUACUAAAGUAUCAAUACAUGUCCAAAAUAAAAUACCCAAACCUCUACUAAAAGGAAGAGAAAACAGAAACUAUAGAGAGGAGAAGACAGGUAACACCUGAAUUUGGUAGAUACUAGAGAAGAAAUUUUAUACCCCAAAUUCAGGGUUUUACAAACUAGCUUUGAUUUCAGCACUCCUGCUGAUUUUGUGUUCCAAUUUGGUUUCGAUGUCUGGCUAGUGGUGUUGAGCCCUUCUUUAGCCUCUACUUGAGAUCUAGCUUUUCUUGCUUGGUCAUGUUUAGUCGCUGCCCAUUUAUUUGGGGAUGAUGCUUUGCUCGCUCUAAAUGACCUAUUUUGGCUUUUGUUUAGCUUUUGGUCAUUCAAGUGAGUUUUUCUUCUUUCUCUUUCUGCUGAUCUUUGAGUUCUUAUGAUGGUGGUGUUGACAAUGCACUAACCAAGGGGGAGAUUUCAAACACAAGAUUGACUUGUCCCUAGUGGUUCGGGAUGAUGAUGAGUGAUUGUCAACAUGGGUAGUACUUUGGAGUAGCCAAUGGACGAACAAGAGUAUGAGAUUAUGUCUGGUACAACCAUGUAUGUUGCCUUGUGGUAUGCAGGUGUGGACCACAGGGAUGGUGGUCGACGACAAAGGUGAUGGCUAUGCAAGUUCGUUCCGAUGGACCAGGAGCGGCGAAGGACAAGCACUAAAACUUGACUGAGGGAUCAGAGAAGUUGGGUGACUAGUCGUGGUGGCUGACACCAGAGACACGCAUCGACGAGAGGAUGUGGCAGAGCGAAUUGUGUCGCCAAUGCGGUCGAGGACUGGUGGGACACAUGCUGAGGACAUGGGGGAUGCGUAUUUAGUAUGCCACUCACGGUGGUUUGGUAGUUGAGCCUCAAAAACCACCCAUCGCUACGUAUGGUGGGUUUCGCCAAGUUUGAGGCUCAAAACUCAUCAGUGCGGUUCUGAUGGGAAUUGGAGGUGGCAUGUGGCCUCAUCACGAAGGGUGCAUUGAGGUAAAGCAACGUCUGUUGGGGACUUGUUCUCAAAUGCUAUGAAUUAAGAACAAGGCAACACAAAAUGUUAAAUAUUAAUGCCCUUCAUCCUUCGAAGCAUUAUUUCCCUUAGGAUACAACGAUCUUUGGACGAAGGUUAUGAAGGACAUACCUUCAGAAACACGACAUGUAUAAAUAGAGGAUAAAGCUUAUAAAACACGGGAAAACAACGUAAACAAUGAUAUGACAACAUAAACAUUUAUUAUUGCACAAUACAUGAAAACAAUAUCAAAUUACAUUUGUACCUUGAACUUGAUAGAAAGCGAGGGUAAAAGUAAGAUGCGAAAGCGUGAACAGUACGGGGGCACUGUUCACCUAUUUAUAGGCACAGAGUGUAGCCUGUGUGAAUUUACAUUCAUGCCCUUUACAUUUAUUAUUAACUUAUAGACAAUUCUAUGAGGACUAGAUAGCAUUUUCCCCUUUAAGUCGGUUCCUUUUUCCGCCAUUUAGCCGAAGCUCCCCUGCACAUAGCUUCGAAGCAACUCCACCUUCGUCACGAUCAUGCUUUUUACAUCAUAGAUGCUUUUAGCCCGAGUCCGAAGAUACCUGUUUGCAUAUCACACUUGGAAGAUAUUGUUAAAUCACAUUUUUGAGGACCUUCGGAGGACGAAGGCCCCCAACAGUAGCCCCUCACAGUAUUAAUUUGUUUAAGGUAACGAAUUCAGACUGCGACAUGGACGAAUGCCUUAAGCCGAAGGUCCGAAAAAACACCUUCCCUUUGCUAGAAUAGCAACAGUCAAUGACAGACAGGGCCCCCAGUUUAGAGCGCGCCGAGCGUAUAAAUAAGAACUCACACCGACCGCAUUUGGUACGCUGUUUGUGGCACUUGGUUUAUUCGCUCAAAUUUAUAGCUCUUGCUUACUAACGCUUGCUAGUUUCUCAAGCUUCUUGAGCUUCGAUUAAAAAGACAUGUUUUGUCAUUGUUGAAGGAAAAAUGUCUCAAGACAAGAAGGCCGUUGCUGAGACGAAGCUAACCGAAGAGGAGAAGCUCUUUGAACAAAAGAAGGCUGCGAAUCCUUAUAUAGCUGGGUUUUUAGAAUCAAUGGCAAAAUCAAAUACAGAGAAGAUUACUAAAGAGAUAUUGGAGGGUCUGUCUGAAGAUACUGGUGACAGUGACAACUAUGAUGCAGAAAGUGGAGGCGAAGAUUCCGAAGAUCGACCCUGGAGGCCAAGCCAUAUAUUUUUCGAAAAGUCGACCAUCAAGCAAAGUCACCUUGAGAGCAUGAGGGGGAGGUACUUUCGAGAUAUGUCUAUUGUGAGGGCUGGCGAAGACAACAACACUCCUACGCCUGAGGAGAAUGAAGUUGUGAUUUUCCGAAGCUUCUUUAAAGCUGGGCUUCGGUUCCCAAUGAGCAAGUUUGUAGUUGAAGUGUUGAAAACCUUCCAAAUUUUCCUUCAUCAAUUGACCCCCGAAGCCAUAUUGAGGAUGGGAGUCUUCGUCUAGGCAGUAAGGAGCCAAGGGAUAGAACCAAGCGCAAAAUGCUUCUGCAGCAUGCACGAACUUAUGUAUGAGACGAAGGCCACGGGGAAAGAACAGUAUCACAACAACUUCGGUUGCUAUGGAUUUAUCGCCCGUCCCAACGCAAGCCACCCAGUGCCAACAUUUCGGAAGAGAUGGACGGGAAAUUGGAUGGAGGAAUGGUUUUAUGUGAAGAAUGACUUGAUAGCGAGGGAGGAUAUUAAGGAGGUUAUUAUGCGUCCCAUAUGGUCCCGCUUCGGCCUUCGAAAGCCGAAGGUUGAAAUUGACGAAGCCGCCGAAGCAUGUCAGAAAGCAUUUGGUGCUGUAUGCUUCUUUAUUGGUACGAGAGAUUUAAUUCAAGAGCACAUAGCAUUCAAAGUUUGGCCGCUUGUAGAGAGUUGGGAAAUGCCGAAGGAGACCAUCACCGAAUCUAGUGAAGGUGAACUGGUCCAGCUAAAGUACACAUUUAGAUAUGGGGAUAAAUUCGAUAAACCAAACGAUGACUGGCUAAAAUGCAUCGAAGCUACAAGUGAUGAACUGCUUGGAUCAUAUUCCAAGGCAGAAGACAAUGCAUUUAUCCACAGCCUUCGGAGGCCGGGGAAAAAAAGAGAUUGAACAGAGUUUUUGAUGCCAUUGGUUUUGUUUACCCCAACUACCGCUAUCCGUUGCGAGGACGGGGAAAAAGAGGAAAACUGCUGCUUCGGCCGCUCCAGAUGAGCCUGCACCGAAGGGCAAAAAGUUGAAGGUCCUUACCCACCGGCCACACUAUAUUGAACCGGCUGUGGUUCCUGAGUUUGGUAGGGAGGCUUCUUCAGCUGCUGAGCCGAAAGAAGCUGCUCCUCCCACGCAGAAGAUUGAAGAGCUAGCUGUAAUGCCGAAGGCACCUUCGGCUGAGCUAAUUGAAACAAAGGUUGACAAAGAUAAGGCUGAAAGGUCAAACACUGAAGAAGUAACAAAAAUGCCCGGGAUUUUAAGUCCUUCAACAGAAGCAACAGUGCUGAAGGCAGAAAAGAGCUCUGCCAUAACCACUAGAAGAAAAAGGAUGGUAAAUGUAUUAGAUAUUUUGGAAACAACAGAUUCCAUAAGCCCUGCUCCCAUAAAGAAGGUUGCCGAAGCAGUCAAAGCGCAAAUCAAAGCUGACACUAAGAAGAUAGAAGUUGAAGCUGCAUUGAUUGAGGCUAGAAUUGAUACUAGGCCUUCAGAGCCCGCUGAUAAAAAGUCUGCCGAAAUUGAAGAAAUGGCAACAAAAGAAAAAGUCACAGAGCAAAUUAUGACUGAGAAGGUAACAACUACUGCUCCCGAAGCUUUAAAAGAAAGCAUUGAUUACAUCAUCCGCCAUGCUUCGGGAAAGAGACUUUCUCAGGAAGAAGAACGAGAAGCUCAACAUUAUGCCCAAAAAUUGAAAUACCCGAAGGGGGCAUUAUUGUUUAAUGGCAGCGGGGAAGAAGAUUUUUUGUACUCUCUCCUAGAUAGUAAAGAGAUAUCCGUUUGCCGGGAGAUGGGUAGAAGCUUCGGAUUUCCGAAGCUGGAAGAUGGCCUUUCAAUACUAUCAAAGGAUGAACUGGCUGACAGCUUAGCAUAUAAUAGCAUAAAGGUAUAAAGGUUAAUUUUGUAUUUGAAAACGAAUUGCUUCAUUUGUUUAUACUUAAUCUUGUCCUCCUCUUGCAGGGCUUAAUCCUUAGCAAUGCCCUUAGAGCACAAAAAAAUAUUGAAGAUGAAGGGUAUACAAUGGCUCUGAACAACCUUCGUUCGGAGGUGAUUGAACUAAGGAACGAAGGCCUUGAAAAAGACAAGAUAUUAAUUUCAUUGCUGAACAAAGCUAAUUCCAAAGCUCAAGCUAAGGUCCAAAAGAAUGAAAUCGAAGACCUUCAUAAACAAUUGGCCGAGGCCAAAGAAAAAUGCGCUCUCGCCGAAGCUAACCGAGAUGCCAGCGAAUAUUGGAAAAACUAUUUAGAAAAAACAGUUGAAGAACUUCGCGCAUCCAAGGAAAGAUGUUUUGAAAAAUCUUUGGGCUGCGUAAAGAAGAUAAAAGCUAGCUUCGCCAACGUGGGCGCCUAUUCAAACGAAGAUAACUUCAUACGAGGCGACCCUGAGGGUGUUAUCGAGUGGAUCAGCGGAGAAGCCGAAGCUUUUGAGGAAAUUUUAAGUAAUCGUGGGGACAUCUGCGCAUUCUCUGGUGCUAGAGGAUUUUCAGCUUUUUGGAGAAGGCGGGUUGCAACCAUGUUAAAACCUUGGCCCAGGUCGAAGCUGCCUUCUCCGUGGAUGACACGAAGGAUCCCUCGGCCGAAGCAAGUUUAAUGGGCGAAAAAAUUUCACUGACAUCUGGGAAAAUGGUGGCCAAGAAAUGGCUCACAAAAUAAUGAAAAAAGUGAAAAAGAUAUUCAUGAGGCUCGAGAAGCGGCGAAAAAAGCUGAAGAAGCUGUCGAACGCGAGAGACGGAUAGAUAUCGUUUAAUGGCCUCUAGCUUCGUCGUUUGUUUUCGUGACUUCGAACUAAUUGAUGUUUUCUACCGCAGCUGAAUUACCUCCUCCACCAGAGCCAUUCGACCCGCUGGCCGACCCAGAAACAAAGAAAGCAAUAGAAAUCAUCAAUAUGGCCGAAGCUAUUGUUGACGAAGUUGUUAAUAAAUUGCUUAACGAAGUUGCAGAGAAGGUUCUGAAGGAAGAAUAGUAGUUAUUGUAAAAACAUUUUCAGGCUAUCAAUGUAACAUUUGCUGAACUAAGUCUGUAAUAUUUGAUGUGUAUAGUCUUAGAUCUAGUAUGUAAGUUGUUUGUGAUUCAGUUCUUUGCGAUGCAUGAAACUUUAUGUACAUACCGUUUUUGAGCCUUCGGCGAAAAAACACCUUCCCUUCUUUUCAUGCUUCGUAAAGAAGAAUGUUUAUGCGUCGUGAGAAUAUCCAUACUUCGUAAAGAACAUCCAAGCUCCGUAAAAACAUCAAUUCUUCGUAAACAAUAUAUCUCUUCUUCCAUAUCAGAGCUGAUGAAGAUGUACUUCUCAGCUUAUUUUGUGCCUUGGCACCUUUUCAUUUUUGUAAAGCAUUCUCCGAAGAUCGACUCGUUUCCAAUUCGUGUCAUUGGUGUAAUAUGAUGUAUGAUGUGAUGCUAUGCGAUAUGAUGCGAUGAUAUGAUGCAAGAAUGAUGCUAAUGCCAAAGACACACACCCACGCUAGAACACAAUCUCUGCGUCCCCUUAGGAACGAUCAAAAUCUCUUUGCCGCUUAUUUUUCGGCUUCACCACUUAUUUUUCGGUGUAAGUUCUGCAUCCCCUUAGGAACGUCUUUUGAACUUCUUCGUCUUCUAUUUCGGCGGUAUUUUUCGUGUUGACUUUUCGUGCUUCACAUUAUAUUUCGGCGGUAUUUGGCUCUUCAUUCCCUUGGGAACGACUUUUGAGCAGAAAACAUACACUGCGCUCCCUUGGGAAUGACUUUUUGUAGCUUCGACGAGACUUAUGCUGUGCUCCCUUAGGAACAAAUUUUUGAGCUUCGGCAAUUUUCGAGCUUCGUAAAUCUGUGAAGAAGAUAUAUUUCAUUUUGAUAGAAGCAAAACUAUUACAAGGAAUUAAAACUAAAUUUGCAUUACUUGUCCCUUAGUAAAAAAACAAACUGGCAUAGAAUGAAAAAGUGUUUCAGAAGGUAGGAUAUCUCUCAAUAGAUGUGUUUUGACUCCGACACAGUACUGUUGAGUGUGCGAGCUUUGGAUUCCUCCCUGAAAUCCCGCUGUUGAUGGGUGUGUUGGCUCCCUUCUGGCUGCUGACCUCGUGAAUAGGUAGGUUGUAGUGGUGGUGGAGGUGGAAGCUGUGGCCAAGAAGCCUGUGGCUGGCUAGCCAAAGCAACAGAAGCUGCGGGAUGAUUACCCACAUAUUCUUGUAUGUAGGGUGAGUGACACAAAGCAGUGUGCAGGACCUGCUUCGGUUGACUUUGCCGGGCUUUGGCUUCUGCGAUCUCCUUCUGCUUUUGGAUGGUGAUUUGGCACAUUCUUGUAGUAUGGCCCUUGUCUUCACCACAAAAUAAGCAGUAGAUCUUCCUGGGCUGAUCCCCAUAUCUUCCUCCGAAGCCCCUGGCGAAUCUGCCUCUUAGAGCUAGCGGCCGGAAAGAGCUUUGUUGUUGCCCCGAAGAUUGUGAAGUAUACUGUGGCCUCUGUAGCUGACUUCCUCUGUCUUCACUCUGAGUGGAGUUAUGAAUUGACCUGACAUGCCUCGGGUGGAUUCUUCCUUCGAAGCCCCUGGUCAUCUCAAAGAAUUUGUAAGCUUCCUCCCUUCUUUGGCGGAAGUCAUUGUUAGCCCGGAUGUACUCAUCCAUCUUUUGAAGCAGCUUCUCCAGAGUCUGUGGGGAAUUCCUAGCGAAAUAUUGGGCAGUAGAUCCUGGCCGAAGACCCUUGAUCAUGGCCUCAAUGACAAUUUCAUUGGGCACUGUAGGCGCUUGUGCCCUCAGUCGCAAGAACCUUCGGACAUACGCCUGGAGGUAUUCCUCAUGGUCUUGCGUGCAUUGGAACAGGGCCUGAGCUGUGACUGGCUUCGUCUGAAAGCCUUGGAAACUUGUCACUAGCAUAUCCUUGAGCUUCUGCCACGAAGUAAUAGUCCCUGGCCGAAGAGAAGAAUACCAUGUUUGGGCCACAUUCCGAACUGCCAUGACAAAGGACUUGGCCAUGACAGUUGCAUUGCCUCCAUACGAAGAUAUAGUUGCUUCAUAGCUCAUCAAAAACUGCUUCGGAUCUGAGUGCCCAUCAUACAUGGGGAGCUGAGGUGGCUUGUAUGAUGGAGGCCAUGGGAUAGCCUGCAGUUCUGCUGCCAAGGGAGAAGCAUCAUCAAAGGUAAAGGUAUCAUGAUUAAAAUCAUCAUACCAUCCAUCCUCGUUGAAUAAGCCUUCUUGACGAAGCUCCCUGUGUUGGGGCCUUCGAUCUUGUUCGUCUUGAGCAAGAUGACGUACUUCUUCAGUGGCUUUGUCGAUCUGCCUUUGAAGAUCAGCCAGUCGCGCCAUCUUAUCCUUCUUCCUUUGUACUUGCUGAUGGAUUAUUUCCAUGUCCCUGAUCUCUUGGUCCAACUCCUCCUCCUGGAGUGUUGGAGUGGUGGCCUUCCUUUUCUGGCUUCGGGCCUCUCGGAGAGAGAGAGUCUUCUGGUUCGGGUCCAGUGGCUGCAGUGCAUCAGCCCCUAGCGCUGAAGCUUUCUUCGGUGGCAAGACGAAGGUCAGUGCUUGCCGAAGGUGGUCGAAAAAGGGUUCACCGGAGGUGGGCGCCAAUGUUGGGGACUUGUUCUCAAAUGCUAUGAAUUAAGAACAAGGCAACACAAAAUGUGAAAUAUUAAUGUCCUUCGUCCUUCGAAGCAUUAUUUCCCUUAGGAUACAACGAUCUUUGGACGAAGGUUAUGAAGGACAUACCUUCAGAAACACGACAUGUAUAAAUAGAGGAUAAAGCUUAUAAAACACAGGAAAACAACAUAAACAAUGAUAUGACAGCAUAAACAUUUAUUAUUGCACAAUACAUGAAAACAAUAUCAAAUUACAUUUGUACCUUGAACUUGAUAGAAUGCGAGGGUAAAAGUAAGAUGCGAAAGCGUGAACAGUACGGGGGCACUGUUCACCUAUUUAUAGGCACAGGGCGCAGCCUGUGUGAAUUUAUAUCCAUGCCAUUUACAUUUAUUAUUAACUUAUAGACAAUUCUAUGAGGACUAGAUAGCCUUUUCCCCUUUAAGUCGGUUCCUUUUUCUGCCAUUUAGUCGAAGCUCCCCUGCACGUAGCUUCGGAGCAACUCCACCUUCGUCACGAUCAUGCUUUUUACAUCGUAGAUGAUUUUAGCCCGAGUCUGAAGAUACCUGUUUGCAUGUCACACUUGGAUGAUAUUGUUAAAUCACGUUUUUGAGGACCUUCGGAGGACGAAGGCCCCCAACAACGUCGUUUGGGUCGCGUGGCCAUUAGAUGGAUAUUCCAGGAGUUGGUCCAUUUUGCCCUUGGUUAUGUGGAUGAGCUCUAUGUAUCUAUGUAACACCCCGGGCUUUAAUGGACAAAGCCGGGUGCAUCUCAUACAUGCGCCAAAGAAGACAACAUAUAAAAUAAAAGAGUGUAUAGAGAUAAAUGUCACAAUAAUCAGAGUAUUUAUUACAUAGCGGAAGACUUACAAAAAUAACAGAUAAAUAUAACAGGAUCUAAAAUCCAUCCUUGGCGCCAGAAAGUCAACUGGAAGAUGCCACCUAGAUCGAAUCGAACUCCUCGAUGUGUGGCUCCACUUGAACCACCUGUUCUUCUCUUGUGGGGGGUGUGAGACAGCAAGGGUGAGCUCACAUACGUUCAUAGCUUAACAAGUUGUGAGGAAUAAUGUACAUGAACUCACCAAAGGUGGGAGCUCAUGAAGUGUAAGGCUUAUCAACAAAAUAAAGGUUGAAGCUGAGCAUUGCUUUUAUAAGUUGGUCAAAAUUUUAUUAGCAAUUACUAAGUAUAAGUAAAUACCAAACCAUAAUAAAUAAUAGAACAAAAUUAACAAAUAAUCCCAUGCAAAUGCAAAUGACAAAUUGAGUUUUAAUUCCAUAGAUUAAUCAUGUGAGGGUCCGAGCUGCUCAUGACCGUGAGCACAGCUAGUAUAUCAGUUUUACACUCUGCAAAGGUUGUGCAUCUUUACCCCCAAGCCAUGUUACCCAUCUACCAAGGGGUCAUGAAUCCCAUACACCUCUACCGAGGAGGCGAGGCAGGGUAACACUACGAGGCCUUUACAAAGUUCCACUAGCUUCAAAAAACGCGCUACAGUUUAUAGCAAGCUCUAGUGCAGGAAUCCCUCGCCUGACCGCCAUCGCAGCAAAAUCAACCCAAGGACCUCCCUACACUGACCACUCCCCUACUGCCCUUGCCCCUUUCGGGUAAGGUAGUCCUCCACUAGCUUUCCUAAUUAGUCAGCCAAGGGUGUCCCAUUAAACCCUUGUGAUAGCACUGUUUUCCCGGGUGAUCGCUCCAUGUUCCCAUUAACAUAAUGAUCUUAUCAUGAACAUAAAUAACAUAACAGAAUAAUAGGAACAUGGAUAUAAGGAAAUAUUAACCCGAAACCACAUAAUGCAAUAGCAUAACUACCCAAGUGAAUCAAGGGUAAACAAGGUAAACAGGAUAAACAGACUAGGGUGACCUAUUGGGUCCCAUCAAAAUUAAACCUAUUCAUUGAAUAGUGAUAAUAAAGAAUAUUAUUGGGUAACAAAAGUGAUCAAGGGCAGAACUUGCCUGGCACUUGAGAUUCCAGUUACCAGGGCGAUUCUUCAGAUCCUCGUGACAUCACCGCUAGUCAUAGCAAUAUAAACAAACAGUGUAUAGACAAAAUUAACAUUACACCAAAUAUAAGAACAUACUGCAUAGUAAUAAUCUACGCGUUGCUACGAGAUCGUGGGAUCGAGAGCUACUAAGAUCGGAGUUACGAUUAAGGAGUUAUGAUUUUAUAGAUGAUUUAUGUGAUUUAAAUAUUAAACUAUAUUAUAAAUUGGUUAGUACAUACCAUAUGAUAGAUUAUUCCAUAAAUUUUUUAAUUCAAUCUUAAUUUUUAAUCAUAACUUGACUAGAGAUCAUGCUUUAAUCAUAUUAUAAUUAUGGACAGGUUAAAUUUGAUUUAGAAGAGGUAGUCUAGUAGACAUAGGGUAAAUAAAUAUAAAAGUAUGCGACAUAGUAUAAUUGAUGUUGUUACUGCGUAGUAAACAUUUAUACGAAGCUAACACAAGUGGAAUGAGUCAAUUUAAAAUUAAAAUGAGGAAGUUAUGAAUUUCCGAAGUCUGUAUGUGCUGGAUUCAAAAUUAAUUAGGUGCUCAAAUUUACUAUGAGUUUCAUGUUAAAACAGUGGUACUAGGUGAUAGACAAUAUUAUUACGAAAUUAUAGGAACUGGAAUGGACUAAGAAGAAGUUAAAAUGAAUUUUAUAUGAAUUUUACAAGUUUCUGUGAUUAUUUGCAUAAUAAAAAUCAAUUUCUGAAUUUAUAUAUUUGAUUUUCUGAGCUCUGGACAGCGCAACAAAUACUAAAAAGUUCGAGGUUAAUAUCGCAAAAGUCCCGUAGACUCCGUAAGGCCUUGUUCGGUUAUUCCCAUUAUACAUGGAUUGGAUAGGAUUGGAAAAAAAUUAGAAGAAUUUUGACUUGCUUGGCAUUGAAACCCACAAAAUCCCACACAAUCCACAUGGAUUGAGAGCUAACCGAACAAGCCCUAAACAUUCGCAUUGGACUGCGGGUUAAAUUUCCAAUUUCCCGAGGGUUCUUCUGUAAGAACCCAGGCCGAAGGGGUAUGGCGACCCUUCAGCCAUUUGAUCCUCCGCUCUCUCCCCUAGCCAUCCGAUCUAGAUCUUACGGACUGGAUUAAUCCCGCGAAGGGCUAUUCCCCUGAUCCAUCUGUAGCCGUUAGAUGCGGAUCCAACAGCCCGCACAUCGCCUUCUAUCUUGGUUGCUACCGUUUCUCAAUACGUACAUGAUACCGGCCUCUACCGUAGAUACCGCGCAGUGGCAACCAAGGCAUGGGAGAGGAGGGCCUCACGGUUUGAAGGCGGAGCUGGCCGACGACGGAACACGGUGCGCAGGGAGGCACAGGUCCAAGCGAUUCGACACCUCUUCGAGCACGCCCUGGUCUGCGACCCCGCCGGACGACGGCGCCCGCGCUGCCGCGCAGUCGGCUAAUUCUACCGCGGCGGUCUGCACAUGUAUUAAUUUAUAUAUAUGCUCGGCAAGGGAACAUCUAGCUAGGCCCGGCUGGUAAGGAAGCACUAGCCGGCUACGGUUUGUUACACGAAGAUUUGUCCAUGCCGAAACGAGCUCGAGCAGUUGCAACAACUCGGCGAAGAAUCUGGAAAGGAAGGGUCUGUUGCUACGUCCAUGCAAGGUAGAAGAUUCUGAACGUGGGCCCUUCUUGUCAACGAACCUGGUCAGAUUUUGCGGUUCGGCUAGAAAUACAAAAAAACGAGGGCUAUGGUGCUAUAUGGAGAUUGGGCCGAGUAGACAUCACGGGUAGGUCUUCAUUCUCAUUUUUUUUUUCUGUUUUUCAAUUCCAUUUUAAAUACACAAUCAAACUCCAUUAUGAUGUAAAUAUUUAUUAUAUAUAUAUUUGUUGGGGACUUGUUCUCAAAUGCUAUGAGUUAAGAACAAGGCAACACAGAAAAUGUUAAACAUUAAGAUCCUUCGUCCUUCGAAGCAUUAUUUCCUUUAGGAUAUAACGAUCUCCGGACGAAGGUCAUGAAGGAUUAACCUUCAUCACAACAAUAUACAUUAGUAAAAGACGAAGCAUAUGAAACAUAAGAGAUAGCGUGAAUAAUCACAUAACAUUAUUCAUUUAACUUUAUUAACUCAUCAUAAAGAAAUAGAAACAAUAUUGAAUUAUAAAUGUACCUUCGGCUUGGAAGGAGAUGAAAAUACAAGUGUGACGCAAAAGCAAAUGCCAAGUCAGCGUGAACAGUACGGGGGUACUGUUCACCUAUUUAUAGGCACGGGGUACAACCCAUACAAAAUUACAUACAUGCCCUUUACAUUUGGUGACAAUUCUAUAGCAUUCUAUCGAGGUCUAAAUGGCCUUUUCAUCUUUAAGUCGGUUCCCCUUUCUGCGAACAUGCCGAAGCUUUCCUGCUUCACAGCUUCGGCACUGUGUCAACCUUCGUAUCUUUUGAGCUUCUCCCUUUCUGAUUCAAGUCCGAAGAUACCUGUUCACACAUUAUACUCCAGAAACAUUGUUAAAUCAUGUUUUUGAGGACCUUCGGAAGCCGAAGGCCCCCAACAGUAGCCCCUCGCAAUAUUAAUUUGUUCGAAAUAAUAAAUUCAGAUUGCGAUAUGAACGAAGGCUUUAUGCCGAAGGUCCGAAAAAACACCUUCCCUUUGCUAGAAUAGCAACAUUCAAUGACAAGUGGGGUCUUUCAACUUUCAACGCAUCAAGCGUAUAAAUACGGCCAUACCGCAAACUUAUUUUGCACGCUUUCUGGCCAACCACUCCUGCUCACUCAUUUUUUAGCUCUUGUGCACUGUGAUCUGCUAAGUUUUUAGCUUUGAAGCUUCGGCUUUUAGAAACAGUUUUUUAGCGCUUCCGAAGAUGUCUGAAGCUGCUAAGAAGGCUGCUGCUGAGAUGAAGCUGAGUCUUGAUGAAGAGAAGAACCUAGGGUUUCUUAUAGCGAUGUCGAAGUCCAACACAGAAAAGAUUACCAAGGAAAUUCUGGAGGGGCUGUCUGAAGAUACUGGUGACAGUGAAAGUUAUGAUAUGGACAGCGGUGGCGAAGACUCCGAAGAUCGCCCCUGGCGACCAAGCCAUUCAGUUUAUGGUAAAUCAACUAUCAAAGAGAAUCAUCUUGUUAAUAUGAGAGGAAGGUAUUUCCGGGAUCUGUCCAUUGUGAGGGCGGACGAAGGGGAAAAAACUUGUCCACACCCUGAAGAAAAUGAAGUUGUGGUGUACCGAAGCUUUUUGAAAGCUGGAUUGCGAUUCCCCUUGAGCAGCUUCGUCGUGGAGGUGUUGAAAAUCUUCGAAGUCUAUCUUCAUCAACUUACUCCCGAGGCAAUUAUAAGGCUAAAUAUCUUCGUGUGGGCCGCGAGGAGUCAAGGUCUGAAGCCUGACGCAAGAAGCUUUUGUAAUGUUCAUGAAUUAUUAUAUGAAACAAAGCCUUGGGGCAAAGAACAGUACCAUAACAACUUUGGCUGCUACAGCUUCGUUUCUCGGUCCGGGGCAAGCUGUCCCGUACCAACCUUUCGGAAGAGAUGGCCCGGGGAUUGGAUGACAGAAUGGUUUUAUGUGAAGAAUGACUUAUCAGCACGAGAAGACAUCAAAGGUAUAAUUAUGCGUCCUAUUUGGCAAAGCUUCGGCCUUCGGAGGCCGAAGGUUGAAAUGAACGAAGCCGCCGAAGAGUGCCAAAGAGCCUUCGGCGUUGUCUGCUCUUUUAUAGGAACAAGAGACUUAGUACAAGAACAUAUCGCCUUCAGGGUGUGGCCGCUUGCUGAGAAAUGGGAAAUGCCACAAGAAACCAUAAAAGAAGCCGACGAAGGUGAGCUUGUGAGACUGAAGUACACCUUCAAAUUUGGAGAUAAAUUUAUUGAGCCAGAUGAUGAGUGGUUGAAAAGCAUUGACAAUUUAAGUGAUGAGCUACUCGGGACCUACUCGAAGGCUGAAGAUAAUGCAAUGUCAGCAGCCUUCGGAGGCCGAAAAAAGAAGAGACUGAAUCGGGUAUUUGAUGCCAUUGGGUUUGUCUACCCUGAUUACUGCUAUCCCAUUCGAAGGCAGAAGAGAAAAAACACAAUCUCUGCAAAAGAAGAAGCUGCAGCUGCUCCUAGCGAGCCAGAACCGAAAAGGAAAAAGAUAAAGGUUCUUACGCAACGGCCGCGUUAUAUUGAACCAGCUUCGGUGUCGGAGUUUACCGGGAAAACUUCUUCAGCCACCGAAGCUGAAAAACUAAUCGAGCUAGCCUUGUUGCCAGAGAUCGCAGAAACGGCCGAAGUGCCACCAAAGAUAGAAUCAGAACAAUCAAACAUUUUGUUGUCAGAAACAAAAGAGAAAACCGAAGCGCCGCUCACAGAAAAAAUUGAGGAGGUAAGAGAAGCAACUGAGGGCUCCAAAACAUCAGAAGUUUUGAGUCCUACAGCAAUCAUUGGGACAGCAAAAAACCAAAAGGGGCCAUCAGUGACCCCAAAAAGGAAAAGAAUGGUAAAUGUACUAGACGUCUUGGAGACAAUUAAGUCUUCAAGCACAAUUCCAAAAAAGAGUGUUGAAGUUGCUGAAGCUUCUACUGAAGCUUCGGCUCAACAAGCUGAAGCUGAAGCUGGGCCUUCAGAGCCCUACAAGGAGCAACCUUUUGAAGCCGAAGCAAUAAAAAUUCCAGAACCAGUAUUAGUUGAAGAAACUGACACCGCCAUCCCCGAAGCACCUGCCAGCACGUUUGAUUACAUGAUACGACAUGCUUCGGGGAAGAAGCUAUCUGAAGAAGAAACUCAUGAAGCCAUCCAUUAUGCAAAGGAACUAAAAUAUCCGAAGGGGGCAAUAAUAUUCAAUGGAACAAAUGAAGAUGACUUCUUAUACUGCCUGCCUGACAACAAAGAGCUAUCUGUCUGCCGAGAAAUGGCCAGAAGCAUAGGCUUUCCGAAGCUUGAAGCUGGGUUAAGCGCUAUGACGAAAGAGGAUCUCGCAGACAGUCUCGCGUACAACAGCCUGAAGGUACGGGAAUUAAACACUUGAGAAAAAACCCCCUAUUUUUUUUUACGCAACUCAUUCCUUUUUUCUUAUAUGAAUUCUCUUUUCAUAUAGGGCCUGAUCCUAAGCAACGCGUUAAGAGCGCAAAAGAGCGCCGAAGAUGAAAGUUAUGAAAUUGCGUUUAAUAAUCUACGCUCCGAAGUUAUCAGACUGAGAAACGAAGCUUUGGAAAAAGAUAAAAUUCUGCUUACACUGGUAGAUAAAGUGAAAAAAGACGAAGCUGCUUCAAAGGCCCAGGCCGAAGCUCAAAAACGCGAGAUUAAAGAUCUUCAGAAACAGCUGGCUAGAGCUAAAGAGGAGCGCGCGCUUGAGGAAACGAAACGAGAACUUAGUGAUUUUAUGGUCAACAAAUUGGAAUCAAAAGUUAAGGAGCUUCGCACAUCUCAGGGGAAAUGCUAUGUCAAAUCUGUAGAAUGUGUGAAUAAAAUUAAAUCCAGCUUCGCCAGCGUAGGCGCCUUUUCCAGCGAAGAGAAUUUCUCUCGAGGCAAUCCCGAAGGUCCGCUGGAAUGGAUUAGCCACGAAGCAGAGGCCUUCGAAGAGAUUCUGAACAGUCGUGGCGACAUAUGCGCUUUUUCGGGCGCCAGAGGAAUUGCUUCUGUCUUAGAGAAGAAAGGUUGCGGGCAUGUAAAAUUUUUAGCUCAAUCCGAAGCUACCUUAUCUUCCGAAGACGUCAAGGACCCCUCGGCCGAAGCAAGCGUGGUUGGUGGCAAAUUUUUUACUGAUAUCUGGAACGACGGCGGCCGAGGAAUGGCGCGAGAGAUCAUUGAAAGAAGCGAAAAAGGCAUUCACGAUGCUAGAAGAGUAGCAGACGCUGCCGAAAGGAGUAGGGAGCCCGAAAGACAGUUAGGUACCAACUAGUCGUUCUUGUUGCGUUGUAAUUUUCAUUUUAAACUUUGCUCGCGAUUUGUAAAAGUACUGAAGAAGUGUUCUCUUCGCUCAGAAACUGUUGGACGAUCUGCCGACCCCCACACAAAAGGGGAUGAAGAAAUUAAUCAAAUGGCCGAAACUAUCAUGGACAAGGUUGUUGACCAACUUCUGAAUGAAGCCGCCGAAGCAGUAUUGAGGGAAGAUUAGGUGCUAUUUGAAAAAACAUUUAAAGUGUAAUCUAUGCAACACUUUGUACAUUUGAAUGUAAUAUACAAGUCUCUUUUCAUUAUUGAAUUCUUGACGAUGCAUGAAACUUUAAAUACAUACCACUUUUGAGCCUUCGGCGAAAAAACACCUUCCCUUCUUUUCAUGCGUCGUGAAGAAGAUAGCCUUCGUCAAAAUUAUUCUGAUGAAUGACAUUGAUGCCUCGUGAAAACAUUUUCCGAAGCUAUUUUCCGAAGCUAUGCAACUUUGAUAUUGAUCUGAUAAAGUUCGCCCAUGUUUCGUGAAAAUAUUCCCCGAAACUGUAUUCCGAAGCUAUACAAUUUCAAUGUCACUUUUUCAAAGCAUCCCUUCGAAGGUUGAGAGUGUCCCCUUCUCUUGCCAAAUGCGAUAUGAUGUAUGAUGCUUAUGCCAUGCAAAAUGAUGUGAUGAUGUUAUGUUAUGCAUGUGACAUUUGUUCCGAAGAUACACAUAAAAUAUAUUCGUAAGCUCUGCAUUCCCUUAGGAACGUCUUUGGAGCUUCUUCGUCCUUUACUUAGACGGCAUCAGCGUUGACUUUUCGCUGUAAGCCUCCCUUAGGAGCUUCUUCGUCUUUUACUUAGACGGUAUCAGCGUUGACUUUUCGCUGUAAGCCUCCCUUAGGAGCUUCUUCGUCUUUUACUUAGACGGUAUCAGCGUUGAUUUUUCGCUGUAGGCUCUGCAUUCCUUUAGGAACGACUUCUGAGCAGAAAACUUACGCUGCGCUCCCUUUGGAACGACUUUUUGUGACUUUAUAAACUUACUCUGCGUUCCUUAGAACGACUUUUUGUUACUCCGAAGGAUUUUUAGUCCGAAGGUCCUUCUUGGUAACGGAAGAAAUUUUAGGCUUCGGCAACUUAGGCCUGUGAAUCAAAUAAAUUUUUCUCGUGAAAACAACGAAAUUAUUACAUGGAAACUAUCAAUGUUUUUUGCUUCACAGAAAAUAAAACUGAAUAGAAAAGACUGCUAUCAAAGGUAGGAUAUGUCAAUAAAUGUGCUUCGACUCUGGCACAGUGCUGUUGACUGUGCGAGCUUCGGACUGUUCUCUGAAGUCCCUCUGCUGUGGAGCGUAUUGACUCCCUUCUGGCUGUUGACCUUGCUGCAAUGGAGGUGGAGGCGGAAGCUGCUGCCAGGAAGCUUGAGGUUGACUUGCCGAAGCUACAGAAGCCGCAGGGUGGUUGUCUAUGUAUUGUGGGACAUAAGGCGGAUGAAACGAAGCAGUAUGCAUAACCUGCUUCGACUGAGCUUGUUGAGAUGCAGCUUCGGCUAGUUCCUUUUGCUUCUGGAUUGUAACAUGGCACGUCCUAGUGGUGUGGCCCUUGCCCUCUCCACAGAAUAGGCAAAACAGUCUCCUUGGCUGAUCUCCGAAUCUUCCGCCGAAGCCCCUGGCGCCUCUGCCUCUUGGAGCUGGUGGCCGAAAGGAAGUUUGUUGUUGCCCUGAAGCCUGUGAGGAGCACUGCGGCCUGUUUUGCUGACUCCCCUUAUCAUCAUUCUGAGUGCUGUGAAUGGAACGGACAUGCCUCGGGUAGUAUCUUCCUCCGAAGCCCCUGGUCAUCUCAGAAAAUCUGAAGGCCUCCUCCCUUCUUUGGCGAAAGUCAUUGUCAGCACGAAUGUACUCAUCCAUCUUUUGGAGCAAUUUCUCCAAGGUCUGAGGAGGCUUCCGAGCAAAGUAUUGAGCUGCAGGUCCAGGACGAAGCCCCUUGAUCAUGGCUUCGAUAACGAUUUCAUUGGGCACCGUUGGUGCCUACGCCCUCAAUCGUAAGAACCUUCGGACAUACGCCUGAAGGUAUUCUUCGUGAUCCUGAAUACACUGGAAGAGAGCUUGAGCUGUAACCGGCUUCGUUUGAAAUCCUUGAAAGCUGGUCAGUAACAUAUCCUUCAACUUCUGCCAUGAAGUGAUUGUUCCUGGCCGAAGGGAGGAAUACCAGGUCUGAGCAACAUUCCUGACGGCCAUGACGAAAGACUUCGCCAUGAUUGCAGCGUUGCCCCCGUACGAAGACACUGUUGCUUCGUAGCUCAUCAAGAAUUGCUUCGGGUCGGAGUGGCCGUCAAACAUGGGGAGCUGGGGUGGCUUAUAGGAUGGAGGCCAAGGAGUAGCCUGCAGCUCAGCAGACAGAGGAGAAGCAUCAUCAAAAACAAAAUUUCCCUGAUGGAAAUUAUCAUACCAGUCAUCUUCGUUGACGAAGCCCUCCUGAUGAAGGUCUUUCUGAUGAGGCCUUCUGUUCUGCUCAUCGUGAGUGAGAUGGCGAACUUCCUCAGAAGCUUCGUCAAUUUGCCUUUGCAACUCAGCUAGGCGGGCCAUCUUCUCCUUCUUCCUCUGCACUUGUUGAUGUAGCAUCUCCAUCUCUCUGAUUUCUUGGUCUAGCUCUUCUUCCUCAAGCGUCGGGCUGACGGCUUUUCUCUUCUGGCUUCUGGCCUCCCGAAGAGAGACGGUCUCCUGGUUGUGGUCCAGCGGUUGUAGUGCUGCAGCCCCAGCCGCUGAAGCUUUCUUCGGCGCCAUAGCGAAGGUCUAUAGCUUCCGAAGGUGUUCACGAAGACUCGAAGUGGAAGUGAGUUCACCGGAGGUGGGCGCCAAUGUUGGGGACUUGUUCUCAAAUGCUAUGAGUUAAGAACAAGGCAACACAGAAAAUGUUAAACAUUAAGAUCCUUCGUCCUUCGAAGCAUUAUUUCCUUUAGGAUAUAACGAUCUCCGGACGAAGGUCAUGAAGGAUUAACCUUCAUCACAACAAUAUACAUUAGUAAAAGACGAAGCAUAUGAAACAUAAGAGAUAGCGUGAAUAAUCACAUAACAUUAUUCAUUUAACUUUAUUAACUCAUCAUAAAGAAAUAGAAACAAUAUUGAAUUAUAAAUGUACCUUCGGCUUGGAAGGAGAUGAAAAUACAAGUGUGACGCAAAAGCAAAUGCCAAGUCAGCGUGAACAGUACGGGGGUACUGUUCACCUAUUUAUAGGCACGGGGUACAACCCAUACAAAAUUACAUACAUGCCCUUUACAUUUGGUGACAAUUCUAUAGCAUUCUAUCGAGGUCUAAAUGGCCUUUUCAUCUUUAAGUCGGUUCCCCUUUCUGCGAACAUGCCGAAGCUUUCCUGCUUCACAGCUUCGGCACUGUGUCAACCUUCGUAUCUUUUGAGCUUCUCCCUUUCUGAUUCAAGUCCGAAGAUACCUGUUCACACAUUAUACUCCAGAAACAUUGUUAAAUCAUGUUUUUGAGGACCUUCGGAAGCCGAAGGCCCCCAACAAUAUUUAUUAAUUGUUUUAUUAAUUUAUUAGGCAAAUAUUCCAAAUAUAAAUUAUACACACAUUAUUCUUUAUAGGAGGAUAUUAUUUCGAAUGUGUGAUGGAAUUAUUAUUUUAAUUCAAGAUGGAUAUCCAAUCGCUAUUUACUUUAGUGGAUUUUAACAUAUAACCUUUCCCGCAAGUUACUUUUGUUCAAAUAUUUUAAAUUAUUAUCUAUUUAUGUAGCUCAUGAGAGGAACACUUCUCAUCUUAUCGUCAUUUUAUUAUUCAUUUGUUUUUGAUUUGGCUAGCUUAAUUCUUUUUCAUUGAACAUUCAAAAGCAUGAGAAAUCCAAAAGGUUUCAAAAUUCCCUAAAGCACAACCUUAAAUUUAUUUUUAUUUUUUUAUUAUACAUUUUUUCUAUCAAUUUUGGGUCUUACAAUCUAGGGGUAGUUUAGGCUAGAGAAAUAACCCCCUAUAAAUAGGUGGGAGGGCUGUUGUGUGCAGCCAUCUCUUUGGCUAUCUCAUUUGGCUCUUGUUUAGAAGACCUUAGUUUACUUCUCUAGGUUGUAGUGGUUUAGCUCGAGAUCCACAAAUGAUUGGAACUCCACAUUUGUGUCUUUGUAUUCUUCACUUCAUCAUUCAAAGGAAGGGGCCAGAUCCCUCCAUAGAGUUUGUCAAAUCAUGUGCUCAGUUUGUGCUAGCUGCUGAUUUUUCUCUGAUUUUGUCUCCACUCUCAAUUAUUCUCUUCUCUCUUUGGUUUUUGAGAGAACCUUUGUUUUCUUGAGUUGUGGUUUGUGUUGGGGAUUGGCUUUAGGUGAAGAUCACUUCUUAGACCACUGCGCACAUCUGUUUCAAGUAGUUUUUGGUCGUGAUCUCAUUUCAUCCCUUUCAAGUUCGUUUGAGAAAACCCCCAACAAAACCCCAUUCUUCUCAGCAUUUUGAAUCUGCACAUGGAUUUUUGAGUUGUUCAUAAUCAUACCUUACAAAUCCUCUUAUUUCCUUUUGUGCUUGCUUCCUAUGAAAAUUGGGGAGAUUCGGAGUAGUUUACUCUAUACGACACUACCGCGGCUCGACACUUUCGGCCAUCAAAAUGACACUCCUACUUGACCUAUUUUGCAUUUUUUUCUUUUGCUUUUCUGCAGAUAGUUGAGUUCAUAACCUUAUAGAAUUUUGGUGCAGUCAAUCGACACUGGAUUAAUUUGCACAUUGCUUCGCUACUUUUGGAGCCCUAGAUGUUUUGGGUUGAAGAUUAGGAUCAAGUCACGAUGCUCUCAAGUAGAGAAAUUUUUGUGGCUCCCAUUCACCCUCCCUCUGGUCGCCUCAACGAUCCUUCGGAGUAGUAGGAGUAGGCUAUAGAAGGCAAGUUGUGUCCUAGAUCAUGUUGUUUGAUCUAUAUAAUAUUUACCAUUAUGUUCUCACCUAUGCAUUGCACAAUUAGGUUAACCUGAUUGGACCUAAUAGAUGAUAUCUAGGUUUGUUUUCCCUAUACCUUGUUUACACCUGGUUUACUGUCACACCCGGCUUUAAGGGAUAAAGUCGGGUGUGUCUCAUAUUUGGCCAAAGAAGAACAUCACAUAUAAUGACAAAGUGUAUAGAUAUAAAUGUCACAAAUAUCAUUAUUACAUAGCGGAAGUAUCUUACAAAAAUAGAUGAUAACAAUAAAGCAAACUAAAUAUUAUUCCUUGGCGCCAUAAAGCUGACUGGGAGACGCCACCUAGAUUAGCCCAUACUCCUCGUUGUAGGCCUCCUCCUGGACCACCUGUCUACUCUUGUAGGGGGAUUUAUAUAUCGCAAGGGUGAGCUCACAAAAGAUCACAGAUCAACAAGUUGUGGGGAGUAAUGUGCAUGAACUUACCAAAGGUGGGAGCUCAUGUGAAGUGUGAGGCUGAUCAACAAAUAAGGGUUAAAGCUGAGCAUUGCUUUUAAUAAGUUGGUCAUAUUUUAUUAGCAGUUACUAAAUGUAAGUAGAUACCAAACCAGAGUAAUAAUAGAUCAAAAUUAAUAAUAAAACCACAAUGCGAUGCGAAUGACAAAUUGAGUUUAAUUCCAUAUACUAAUCAUGCAAGAGUCUUGAGCUGCUCAUGACCGCGAGCACGGCUAAUAUACCAAUUUUACACUCUGCAGAGGUUGUACCCUUUACCCACAAGUCAUGUUACCCAUCUACCAAGGGGUCAUGAAUCCCAUACACCUCUACCAAGGAAGCGAGGCAGGGUAACAGUACGAGGCCUUUACAAAGUUCCACUAGCUUCAGAAAACCCGCUAAAGUUUCUAGGGAGCACAAUGCAGGAAUCCCCCGUCUGAAAAGCCAUCGUAGCAAAAUCAACCCGAGAACCUCCCUGCACCAACAACUCCCAUACUGCCCUUGCCCCUUUCGGCUAAGGUAGACCUCCACUAGCUUUCCUAAUUAGUUAGCUAAGGGCACCCCAUUCCACCCUUGUGGUGGCACGUGUUUCUCAAGUUAAGCUCCAUGUUCAAAUUAACAUAAUUGUCUUAUCAUGAACAUAAUAGAAUAACAAUAAUAAAGCAUGACCAUGUGUAAUAAUUAUCUUAACACCCAAAACCACAUAUAGCAAUAGCAAAGACUACCCAAAAGUUCAGGGGUAAGCAAGGUGUAAAGAUGACCAAACUAGGGUGACCUAUUGGGUCAAAUCAAAAUUAAGCCUAAGCAUGCCAAAAUGAUUAUAGAGAACAUUAUUGGGUAAAUAAAAGUGGUCAAGGGCAUAACUUGCCUUCAACGAGCUCCUGCUCAGCAAUUUCCACCUACUGAACACCUCGGUCCUCUGUCACUUGCUUGUCUACUAGGAGCAAUACAAACAAACAUGGUAUAGGAGAAAUUAACAUUAGACCAAACAUGAAUACAUAAUACAUAAUAAUAAUCUACACAUCGUAACGAGAUCGUAGGUUUGAGAAUUAUUAAAUUCGGAGUUACGAAUAACAAGUUAUGAUUUUCCUAAGUAUUUAUGUGUUUGGUACAACAAAAACUAAGUGAUUAAUUUUAAUCUAGGUUUCAUGCUAAAACAGAGUUACCAAGUGAUAAACAAUAUUAAUACAAAAUUAAUGCAACUAAAUGGGUUAAAAAGGAAUUAAAAUGGAUUUUCUAUUAAUUAACUGAGUUUCUGUAAUUAUUUUUGUACUAAAAAUCACUCUCUAUAUUCAUUUCUUUGAUUUACUUACUCCCUGGGACGGUGGCUACAAUUACUGGAAAAGCAGGGGCUAAAACACUAAAAACAGGACCUAGAAGUAAUAAUCUUAAUGUUGAGGUGGACUGCGGGUUCAUUUUGAGCAAGAUGAGGGGUUAUUUAGCUAAUCUACAUCGACGAAGGGGUAUCCUUGUUCUGGGUCGUUGGAUCCAAAACCUUUGGUCUAGAUUAGACCGGCACUUUUAUGAACCUGAGUUCGCUCUCAAUCGUCGGAUCCAAGAUCCACGACCGAUAGACCCCUUCACACCUGAACCCUCAAAUCACCAAUCGCUAGCCCAGAUCAACAGUAUGCCCUUGUCUAAUCCUGACUGCCCAUCGAAAAUUCAAAAGUCGAGCCUCGUCACCUAGCUCGGGCCCGACGCCGGCGACAAAACAGGGGCGCGACGGCGGUGCGCCAUUACCAGCGGCGAUUCCCCAUCCCAGCCAUCCCAAGUGCCCAAUCCGACUGGUAAUUCAUAACGCGAGGAUCAAGGUGGAGCUCAGGUGAGAAAUUUACCAGGAAAGAUGGCUUGUGCAAGGCUGCCCACGACGUCGCGGUGAAGAUGAUCUUCGGUGAGGAAUUCCCGGUAGCACCAUGUUUUUCCGACCGCUGCAAGACCACGGACGUGGACAACGAAGUUGUGGGUCACCUGGUGGCACCGCCAAGCACCCAUGUAUUGCGAACUGUCGCCACGCAUGACAACUGGAGAUCAAGGGGGAUGGAAUAGGAGGGGAAGUGCACGACGCGCGACUUAUAGCUACCCAUGUAACACCCCGGGAUCCACAAACACCCCGAGAUGCUACUGGACUUCACUACCAACAACCGAACACUAAGCAAAAUAAAAUCUGGCAGCAUCUCCUUUGUAAUUAUAAGCAUCGUAGAAGCAAAAGAGAUAUAUCAAUACAAAAUGAAUCAUACUAGUAUGAUAUAAUUCUCAUCAAGGACAAUUAACCACGAAUGAACCAGCUUAUGACUACGUCAUACCCUAAAGUAUGAACCUCAAAAGUCAAUAAUCCAAGAUAAUUAUUUGGUUCUUUAAGCAAUGAGUGCAAUGUGCCACUACUUCCCACUCCCCUUGAUAAGCAUCAAGUACCUGCAUUGAGUAAUGCAAGAGUGAGAUGAAACAUCUCAACAAGCAAAAUGUUUUGACGAGAUAUUUAAACCACAAGAUAAAUUAAUCAACAUUUUAUAGGAAUCACAAGUAAGAUCAGAAAUACUUGUAGAUAUAGAACUCAAUAGUCCCAAUAUAACCAAUACCAUCUCAUUUCCUCGAACAACCACAAUAGUUUGUAUAACACUUCCCUGUGUCCACAAUAUCUGCAAAUAUCACUUUAAUGAAUGCAUGUGAAUGCAAUGCAUAUGUCCUCUGCCUUCAUACCUCUGAGGGUAUGAAGCCGCAUCGUAUACCUCCUCGGGCAACGUAUGAUGCUAAGUUGUACCAGUACGGUCAGACCAUAGGUCACGAUAAAACUUAAGAUGCAAAUGAAUCAUGCAAUGCAUAUGGCAUGCUGCAUUUAUCUAUAUACUUCACUUCCUUCACAUACAAUACAAACCUCAAAUAAUACUUCAUCUUCCUUCAGAUACAAUACAAACCGCAAAUAAUACUUUACCUUCCUUCAGAUACAAUACAAACCUCAAAUAAUACUUUACCUUCCUUCAGAUACAAUACAAACCUCAAAUAAUACUUUACCUUCCUUCAGAUACAAUACAAAACUCAAAUAAUACUUCAUAUUCCUUCAGGGGUAUGAAUUAAUCUCAUGGGUCAUACUCAAACCAUAAUCAUCAUCAAUAUAUGAUUGAGCAUUAAUAUAAUACAAUCAAGUAAAGCAUCAUCAUAGAGUUUAAUUAUAAAAGAAUUCAAUAAUUCUGAAUAUUAGAGUGCAUGCGAUAAAAAUCACAAGUCAAAACGGUAGCAACCACCGCUACAUUCACUUGCCUUCAUUGAAGAAGAAAAAUGUACUAGGCAUGAUCUGGAGUGUAGCCACCUGCUGCGGAGCAUAAAAUUUAGUACAAAUAUUCCACAAACAUUUGCCAACAAUCAACAAAUCGCUCAUACACUUGAAACCAAGACCCGGUGGAAAGACUCCCACCCUGAACCACAUGCUAAACAGUAGCAGUGCUGUUUGUUAAUUUUGUAUCUUUAAAAUUAUAACAGUAGUGAUAUCAAACAAAUAAUUUAGGAGUAUCUACACAAAAUACUCUACAAAUUCGGUAUUCAAUGGAUAAUUAAAUUUUGCCUUCUAUAAGUUCUAAAACAUCUAACAAGAUAACUGACUGAAUCUGUUUAAGACAGCAGCAUAGUUAAAUUAAAAAUUCGAUAUCUCCCAAACUACAAAACCAAAAAUUAUGAAAUUCUGCUGGAAGUAAUAACUUUUAUCCCUCUACAAAAUUCUCCAUAAUUGAAAGAGCCAAUUCGGCAAUUUACUAGAUGAAACCCACCAGUGAACAGACCCGCUAAUUUUUGCAUGGCAAACAGAAACAGCCACAGUAAAAUGAACAUAACUGGAGUUUAAAAAUUCAUAUGAACACAAUCUUUAUCAAUCUGGAAAGCUUAUUAAAUUAUCUACAACUUUGCUUACAAACCCAAGGUUUAAUUAUGUUUAUAAAAUUGCCUAAAUCUUAAGAGAACAUAUUAUGCACAGAAUUAUGAGACUGAAAAACUGCUAUAAUCAAACUACAAUAACUCUGUGAUCGGAUGUCCGAUUGAGGUGUUCUUCACGGCCACGGAAAAAUAUACAAAUUAUCUACGACUCAUAUAUAGACUUUUUAUUUUUUUGACGCAACUAAGACCACGGAAAACUGGCAUGGACAAAAACUAUCGAAUCUGCCAUUCUGCAGAAAUUAAAUUUGAGAUCAAAAUCUAACCCCACAUCUAAUCCAACCUCUAAUCCUUUAAUCCCCAUGAUCCAAAACCUCCAAGAACACUUAAUUUCAGUGAGGAACAUGGAUCUCAUCCUUACCUAGGGUUUCCCCAAGAAAAUCUCCAAGAAGAGUUGGGGAUAGAACAUCUCCAUGGUCCUCUCUUCCUCUUCAAUCCAACUUGCUCCUCCUCUUCUCGAUCCUUGCUGCUUGGGGGGAGUUCUAGAGGGAGGAGGAAGCCGUGGAGAGGGCAGAGGGUGGCUGCCAUGGGAGGAGAGGGGGCGGCCAGCAAAGGGGAAGGGGAGGGGCGGCCAAGUGUGGGGAAAGGGGGGGUGGCGGCCAAGAAAGGGUGAAAGUCGCCUAGUGGGGGGGGGUUGCCGGUGUUUUGGGUCCGACCGCACACCCGGGGUUGCCCCUCGAGGUGUUUUAGGAGUAGACGGUGUCGCCGACUGUAGCAAAAUGGUUCGUGCCAGAUGCACGAGGGACGAUGGAUGAUGUUUACAGGUUCGGGCCGCUUUGAGAUGCGUAACACCCUACGUCCUGGUGAGUAUGCUUUGUGUACGGGGUUACAAGGUAGCUCUCCAAAUAGAGAAUACAGAGAGUUGAGGUGGAUGGCUGAGUGGUGGGAUCGAUCGUUCUGAAGGGGUGCCCCCUAGGCCUUAUAUAUUCGGCCAUGAGGCAAUACAUGUGGAUAUGCACCUAAAAGAUAGUGAACCGUUUUUGUCUAUCUUCCUAUGAUUCCGCCGACUUAUCCUCGCCUGGUUUCGUUGCAUGGGGCUCCAGCGCGGGAAAGACGGUUCUUCUGUUGUGGUCGCUUGCUCAACGCUGUGGGGCCGUCCGGGCUUGCACCAAUCCGGCCUUACAUCAAUCUGCUUUACUGAUUGUCCCUCCCCAGGCCCAUGAAGGAAUGACCUUACGAUUUAUUGGGCUCUUGGGCCUCUCGUGAGGUCUUUUACCCUUCCGGUGGACCCGGGGGAUAUCUAUCCCCCACAAGCCCCCGAUCUUUGUGUUGAUUUUGAGGUAAUCAGCCCAAAGAUCCCGGGUCCAGAUUGCAGGUAAUUUGGAGAAAAACGAUUUCUUACUGUCUCCUUCUGCUUUGAUCACUCGUAAACUGGAGCUUUGUUUCAUGCUUGUGCCUUAGAGGUUGGCAUUUCAUAUUGUAGGACCCUGAACUUCAUUGGGUGUAGCCCCCGAGCUUCGAGUAGAUUUUGGAAAAUAAUCUACUCGAAGGUCUUCAUCAGAAAUUAUUUUUAUUUUGCUCUUGUACUUUGGUUGAGGGCCAGCCUUGUCUUUAAUCUUGUCUGAUGCCUUAGAAGUCGGCACUAUCUUGGCUUGAAAUGGUAAUUCGUGGGGUGCACCGAAGGUGCACCCAAUGGGUGUAGCCCCCGAGCUUUGAGUGGAUUUUUGAAAAUAAUCCUCUCGAAGGUCUUCAUUUCGUGUCCUUCUCCUGAGAAUAAUCCUUUCUUUUUUCUGAAUGCUUUAGAGGUCAGCAUUAUGUCAUCAAUAUUAUGCUUUAGAGGUCAGCAUGUAUUUUGUCUUUUGCAGCCAAGUUCGUGAUCCGCCCAUAUCUUGCUAGGUGGUGUAAUUUAUUUGCACUGUGACUGAUUGGACAUUUGAUGGACGUUCCCUGGCUAGUCUUCACGUCGCUUCUGUCGGUCAGAUUUUGUACUUCACUGGCUAUAUUUGGCUUUCCUUUGAUCCUUACUGAUAUCUCAUUUUUGUCUUGAGGUAUUCAUUGCAUGCCCUGCACGGAUGUGACGGUUUUGAAAAAUAUACUGAUAAUUCAUGGGCGUCCCCCCCAAUGGGUGUGGGUAAGGGACGGCUUGGUACGCUGAGUGUUUUAGCCGGCUGCUUCUGAGUAGUAAUGUGAUGUGACGGCGGGUGUAAUCAUACCCCCUGCGCGGUUGACUAGAGUCCCAAUGGGUGUUGCUUUGCGUGGAACGGCGCCAGCCGCAUGUCUUCAGACGGGUUGAAGUGUGUAUUCAAUACUUCACGACUGUUCAGUCACCGUGGUUGGAGGUGAGCGCGGUUGCCUUAUUCUUCUAUAAAUAAUGCCUUUGCCUCUCCGGCUUUUUCACAUCUCUUGCUGUUCUCUGCUGCUUGCUUUCUUCUCCUCCUUUCAUUUCCACCAUGGGAAAGAACAACAAACGCAAGCGUGAGCCGACUCCUCCAUCGGAGGACUUCGGUGAUUCGGAGUACUCAGAGGAGGAGUUCUCCUCUGAGUCCGAGGGGUCUCCGGCUCCCAUCCCUCUGCGUGAGUCGUCUGACGAUUCAGACGACUCCCAGGGGCUUGCGGUGGAGGUCUGGACUUACAUCCGGGCCGUCGAGCGCUCCGGGCUCGAGGGCUCGGAUGAGUCGGAGUACUCCUCGGACGAGGAGGACUCGUCCGAGGGCGGUGGCGGCGAUGGCGACGAUGACGACGACGACGAUGACGACGAAGGCGGUGGUGGCAAUGACGGUGACGGCGGCGGCAGGGGCGGCAGCGGCGGCAGCAAGGAUGGCGACGGCGGCAGCAGCAGGGGCAGCAACAGGGGCGGCAGCGGCAGAGGCAACAACAGGGCCAGUGGCUAGAUGCCACUGGUCCUUAGAUGUUAGUAUAGUAUAGUUAGAAUAAUGUAGUAGUAUUUAGUAGUGUAGAGUAGUAUAGUGUAGCGUAGUAGUAGUAGUAGUAGUAGUAGGGAAGUAUCAACUCAUAAUGAGUUGAUUUGUAAGUAUGCCAACUUCCCUUAAUGAAGAACGGUUUCGUCUCCUCUGUGCCGAUUAUCUUGCUGUUGUGUUUGUGGCAUAACUUAGAGUUUUUGAAUCAUUCCUCCGCCCGCCUUAUUUAUGAAGUUGACUCCUUUGGGAUAGUAAUUAAAUAACUCGGGCAUCACAUCGACGCUUUUAGGGGUGAUGGCCGAGCUAUUAUUGUCAACUUUUGCGCUUUUGAGAUAGCGUCCGAGUGGUGACGAAGCCAUGUCAGCGUCGGAAUGACUGAUGACCGCGCUGGCGCUUUUAGAGGUAAAGAGCCGAGUGACUUAUGACGUCGUCAGCGUCUUAGAGGUAACCGCCGAGCGACUGAAAACGACAUCGGCGUUUUAGAGGUAACUGCCGAGUGACUGAAAAUGACAUCAGCGUUUUAGAGGUAACUGCCGAGUGACUCGACGACAUCGGCGUUUUAGAGGUAACUGCCGAGUGUCUUGAUGACAUCGGCGUUUUAGAGGUAACUGCCGAGUGACUCGAUGACAUCGGCGUUUUUAGAGGUAACUGUCGAGUGACUUAUGACGUCGUCAGCGUCUUAGAGGUGACCGCUGAGCACCCGGAGGUAACCUCGGUGUUUUUUAGAGAUAACAGCCGAGUUAGAACGGGCUGCGUCGGCCAUGUUGAGGGUAAUAGCCGAGUGAUGAUGUGGCACACCGGUGUUUUGGAAGUGACCGUCGGGUGACAACGUGGCAUGCUGGUGUUUUGGAAGUAACUGUCGGGUGCUGACUGGGCGCUUUCGGAGACGGCAUCUGACUCGGGAAUAUCCCAUAAGUACUGCGCUUUUAGCCGCCUCUGCUUUUCGUGCCCUAGUUCUUGCUUUCCUGCCUCCAAAUCCUCUCUGCAAUUUGGCUCCCGCUCUGUUCGCCAGUAGAGUUGAGAUGGCGCCAAAGAGGUAGGCCUCGAGUUCAUCUGUCGCGGUGAUUCCCCCAAUCGACCCCAACAGUCAGUUGCCUUUCGCAGGUAACCACAUGUCUGUUGUCUCCGAGCCCGACCUUCUCCACCUCGUGUCCAUCGGGGUCCUUCCCCCUAGGGAGCUCUGUUCUUGGCAGAUUUGUCAUGGGGUCACUGUCCCGACAGAGGAUACCCAUGAGUCCGUAAUUUACGUUCCUUUUCUUCUCUGCGGUCUCGGUCUUCCCAUUUCUCCCUUUUUCAGCGGCCUCCUUGAUUUCUAUCGUCUUAACCUGACCCAUCUGAAUCCCAAUUCCAUUCUGCAAAUUUCCAUUUACAUUCAUUUGUGCGAAGCUUUUCUUGGCGUGCUGCCACAUUUUGGGUUGUGGAAGUACUUGUAUCACUGUCGCCCUGGGAUGGCCGGGGGGCAGCAUCAGCUGGUUGGGGGGUGCUAGUUUGGAGAUGCGCCGUGGGAGGAAGACUGAAUAUCUUGAAAUUCCCCUCAAAGACAGUAUCAAGGGAUGGCGCUUGGAGUGGUUUAUUGUUGAGAACCAUGGAAAUUCUCUCCCCCCACGGUCGGAGAAAAAAGCCGGAUGUUCGCACUCCGAGUUGGACUGAAUCCCCCACUGAUCAGGAGGUGACUGAGGCAGGGGCUCUGUUAGCUGAAGUUGGAUUGCUGAAGGAGAGGGGUCUGACUGCAGAAGCUAUGGUUGCUGAUUUUGUUUUCAAGAACAUUCAGCCAUUGAAGGACAGGGCUUACUCAGCUUAUCUGUACCGAGGCCUAGCUGACUCAACUCGGGUUACCAACAAAAGAAUUCCCUCUGUAGACUUGGUGAACCGACUUGAGAUGAUCCUUAGAGGCAAGGUAUCAAACGUUGGUGCCCCAGUGGCAUACUCGGCCUGGAACCUGCCUCCUUCCAAAGCUUUCACUUAUCUUGUUUUGAAUCCACCUGUUGUUGAUGGCAGUUUGGGCCUCAGAGUGCGACCCUCUGCUGAAGACGUCAACGCCUUGGUUGCCUCGCUCGGGGAAAUUCCUGAUGAUGAACGGCAGGUCCACUUUGAGGUGCCCCUAGAUCCUAGUGACGCAGAAAUAAGUGCUAUGCUUGAUUUGCUGGCUGAGGACUCUUCUGAUGCUGCUCCUGCUGGGACGUUGGUGGUGGCACCUCCCCAGAAACUGAUAUAACCUUGGAUAUUCAGAAGCCUGUCAGUACUCGCCCAAGACGCCCUUCUCGGGCCAAUCAACUUGAUCCUCCUGCUGACGAGCAGAAAAAGAAAAAGAGACGUCUCCGGCGGGUAUCUAGUUUGGAUCGGGAUGCUGGUCCUUCGGCUCCUGCUGCUGAGGAAGUUCCCGUGCCUGAGCUUACUGACGCUAACCUUAAUGAGGGUGCUCCACCCGCUGCUGACCCCAAUGGGGGUGCUCCACCUGCUGCUGACCCCAAUGGGUGUGCUCCACCGGCUGCUGACCCCAAUGGGUGUGUUGUCUGUGUUGCUAAUGAGGACGAUGGGGAGGAAGAGGAUGAGGUCCCUCUGACUCGGAAGAACAGUCGGCAGUACGUCGCAGUGGUGAAAGUAGUGGAGUUCCUACUCCUGCUUUGUUUGCCCUUAUUGGUCUGCAAGAGUUGUCCCUGGCAAACUUUGAUCAGACUCUUGAAGAUAUGGUUCCGGAAAACCUGCUGUCAGAGCUAGCAGAAGAUGGUGUGAUGGAGGUUUGUACUGAUGUGCUUGACGCUGGGUUGGGGUCAUCCCGCGCCUCAUCGACCUUAGAGCGCGGUCAUGAGGGUCAGGAGACUGACUUGGAUCGUCUUGCUCCCAUGGAAGUAUUUGAGAGACCCUCAGCCUUAGAGGCGGCUACUGCAGAGAACUUGGUCCUCAAGGAUGGUGCUGACACUUGCCCAGCCCCCGAGGAUGUUGCCGGGGAUGACUCGGCUCGGGUGGGAAACGCAAGCCACUGCCCAGCCCCCGAGGGUACUGCCGGAGAUGAUCCGGCUCAAGUGGGUAGCGCGAACUAUAGCCCAGCCCCCGAGGGUGUCCGAGCGGGGUCUCCCUCUUGUACUUCCAUGGAUGUUCACGCAGGAUCUUCUCCGCGCUCCGGUUGCAUGGUGGUAGCCCAAGCUUUGGGCCAGGGAGUCGCUUUAGAAGCUAGCGUUCCCGCUGACCGAGUUUUGGGCUCUGUUGAUGGUACCGAGUUGGUCCCUGCUGGUUCAUUGCAAGCUGCUUCGGGCGGCGACCUUACGCCAAGUCAUCAAUUGAUCUCUCACGAUUUCGGAAUCCCUUCGUUCUUCUCCAAUCUCCAGGUACUGUGAUAUAUUUUAGCUUGACUUUUACGCCGCCUGUACUGCUGUUAUUACACUUAUCUGUUCUCCUCAUCAUGCAUUGGUGGACGGGAUGGCUAGCCAGCUAAGGUUGCAGGGUGCUUCUAUUCCAGAAGGAGCUUUGUCUUUUGCACGUUGGAAUCCGGUGUUACUUCAACAUCGUGUCUCUGACUUGGAAGCGACCAGUGCUGGUUAGUGCUUUUUUGCUUCUCUUUGUCUUCAUUAUUGAAUUGCCUUACAUUCUAACCCCUUUUGUUUGAUUGUCUCCUGCUAGAUAUGACUCGGCAGAUUUCCACUCUUGAAGAAAAACAUUCUCGAGAUCAGGCUGAACUUGUCCGGCGGUGCUCUGAUUUGGAAGAAAAGUAUUCUCAAAACCAGAUUGAACUAACCCAGGUCUCUGCUGCCCUAGAUGACGCCAAUGCACUGAGCUCUUCCCUUCGCGCUCAGCUUGAUUCUGAAAAGGUGACUUAUGAAACUGUGCCUUGCCUUACUGUGUUCCUAUUGCUUGCUUGAUGUUUGAAGGAGUUGAUUCUUGUUUGCAGGAAGAAAAACGUGUCCUUGCUGCUUCUCGCGACAAUCUUGACAGACUGUAUCACGACUCUAGCAACUCGUUGACCAUCCUGGAGAGGAGUCAUCGCUUCACCAUGGAGGAGUUAGACAAUCAUCGCUGUAAACUGCAAGAAUCCACGGAUGAUGUAAUCCGUCUCAGGCAGUUGAUAUCGGCGAAGGAUGCUACUAUCAAAGAACUCCGUGCGUCCAAGAAAUCCAUCGCCUAGGAGCUAGAAACCGCUCAAUUGGCUGCCAAGGUUGCUGAAGAAACUUCUAUUACUCUGAGAGCCCAGCGUGACAGAGCCAUGGAUAAAGCCAUUCGGGCGGGGCGAAUCUUGAUGAGGAGACCUGGCGUGGUUGUUCCUGAAGAUAUAAGGGCUGACGUGAAUGCUGCUCCUGAUUCCUCAAGUCGCCCUUCCUCGUCGAUUGCUCCUGAGAAAGAUAUCGCGAAAUAGAGAGAUAUUUUGAGUGCUUUGAGCGCGCGGUUAGCAUGGUCAGACGUUUGUUAGAGGACACCACUUUAGCACUUGAAUGAUAUUGUUAUUCUCUUAUUGUUUCAGAAUUCAAUCAGUACGUAAAUUUGCAGUAGUAAGAUGAUGCGUGAUGGUUUUGAAACUUGUUUGCGGGAUAUAGAAGUCAUCCCUAUAUGAGUAAUCGUAAGCGCGUCAGAUCGCCUUAAGUUGCCGCUGACUUAAGUCGGUUGCUUCUGUUAAUAGGGCAUAGUGGUCACCCCGAGUUACGUAAGCGUGAGCAUGUUGCACCGGCUUAAGUCGUUGCUGACUUUAGCCGAUUGCUCUGUUAGCAGGGCAUAGUGGUCACCCCGAGUUAAAUAAGCGCGAGCAUGUUGCACCGGCUUAAGUCGUUGCCAACUUAAGCCGAUUGCUCCGUUAGCAGGGCAUAGUGGUCACCCCGAGUUAAGUAAGCGCGAGCAUGUUGCACCGGCUUAAGUCAUUGCCGACUUAAGCCGAUUGCUCCGUUAGCAGGGCAUAGUGGUCACCCCUAGUUAAGUAAGCGCGAGCAUGUUGCACCGGCUUAAGUCGUUGCCGACUUAAGCCGAUUGCUCCGUUAGCAGGGCAUAGUGGUCACCCCAAGUUAAGUAAGCGCGAGCUCGGCUAGGCUGGGUCCUUAGGCUCCGGACGACAUAGGGCAAUUCCCUUAUCCACUUUCCCGCAAACUUUUCAUUCUUAUCGAAGACCUUUUUCCUGAGUGCCUCCAAUAUCAUCCCGUUAGCUCGUUCAACCUGCCCGUUGGCUCUUGGGUGUGCUACAAAAGCAUACUUGAUCUGAAUGCUUUUUUGCUCGCAGAAAUCGAAGAAUUCAGAACUUGUGAAGUUGGAUCCUAGGUCAGUUAUGAUGCUGUUUGGUAUCCCGAAUAUGAACAUUAUGUCUUGUAUGAAUUCCACGGCCUUAGCUGAGGUUAAAGAAGCAAUGGGUUUGAACUCUAUCCAUUUAGUGAAUUUGACGAUUGCUACCAGUACGUGAGUGUAUCCUCCUUGAGCUUUCUUGAAAGGUCCAAUCAUAUCCAGUCCCUAGCAUGCGAAGGGCCAAGUCACUGGUAUGGUCUGCAGUUGCUGUGCUGGUAGAUGUUGUUGCUUUGAUAAGUACUGGCAAGCUUCGCACCUCUGAAAUAACUCGGCUGCGUCACUCUUCGCUGUUGGCCAAUAGAAUCCUGACCUGAAGACCUUCCCGACUAGUGUCUUGUACGCUGCGUGUAUCCCACAUUGCCCAGCAUGGACCUCGUCCAGAAGUCGCUUCCCAGUAGAUGAGAGAAUGCACUUCAUGAGGACGCCUGAUGCACCCCGUCUGUAUAAUGUUUCCCCAAUGAGUGUGUAGUGAGCCGACUGUCUGGCGACACGCUCGGCUGCAUUUUUGUCAUCUGGUUCCUCUUCAUUCUUUAUAUACCUGAUGAUUGGCCUUCUCCAGUCAUUAGACUCUGACUCUGGUUGAUUCACAAUAUUGCACUCUUCUGCUUGAUCCAUUGAGAUGCUCGGCUGUAGUAUUUCUUGUACAAAGACUCCAGGUGGGACCUGAGUUCGACUGGAUCAUAGCUUGGACAAUACAUCGGCUGCCGUGUUCCGAUCUCUUUAUACAUGAUGAAAUUCCAGACCCUCAAAUUUAUCUUCCAGUUUUCGGACGGCGGUGCAGUACUUUCCCAUUGAAUCGCUUGAACAAUCCCAUUCUUUGUUUAUCUGGCUUAUGACUACCAGAGAGUCUCCGUACACCAUCAGUCUCUUGAUUCCCAAUGAUAUGGCGAUGUUCAAUCCAUGGAUCAGAGCUUCAUACUCGGCUGCAUUGUUGGAGGCUGGAAACAGCAACUGGAGGGCAUAUUUGAGGUGCUCGCCUCCAGGUGCGGUGAAGAGAAUUCCUGCUCCUGCUCCCUGCAGCUUCAGCGAGCCAUCAAAAUACAUUCGCCAUACUUCUGCAGUCUCUGGGUUAUCUAGUACUUGUUGUUCCGUCCACUCUGAUACGAAGUCAACCAAUGCUUGAGUUUUGAUGGCAGUGUGAGGUCAAAAUUCGAUGUCAUGAGAUCCCAGUUCGCAUGCCCACUUGGCUAUUCGGCCAAUGGCUUCCUUGUUGUGAAGAAUAUCCCCUAUUGGAAAACCAGUGACUACUAUGACUUUGUGGUCGUCAAAGUAGUGACGUAGCUUGCGGGCAGUUAGAAGUACUACAUAUAAUAGCUUCUGAACUUGAGGAUACUUUUUCUUCGAGGGACCCAGAACUUCACUGAUGAAGUAAACGGGAUGUUGUAUUGGGUAGGCAUGUCCUUCUUCUGCUCGCUCGACUACCAACGCGGUGCUUACCACGUGAGUCGUGCAAGAGAUAUACAGCAGCAGAUCUUCAGCUGGUUGAGUUGACGUGGCUUGCCGUGGCGGCUUCAGUACUGGUGGUGUUGUCAAGAAUUUUUCAGUGCAUCUAGAGCUUCCUGUGCUUCUGAGGUCCACUGAAACUUAUCCACUUUCUUGAGUAGCUUGUAAAAUGGUAAACCUUUUUCUCCCAGCCUGGAUAUAAAUCUGCUCAGAGCUGCCAUACAUCCAAUAAGUCGCUGAACCUUCUUUUGUGAUCGUGGUGCUUCCAUUUUCAUGAUAGCUUCAAUCUUAUCCGGAUUAGCCUCAAUUCCCCGGUGGCUGACAAUAAAUCCGAGUAACUUUCCUGCUGGUACCCCAAAAACACAUUUUUCGGGAUUAAGCUUCCAUCGGUACCGCCGUAGACUGUUGAAAACCAGCUGUAAGUCUUCAAUGAAGUUUUCCGAGUUCUCCGUUUUGAUUACCACAUCAUCUACGUAGGCUUCCACACGCUUGCCCCAGUGAUCGGCUAAGCAUGUUUGAAUGGCUCUCUGAUAAGUCGCUCCAGCAUUUUUGAGGCCAAACGGCAUGGAGGUGUAACAGAAAGCACCAAACGGAGUGAUGAACGCUGUUUUUUCCUCGUCUUCCUUCGCCAAGCUAAUCUGAUGGUAUCCGGAAUAGCAAUCCAGGAAAGAUAGCACAGAACAUCCAGCGGUGGAGUCUACCACCUGAUCUAUCCUUGGGAGCCCGAAGGGAUCCUUUGGACAAUGUUUGUUGAGGUCAGUAUAGUCGACGCACAUGCGCCAAUCCACUUUAUUCUUUUUGAGUACAAGAACAGGGUUGGCUAACCACUCGGGGUGUAACACCUCUCUAAUAAAUCCAGCCGCGACCAAGCGAGCUAGCUCGGCGCAAAUGGCCUCUCUCUUGUCGGACGUGAAACGACGUAGUUUUUGCCGGAUCGACCUUGCCUGGGGAUAGACCUUCAGUUUGUGCUCGGCCAGUUCUCUUGGGACUCCCGGCAUAUCCGCAGGUUGCCAUGCGAAUACGUCUCGGUUAUCUUGCAGAAACUGGACGAGCGCGUCUUCCUAUUUGUCAUCCAGGCUGGAGCUAAUGAUGGCAGUCUUGCGUUCAUCAGCGAACCCCAGGUUGAUCCUUUUAGUUUCUUCAGUCAGCCGCAUAGAGGUCGCAGGCUGAGCUUCAUUCGCCGGUGCUGCAAGGUCCUCCUCAGGCUUAGAGUUCGCCUGUGCUGAAGAAGUCGUCAACGACUUGGUGGUGAGGGCCGCUUGGAUGGCCACUCGGAAACACUCUGCGGCGCCUUGGAAGUCAGCGCGCACAGUUAUGAUUCCUUGUGGUCCUGGCAUCUUUAGUAUCAUGUACGUGUAAUGCGGAAUGGCCAUGAAUUUUGCCAAUCCCGGCCUCCCGAUGAUGGCGUUGUACCCGCAGUCGAAGUUCGCCACUUCGAACCUCAGGAACUCGGUUCUGUAGUUAUCCGGAGUUCCGAAGGUGACGGGCAUGUAGAUGUGGCCCAGCGGGUAUUCUCCUUCAGUCGGCACGAUGCCGAAGAAUGGAGUGUCGGACUCGUGGAGCUCUUUGAGGUGAACUCCCAAGCCUUGGAGUGUCCGGGGGAAGGUGACGUUGAUGCUGCUCCCCCCGUCCACUAACACCUUCUUCACCCUGCUCUCUCGGAUCACCGGAUCGACGAGGAGCGGGUAUUUGCCUGUGUGGUCGAAGUUGAGCCAUUGAUCCGCCCGAGUGAAAGUGAUCGGGUGCUCCGACCACCGGUAUGGGGCGGGAGGACCGGUGGUCGCCACCAAUAUCUGGCGAUCGUUGAGCUUUUGUUGUCUUCUAUUCUCCUGCGAUCCGUGUCCGCCGAAGAUGACGUUGACCUCCCUGUCAACGCGCGGGAAAGCUCCUCCUCCUCCCUCCUCCUGCUGCUGGGGUUGUCGUGGUUCUUCUAGUCCUCCCCUCGGCGGAGGAGGAGGUAGAGGUUGGAAGGGUCGGCCGUGCCCGACGGAGUGCUUGAAGUCCCGGCAGUUCCGAAGAGUGUGGCACAUGUCCUUGUGGUACGAGCACUGGGCGUCAAAGAUGUCGUCCAGCAUGCGCUCGCCUUCUCGAGGUCCUCCCCGGGCGCGAGAGGCUGGUGGUCCGGCGGCGUGUACUUCUUCGCGAGGUCUCUUCUCCCAACGUUUGUCGGGUUGCUGGUUCGCGUCGCGUCGUGGUGCCGCUGGUGCGGGCUUUGCUCCUACGAUGGGGUCCUGAGCUCGCUCGUCGGCGGUGAUGUAGAGGUCGGCUUCCCGGAACAACUCCUCGGAGGUAGUCGGCGCCUUCUGCAAUAUGGCUCGGACAAAGGCCGAGUCAUUGGAUCCUCUGUAGAAGUCCUCGAUCACGGCCGCCUCCGUGACCUCAGGGAUAUGAUUUCUCAUGGUUUGGAACCUUUUGAGGUAUGACCGGAGAGUUUCGUCCCCCCGACGCUUGAUGGAUUUGAGGUCCCACGGUUGCGCCGGUUUGUCGGAGAGGGACUGAAAAUUGGCAGUGAAGCGUCGACUGAAAUCGCCCCAGUCGUCGAUGUAGUGUCGGGGUAGAUGUCGCAGCCAUUGUAGCGCGUCUUCCCCGAGGACAAUGGGUAGGUACGCGGUCAUCACGUCCUCGGACGCCCCGGCGGCCCGAGCAGCGGUGGUGUAGACGGCUAGCCAGCCCCCUGGAUCCUGCUUAGGUUCAUAUUUAUCGACAUUGGAUACCUUGAAGUUAGGGGGCCAUUGGAUGGCCCUAAGGCGUGGAGUAAGAGCAGACACUCCACACGUGUCUUCCAGUCGUCGGGGAUGAUGUCUGUCCCGGGGAGGGGAGUAGUUGUUGUGGUUCCUCGACCGUCCCCGGCCAGUUGAGGCCGUUGCUGACUCAGUUCUGGUGGUCUGGCUCCGAGCUGGGAUGCCAUGAUCCCUGUCGUACUCCUCCCGGCGGCGGAUCUCGUUCUCAUGCCGUCGUUCACGCGAAGCAUUGAUGGAGCUUCGUGCGUCCCGACGGCUGUUGAUAGCGUGUCGUAGAUCGUUCGGCGGGUGAGCAAGUGGUAGAAGAUGGUUGGCCGCUUGAGUGAACAGUCGUCGAUAGCCCUUGGCGUCAGGAGUCCGAGGGAGUCCAUCAGCUAUCCGAGCUAGUACUCCUCCGACUUCACUCGGCGUGUUCAUGGCUCGGGCGAAGUCGGGAUUCAGGUUGCGCCCGAAGAGUGUAUUCUCCCGGCGUUGCCUUGCAUCUUGCUCGGCUUGUUCCUGAGCCCGGCGGUGAUCACGUCGUCGGGAGUUCCUUCGUUCUCUGAAGACGUGUUCCUCCGGAGUUUCUCCUAUCUCCGAGACCUCGUCCCGCGAAACAGGUUGCUCCGGAUCCCGUUCUCCGGCCUCGUGGUGUCGCCGAAUGUUUCGGCACCGGUUUCUCCGUCGGCGGGAUUCCCGCUGAGGUGGUUCUUCUCCGGGCGCGGUUGGCUCGUCGUCGGAGACGGGGGGCGACUCCACUCUCCCGAUGAAGAGGACGUCGGGGUAGAAUGGUACGGCGGUCGUGACGAUCUUUUUUCCGUUCUCCUUUGAGGGCGGAGGAACGGAAAGAACAACUUGCUUUCUCCCGGCCUCUUUCUUCCUUGCGACCUGUGUCCAUUCUUUCGUCGGGGAAGUAGACAGUGGAGUUCUCCGGGUCAGCGGGCCCUCGGCCCCUGACUUUCUGAAGGCGAUCUUUUUUCGGAGAGCUGGAGGUUGCGCUUCUCCGGUAUUUUCAGAGUUUGUUGGAGGAGACUUCUUUUUCGGCAGAUCUGCAAUGCGGUGUAGAGUUCCAUCUUCAUCUUCUAUGGAUGAGAUUGUUCCAAAGCAGAAUACGGAUCCGGGACGGAGGGUGAUCUUGCUGUGGAAAGUGACAGCCAUUGAGCUAGCUUGGAUCAUCGACACACCCCCUACCUAGCGCGCCAGCUGUCGGUGUUUUGGGUCCGACCGCACACCCGGGGUUGCCCCUCGAGAUGUUUUAGGAGUAGGACGGUGUCACCGACUGUAGCAAAAUGGUUCGUGCCAGAUGCACGAGGGACAAUGGACGAUGUUUACAGGUUUGGGCCGCUUUGAGAUGCGUAACGCCCUACGUCCUGGUGAGUAUGCUUUGUGUACGGGGUUACAAGGUAGCUCUCCAAAUAGAGAAUACAGAGAGUUGAGGUGGAUGGCUGAGUGGUGGGAUCGAUCGUUCUGAAGGGGUGCCCCCUAGGCCUUAUAUAUUCGGCCGUGAGGCAAUACAUGUGGAUAUGCACCUAAAAGAUAGUGAACCGUUUUUGUCUAUCUUCCUAUGAUUCCGCCGACUUAUCCUCGCCUGGUUCCGUUGCAUGGGGCUCCAGCGCGGGAAAGUCGGUUCUUCUGUUGUGGUCGCUUGCUCAACGCUCUGGCGCCAUCUGGGCUUGCACCAAUCCGGCCUUACAUCAAUCUACUUUACUGAUUGUCCCUCCCCAGGCCCAUGAAGGAAUGACCUUACGAUUUAUUGGGCUCUUGGGCCUCUCGUGAGGUCUUUUACCCUUCCGGUGGACCCGGGGGAUAUCUAUCCCCCACAGGGGUGGAUAGGCGAAACCUGAAAAUUAUAAUUCUAAAUCCAAACUAGAUCCCUUGAUUAGUGGUUAGACCAAGAUUCACAAUUAUCAGAGAAUAAAACUAAGUCCUUUGCUUGCAACGAGUAUUGUUUUCAAAGAGUGCAGAAUUUAAUCAAUGGCAAUACUACUAGAAAUGUUAACGGGGAAUAAUGCAAGAGGGCUUAGAUAAGAAGAGGAUAAACACAAGUUCUUUCUUGCAAGGAGUUUCUUCUUUAAAUGAGAAUUUAACUUGAAGCAACACAAAAUAAUAUUAGUAAAUAGUAGCGCAAGAGAACUUAUCAAGGGCGAGAACAAACAAAUCACGAGCAAUAAACACAAGGGACACGAGUGAUUUGUUUUACUGAGGUUCAGCCAUUGAAGUCCUAGUCCCUGUUGAGGAGUCCACUAAGGACGGGUCUCUUUCAACCCUUUCCCUCUCUCCACCGAUCACCAAGACCGGCGAGCUCUUCUUCUUCUCAAGGAUCACUUAAGACCCCACAAGGAUCACCACACUCUUAGGUGUCUCUUGCUAGGUUUACAAGCCUCCAAAACAUUGGAGGAAGUUCAAUGGGAGUCAAAACUCCACGCACAAAUGAACGCAAGAUGUAGCACACACUUUCUCUCAAUGAAUCUCACAAGGUACUAGCGCUAAACUCACACGAGAAGCUUUCUUUUGCUUGCUCUCGUUUUUGUGGCACUUGUGUAGGUUGAAGUGGUCUAAAUCUUAUGUAUAGGAUGGAUCAAUGAAUAGAGGUGGUUGGGAGGGCUUGGAUAUGUCAACUAUAUGACUUGGAAUGUUGCUUGGGCUCCCACCCCUUGAAGUGGCCGGUUGGGGUGGUAUUUAUAGCCACCAACCAAAUUGUAGCCGUUGGAGAAGGCUGCUGGCGAUGGGUGCACCGGACAGUGUCCGGUGCGCCACCGGACAGUGUCCGGUGAGCCGCCACGUAACCCUGUCGUCAGGGCUUGGAGCUGGUCGACCGUUGGAGGCUUUGUCUUCAUGUGGCACCGGACAGUCCGGUGUCACACCGGACAGUCCGGUGCCCCUCUGACCUCCUGCUUUGACUUUUGCCGUGACAUUGUGCUGCACUGUUCACCCGUCACAGUCGACCGUUGCGCGCAUGUAGUCGUUGCUCCGCUGGUGCACCGGACAGUCCGGUGGCACACCAGACAGUCCGGUGGCACCAGACAGUCCGGUGAAUUAUAGCGGAGCUACACCUAGGAAACCCGAAGCUGAGGAGUUUGAGUUGAUUCACCCUGCUGCACCGGACAUUGUCCAGUGCGCCAGACCUGGGCACACUUCGGUUUCCUUUUUGCUCCUUUCUUUUGAAGCCUAACUUGUUCUUUUUGCUGGUUUGGUUGAACCUUAGGCAUCUGUAGAAUGUAUAAUCUAGAGCAAAAUAGUUAGUCCAAUUAUUUGUGUUGGGCAAUUCAGCCACUAAAAUUAUUUAGGAAAAGGUUUGACCCUAUUUCCCUUUAAAUCUCCCCCUUUUUGGUGAUUGAUGCCAACACAAACCAAAGCAAAUAUGUAAGUGCAUAAUUGAACUAGUUUGCAUAAGGCAAGUGCAAAGGUUGCUUCGAAUUAAACCAAUUUAUACUUUCAUAGGUUAUGCAUGAACUGCUUUCUUCAUUUUAACAUUUUGGACCACGCUUGCACCACUAGUUUUGUUUUUGCAAAUAGUCAAAGGUAUAUGAAUAAGAUUGAAAGAAGCAUUUUCAAGAUUUGAACUUUUCUCCCCUUGUUUCAAAUGCUUUUCCUUUGACUAAACAAAACUCCCCCUCAAUGAAAUUCUCCUCUUAGUGUUCAAAAGGGUUUUAGAAAUUAAUUUUGAAAGAGGUCAUACCAAUUUGAAAUUGUAUCAAAAAUAAGAUACCAAUUGAAAAACUUCUUUAAUACAAAUUAAAAGACUCAUUUUUGAAAUUGGUGGUGAUGCGGUCCUUUUGCUUUGGGCUAAUACUUUCUCCCCCUUUGGCAUGAAUCGCCAAAAACGGAGACUUUGUGAGUGAAAUAUGAGCCCUUGUUACUUUCUCCCCUAGUGGUACAAAUGAAUAUGAGUGAAGAUUAUACCAAUUUUGAGAGAUGGUGGAAUACCGGCAAAGGAUAGAUAAUACCGAUGGUGUAGAGUGGAAGCGAUGUCUUUGCCGAAUACUCCAUUUCCCUUUCAAUCUAAGACUUAAUACACAAGAUACUCAUGGAAACAUAUUAGUCUUAGCCUUGGCACAAGAGAGAUAGGAAAUAUGAAAAUGUACCAAGGGAAAGAGACAUGGUUAAAAGGAUAUGUCAAUUAAGCAUAAACAGUUCUAUAUAAUAUAGAUUGCUCCCCCUAAAUAUGUGCCUUGACAGGAAUACAUAUUUUGGCCUUAAAUGCCAAGUGCACAUAAUUAGGUUAAUGAGAACACAUCUAUAUCAUAGAAACUGUGAAGUGCAAUGGGUCAUAAUAAAAGUGUGAUGCUCACGACAGACUAUGCACUUAUGAAAGCAUGUUGGAAACAUUUUAAGCAAUUACCCUUAAGGAUUUCAAAGAGACUUAAGGACCUUCCACCUUUGAAACAAAGGUAGCUUAUCCUCGUUACAAGGUUAAGGUUUAAGCUCUUUGACAAUAAAAUCACUUCACCUAGUUUUAACAAAAAUGCAUAAAUGUAGGAAUGAAAUUUUUGAAAGGUUAAACUAGGUAUGAAGCAGGGAUAUGCAUAGACAUUCUUUCUCUUCCUUUUAUACAAGAUAUGCAAGGAAUGUAUAGAAGAGGAAGAUUUAGGUACAUGUGUAAAUGAGAGGAAGUAGUUUUACCCUUUUGUACCUUCACAUGGAGAUGCUCUCUUCAUUGUGCUUUGUCGUUAGUCUUAGUUACUUAAGACCUAUAUUCAAGACAAUGUAUGGAAAUAUUUUGCACAAGAGAGAGUUCUACAACUAGUGAUCCUUUUCUAAGUCAUUGUUAUUAUAUAUCAAGUAGAUCACAAAUUGCAUAAAUGUAUCAUGAAUUCUCCUUUUAACUUAGUGCACAUCAAGAGAGAUAUCGAUUGAAAUUAUAUGAGGCACUAAGAAACAUAAGUGUUAAUUGAAGUUAUUCAAUGAUCAAACAAAUAACAGAUGCGAUCAAAAGAACAACAUAGGCAUGAGAUUAUCAAACAAGCUUAAAACAGGAGAAUCCAGUAAAUAUGCUACUUUAACAUUGAAAGAUACAAUCCUUGAUAAAGGUGACAUUACUUUACCAAGAUGGAUUGAAAUGUAGAAGCAAACUUUAUGAGAAACUUAUUCUCAUACUUGAGACUAUGUGAGAUUACUAAGAUGAAGAAUUAGUCUCAAUAUAAUCAAGAUAUAAAAAUAGGCUCCCCCUAAAGAUAUGCAUCAAAGUUUGAAAGAAUUGGACAAAUGCACUCACUUUUAAAGACAAAUAGGGAGAAGCAUUAUUCAUCUUGAUCAAGGCUUAUAAGAUUUGCAAUGAACAACUUAUGCCUAGUAUUCUCGUAAUGAAGGAGAUUUAGAAUGCUUACAACCACACCAUGAUUGUUUUGAAGAUCUUAUUGUCCCAGUAGGUGUUGUUGUUCUUGAUGUCUUCCUCUUUCAUUUGAGUGUCCUCCCUUUGUAGUUGUCUCUUUUUCCUUCCAAACUUAUUGAAAAUACUCAAGGGAGAUGUUAAUAGCAUAAGAGAGUAUAUGAUGAAGGAUGAUUUCCUUAGAUAAGAAAUAUAAACAAUUCAUCACCCAUACGUCACACAGACAUGAAGUAAAAUCCUUAUCAUUAGUGCACAUCAUUAGAAAAGAGGAAUAUGCACCUUUUAAACAUUUUGAUGAAUCAUAGGAAAUUUACUUCUUCAUAUUGAUUUUAUUAUCACAACUUAAAAACAUAUCAAUAUGAGAACAGAUAUAGCAAAGGCAUGAAUUAGAUUAUGAUGGACAAAUGUAUUUAUGAGAAUGAGAUUGAAUGCACAGCUAGCUGACUUAAGUCCAAUAAAGAAUCCAUUCUUCAUAGGUAGAAUAUGAUAAUUUAGAGUAAAUGACCAUUGAUGGGAACUAUAUUUGAUUAAGAAGAUGAGUUCCCAUAUCUUUGCUUUUACCUUUCUUCCUUUAGGUGAAGAGCAACCCUUGAGGCUUGUGGCUUUAAACAUGUACUUACUCUCUUGUAGAUUUCCAUAAGUAAGCUCAAGAGAUAUGUCAUGAACAACACAAGCACUAGUUUCCCCUUUUUUGUAAUCAUUUUGAUAAGGAAUAAAAAGUGGAUUACUAAAGCAUGGAAACUUUAUAAUAUGAACUAGAUUAUUCCAUAAUGUAUGCUCAGUUUUAACUUAUAAAACAAGCAUAGUUAAUUCCUUAAGGUUAUGGGAAAAAAUCUAAUUCAUAACAUGGAGAGCGAUGAAUGUAGAGGAAUCAUAUCCAAUUUAAGAAAGAAGAAACACACCAUAAAUCAUUGGAUUGAUUUUCUUUGGCAUGUUGGAUUACACAUUUCCAUAGGUAAACUUAUUCUCUAUAUGUGAGACUAUUUAGAUCAAUUUGGGCAAAAACAUUAGCUCACUAUUCUAGUUAAAGAGAGAUUCCCAUUAUAAGUGUCCUAAGGAUUUGAAUUCCUUACAUGACACCUUAUUCUUUUAAGAGCUUGGAAUAUCUCUCUAAAACUAGAACAGAGAAAUAAUAGCAUGCCAUAUAGUACUUAAGUUAAAGCAUGUAGAUUGCCAUGAUGAAUAUGCAAUCUACCAUAUGAGAGAAAUUUCUUCAAAGAAUGGUGACAUAAUUUAAAAACAUUUGGAGUGCUUCCUUUUUCUAUGUGACUACACAAGACACAUAAGAAAUGACAAUUUAAGAUACUUGCACUUAAAAAGCAUAAAUGUUACCAACCUUUGGCUUUCCUCCAUGUUGUAGGUCUUGAUUUUUCCGCACAGGAUAAUUCUUUAUUUCCUACAACAUCAAUACCUUCUCCGAGAUGAUAUGAGUUUUAGACAUAAUAAUUCAAAACAACUUUGGGUCAAUCUUGGAUAUAUAUAGAUCAUUGAAGAUUGAUAGCUUGAGUUAAUAAAAAUUGAAUUGACUCUCUCAAACACCCCAAAGCUUCAUAUCAUCUCCUUCUCCUGCAAAGCUUGUCAAGCACAUCUUGGUACCCAUCGCUUGAUGGGUCCAUCAAGAUUAGUCAAUAAAGAUCUAGGAACCCAAAAGUCCUUUGUGUUAGCACUUGGCUAACUCAUUACCUUUCUAGCACAAGUUGCAAUUUUGGGUUGCCUAGUUACAUGUGAAAUAAUUGACAAGCUAGAAGUGGGAUAGUUACCAAUGGGACAAUCCUUGCAUUGAUGUCCCUGCUUCGGCAUAUGUAGCAAAGGUGAUCUUCAAGUUUUGAAGAUUUCUUCUUUCCUUGUUUCUUGCUUGCUACUUGGUUAGUCAAUAUUUUCUUUUCUAACACUAUGCCUUUUGUUUUAAAUAGGGACAAGACUUAAUUAAGUGUCCCUUCUUUGAGCAUUUGAAACAAAGUUUAUCAUCCUUGUUAAUAAUCAAGCCAUUUUUAAUAUAGGGACAUGACCUAAUCGAGUGUCCCUUUUUAAAGCAUUCACUACACUUUUUACUUCUCUUAGUGUGAAGUGUGGCUUGAUCAUUACCUUGGAUGUUACCUUGCAUGGAGGCAUGGUUGAGGCUUUUGGUAGAUGUAUUGAUUUUCUUCUUUUGUUCCUUCCUCUUGGCAAUCCUCAAAUCCUUGACAUUUUCUUCAAGGGAUUUAGUGCAUGCCACAGUUGUUCCCGUCUCAAGCUUCUUCACCAUGUGAUCAUGGUUAUCUUGAGAAGGUUGAGUAGUGCACUUCCCUUUUAGUUGUGUCAAGCUCAUUUUUAGCCUCUCAUUUUCUUCUUUGAGCUUUUGAUCAUUUUUUGUUCCUGCAAGUUCUAGCUCAAGGGAAGAUUUACUUGUCGACGGACAACAAGCAUUAGCACAUGGUACAAUAGUUUCAAUUUGAAUACAUGUGCAUUAGUGAGGUUGUUGGGAUUUUAUGUUUUCUAUCACAACCUCUUGAGCAAUAUUUAAUAUGAUAUGAUCAUCCAUAAGAUUUUCAUGAGAACAUAGAAGCAUAUCAUAUUUUUCUUGAAAAGCUAGAUUUUCAACUUUUAGCUUUUCUACUUGGUCCUUAAGCAAGGCACUCCUAUUGGUCCUUGAAGAGUUAUCUUGCUCAAUUGAAAUAGUUUCAUACCUUUGGACCAAAUCAACAUGGGAGCAUUUUAGCACCUUAUGUUCUUUAGUCAACUCAUCAAACCUUAGCAUUUUUAUGGAGAGAAUAUCUUCUAGCAUUUGAAGAGCUUCGCUUUGCUCUCUUGCUCUUUUUAGAAGUUUGAGCAUGACCGCCUUAUCUUCUAGGCUUAGUUGAGCGUAGAGUCGCAUGAAGCUUCUUUCAUCCUCCUCAUCCUUAUUUGUGCUUCCACUAUCAUUUCAUUAGCCACACAACAUAUGUGGGAAUCGAAAUUGGAAGACAAACCUUUUGGAGAGAUGGAUUCAUCGUUUGGUCUCCAUCGUUCAUUUUCUUCUUCCUUCAAAGGGUUAGUUUCACAAGGACCAAAGGAAGUAGAGGCACAAAAUGAACCAUGAUGUUUGGACUCAUAAAAUUUGGUUUUAAUUCUAGUCCAAAUAUCAUGCGCAUCACAAAUAGGUUCAUCAUAUCUUAUUAUGAAGGCACAAUAAUCUUCUUUGCUAAGAGAUUUACUUAAGAUGUCAUAAGCUAGAUAGUUUAAGCGUAUACAUCUUAGAUCUUCCUCGGAAGCAUUUUUCUUAUCAUAGCUAGAAGGAAUGAUACUCUUGUCUACAAUUUGUUCUAAUUGUGGAUCUACGGUUCUAAAAGCAUUUAUGACCCUAGUAGACCAUGAAUCAUAAUUAGAACAAUCGAAAAGUAAUAUCUCAAGAGUUAACUCAUUGUUUUCCUUCGGAGGUGUCUUCUUGUUCUUUUGGGAUCUUUUACGAGCCAUCACUUCGAGUUGUUAGACUCAAAAUGAAGUGCCUGCCUCUGAUACCAAUUAAAAGUCGCCUAGAGGGGGGUGGAUAGGCGAAACCUGAAAAUUAUAAUUCUAAAUCCAAACUAGAUCCCUUGAUUAGUGGUUAGAACAAGAUUCACAAUUAUCAGAGAAUAAAACUAAGUCCUUUGCUUGCAACGAGUAUUGUUUUCAAAGAGUGCGGAAUUUAAUCAAUGGCAAUACUACUAGAAAUUUUAAUGGGUAAUAAUGCAAGAGGGCUUAGAUAAGAAGAAGAUAAACACAAGUUCUUUCUUGCAAGGAGUUGCUUCUUUAAAUGAGAAUUUAACUUGAAGCAACACAAAAUAAUAUUAGUAAAUAGUACCGCAAGAGAACUUAUCAAGGGCGAGAACAAACAGAUCACGAGCAAUAAACACAAGGGACACGAGUGAUUUGUUUUACCGAGGUUCGGCCCUCGAAAGCCUAGUCCCCGUUGAGGAGUCCACUAAGGACGGGUCUCUUUCAACCCUUUCCCUCUCUCCACCGAUCACCAAGACCAGCGAGCUCUUCUUCUUCUCAAGGAUCACUUAAGACCCCGCAAGGAUCACCACACUCUUAGGUGUCUCUUGCUAGCUUUACAAGCCUCCAAAACUUUGGAGGAAGUUCAAUGGGAGUCAAAACUCCACGCACAAAUGAACGCAAGAUGUAGCACACACUUUCUCUCAAUGAAUCUCACAAGGUACUAGUGCUAAACUCACACGAGAAGCUUUCUUUUGCUUUCUCUCUUUUUUGUGGCACUUGUUUAGGUUGAAGUGGUCUAAAUCUUAUGUAUAGGAUGGAUCAAUGAAUAGAGGUGGUUGGGAGGGCUUGGAUAUGUCAACUAUAUGACUUGGAAUGUUGCUUGGGUUCCCACCCCUUGAAGUGGCCGGUUGGGUUAUAGCCAGCAACCAAAUUGUAGCCGUUGGAGAAGGCUGCUGGCGAUGGGCGCACCGGACAGUGUCCGGUGAGCCGCCACGUCACCCUGUCGUCAGGGCUUGGAGCUGGUCGACCGUUGGAGGCUUUGUCCUCAUGUGGCACCGGACAGUCCGGUGCCCCUCUGACCUCCUGCUCUGACUUCUGACACGACACUAUGCUGCACUAUUCACCCAUCAGAGUCGACCGUUGCGUGCAGGUAGUCGUUGCUCCACUGGUGCACCGGACAGUCCGGUGAAUUAUAGCGGAGUAGCGCCUAGAAAACCCGAAGCUGAGGAGUUUGAGUUGAUUCACCCUGGUGCACCGGACAGUCCGGUGCGCCAGACCAGGGCACACUUCGGUUUCCUUUUUGCUCCUUUCUUUUGAAGCCUAACUUGUUCUUUUUUUUGGUUUGUGUUGAACCUUAGGCACCUAUAGAAUGUAUAAUCUAGAGCAAACUAGUUAGUCCAAUUAUUUGUGUUGGGCAAUUCAACCACCAAAAUUAUUUAGGAAAAGGUUUGACCCUAUUUCCCUUUCAAAGGGGAAAUGGGGGGUGCGGCCACUAGGGUUUCUUUGCGGGAGAAAAGAAACAAUGCCUCAGAUGACUCUGACUUAGCAUCCAAUGGCCCACAACCCUUUUCCUACAUCCUCGCACCGAAGAUCAACCUUUGGCAACAUUUUUUUGGGAUAUUACACCCCCAACUGCGGACGGUCAGUAACAGCGCCUGAUUUGUGCGGAAUUGGUUGCGCCCGGUGUGGAUUCGAGGGAGAGGAGUGCCCUGCCAGUCGGGUCCCAUGCUCUAGAGAAGCGAGCAGUGGGGCGGAUGAGCUGGCGGGCCCCAGCUACCAGCGAUACGUGGCACGGGCGUAGGCGUAGGUAAGGCUGACCAGCGGGCCAUGGUUAUCGGCAUGCGGGUGCAAGGAGAGGUCGGCCGCGCGGUGGAAUUCUCUAGUGUGCCAGGUAGAGUCGGUCCAGACGCCAUGUUUUUCUUUUUCUUUUCUUUUCUAUUUUUUCCUUUUUAUUUUUGAAUAUCAAAUUUUGAAUCCAAAUUUGUUGUGAAUUUUGUACUUGGAUUAAAGGUAUAAAUGAAGGGUACCAGUUUGAAAAAGAUAUAUUUAUUUUUAUAUAGGUUUUCUUUAUAAGGUAUUCUCUUUUCCUUUUUCCAUUCUAUGUUAUUUUCAAUUUCUAAAUUGAAAUUAGAUCUUAAAUCCCAAUUUGGACAAACAAAUAAACUCCAACAUGAUGCAUAGAUUAUUUUAGGUGUCAUUAGUUAAUUGUUCACUUUAAAUAUUGUUAUGCACAAGUUCCAUUAAGUGGAAGACAAUACAAGUAAGAAGACCAACCUUCUCCUAUUAUUUACAAGUUGGGUAUUACAUUUACUUAUUAUUGGGUAGAUUUACUAGUGCUCUACUUGGUUUUUGGAAUAAUGUUACAUAUGAAAAAUUGAUCAUGAUUUAUUAUUUUUGGUUUAUUUGUUAUGCAUGAUAAGAUUAUUUUGUUUAUUUAGAACAUGGAGAACCACUUGAGAAAAUAGUGCAACCACAAGGACUACUAUGGAUGCAGCCUUGACUAAUUAAUUAUGGAAGCUAGUUAUGAGUUAACCUUACUCGAAAGGGGCAAGAGGGAGGCAUUGCUCAAGUUUAGAUUGGUUCUCGGACUGAUUUGCUUUGUGGUAGCUCAUUAGUAUAGGGAAUGUCUACCACCUCGUCCCGAAACCUUAGUAGGUUUUCUCAUACUAGUGGAUCUUUGUAAAGGCCUUGUAGCAUCCCAAUGCAAUCACACCUCAGAAGUGUGGUAUUGUGCUUGGCCAGCAAAACGUGGCUAGGUGCAAAUUUCUUUGAACUUUUAGUGACUUGUGGGUAAAGAUGUAAAACCUCUACAAAGUGUAAAACUAAUAUAUCAGUUGUGCUCAAGGUCAAGAACGACUCGGACUCUCACAUGAUUAAAUUAUAGAAUUAAGUGAACAUCCAUUUUAUUUUUGGUAUUGCAUUUAUAAUCGUUUAUUUAAUUGAGAUGGUAUAUACUUAGUAACUGCUAAUAAAAGUUGGACUAACAAACUUAAAAGCAAAAUGCUCAGCCUCAGACUAUUCCUUAGUAAUCCUUACACUGCACUUUUUCCUACACACUUGCUAAGUACCAACCAUAAGUGUACUCACCCAACUAAAUUUGGUGCUUAGGAUCAGGUCAACAAGAGGAAGACUACUACGAAGCCAAAUUUAGGCUGUCAUCGCUCCGGUUAACCUACCUGUGGCAUGUUAUUUGGAUCGUCACUAUCAUCAUUAACGUUGUUUAGUUUCUUUUGUUUAGUUAUUCUUGUAAAGACAUUUUAUUUAUAUAAUAAAGUUUGUGACGUUGGUUUCUAUACACUGAGUCAUCUUGUGUGUUACUUGAUCCUGAUGCACAUAUGAGAUGCAUUUAGAUUUGUUCUAAAACCUGGUGUGACUUUCAUAUUUACAAAUGAAUAUGUACAUUAUUAUUUGAGUUUCCAAACUUCUAACUAUUUCUUUAUUUAUAUAUUCUCAAUAUAAAUCUUAUUUAUCUUCUAUGUGCGGAAGAUUUCAUCCAACAUAAUAGAACUCUUCAUCUUUCGAUACAACCUUUUUACUUAUAAACCCAAUAAGUUGGUCUUGCAUUACUUGUAACCUACCCAAAACGAGUACUUCUUCCACCGUCCUUAUUACCUAUGAUUUGGAAAGAUCAUUAGUAAAAAGUGUGAUUUAAUUAAACUAAAAUCUAAUAUAUAUUUUAUAGUGAUGGAAUCAAGAUCAAUACUGCAAAAAAUGUUGAUAUGCAUCAAUAUCUUUGUCCACUAACUUGUUAUCUAGAAUGUAUCAAUAAAUUCACAUACAUAGUAACCACACAUGUUGUUUCCCUUUUCCUAUAUCAAACACUAAAAUAGAGAAAAAUAUGAAUUAUUAUUAGCAAAUAAUUUGAGGGAUCAGGAAGCAACAAACGUAUAGGAAAGUUUGGCUUUAUCUGAAGAGUUUUGUUUAGGCCAGGAUUCUUUUUGUGUAGUCGGUGUCACACCCGGUUUUGGAAGGUAAACUGAAUGUGAACCAUGUACGUGCCAGGAUCAGAACUCACGUACACAACGAUUACAUAAUUGGACAUCAUCAAACAAUGCUUGAAUCAAAUAGCGGAAAGGUACUUAGUUACAUCAAGAUGUUUGAGACAUCCACAGAGUCUAAUACAUAUCCAUAGUGUUCAACAAUAUUAUCAAAGUGCGGAAUAACGAAACGUAGAAGAUAAGCCUACACAGGCAGCUGACUGGGGGUUUGCCACUAAAGUAAACUAGAACUCGUCGUAGUCCUGGAUCUCCUCAAAGUCCUCCAUGUUGCCAACUUCACCUCCUGAGCACUGAGUACAAUGGGGACAACCUGGGGUGGGGUGGUUUGUAAAGCAAGGGUGAGUACACAUCAACGUACUCAGCAAAUGUCCCGUUUUGGCUAAAGUGGACUAGUUCUAUGUGGAGUUAAGGUUAAACAGUUGCUUUUAGUUGGUCAAGUUUUAUUACUAUAAGUAGAGCCAAGUUUUAGUAAUAACCUAGUUAUUACCUAGAGGCACUCCCUCCAUGAGGAAAUACUAGAGAUCAGAUUUAUAACCAUCAUUACUAAUCAUCAUCAUAAAAGUAACCAAAGUUCUUCUAAUCGAAGAGGAUCCCAAGGCUGCUCAUAACCAUGAGCAUGGGUGAUAUACCAUUUUCAUAACACCCUGCAGAGGUUGCACACUUUACCCACAAGCCGUGAUUCCCAUUCUGCCCGGGGUUCUAGCCUCCCCAUUGAUCACUACCAAGGUGACCUAGCAGGGUCUCACUACGUAGCCUUUACAAAGAUUUCCUAGAGGUCAUAGCCGCCCGUUAGAUUUCUCCAGUUUGAUAAACACAGAACAUCUCCCCAGAGGAAGGGUGACUAACAAAACCAAAUCAAAGAACCUCUGCAACCAGCCUCAACAGAGCAAGUACUAUGCCCGGACCCCAUUGACGGCCCUACGGCGAAGCCAACUACUCCUCUGGUUCCUCUAAUUAAUCUGCUAAGGGCGUCCCAUUCCACCCUCAUGGUUGCACUGUUAUCCUGGGUUGUCACUCCCCAAACAGGUCCUUACGGAGAGGUACUCAGGAAACAGCCUGAGCCCCCUAAAGUAAUCACAAGAACCUCAUCAGGAUAACAUCAUCGUUUCAUAUUUAAUCACAUCAUGUUCAUUGAUUAAGUUAAAGCAAUAGCAUAAGCUAACCAUGAUUAACCCAAAAAGGUAAACAAGGGUAAGGUAAAUACAGACUAGUCAAUCCUUAAGUUUCAAUAAUGUAAUGCGGGACUGUGAAUUAUAAAGUAAAGUAGGACAUGAUAGGUCUGAGGACACUUGCCUUCACCAGGUUGUUGCUCAGAGGGAUCUUCGGCAACACAUUCAGGAACUACGAGCUGCUCGUUGUCUAAGUAAAGCGAGCAUACAUUCAAUAUAUUUGGAAGGUAAAAAUGAACGUCACAUCAAACAUGUACAAACAAUGGAACACAACUCAAAAAGAGGUAACAAUAAAUAAAGGAGAAUAAGAUCUAGUUGUAAAAUGGAUAAUCUUAAUUGAGGAUUGAUUACUCUCUAAGUGUUGAAACAUAACUCAAAAAGGUUAAGUAAUAAUUACACAAAGAAAAGAUUAACUUACAACAUGAACUACUCUCAUUUAGGAAUUUGAUUAUCCUUUAAGUGUUAUCCAUAAUUACGUACCUAAUUCUAUUUAUCUCAUUAAGACCUAAAAGUUAAACCAAAAAUGCAAUGCAUGUUACUAAUCUCACAAGAUUAAAUAUAUUUUUAACUCCUAUGGCUUUCAUUUAUUUAUUUCAUUAAAAAAAUAAAUUAACAUAUACAUUAAUCCUAUAUUCUAAGUGUAAAAAUAAAGUUUACAGAUUACAGUUGGUCAUAUUUUAUUUGAACAGAGAAUAAUUUUGUGAACAUUUUGCAAUUUGAACCACUAAAUUUGGAGUUCAUAUGAAAAAGAUAUGAAAUAAACAAGUUUUAAAGUUUGAAAUAUGAAAUUAGGGCUGAAUCUGUGAUUAAAUAAAAGUCCAGGGGGCUAUUCAAAAGAAAAACCAAGGACCUAUGCGCUAAACAGAGGACGGCGGGUUGAUUUCCUAAAACCAGGAGGGUCCUUAAGCAAAACUCACACGCGAAGGGGUACGGGGUAAUUUCAGCCAUCGGAUCAGAGAUCAGCGGCCCAGAUUAGAUCGCGCGGGCGCGCGGACACGGCUGAUAAGCGGGGCCAGGGCGUCAGCGGGCCAGGGCGGACCGACUAGUUGGGCCCAGAGGCAGAGACACGGGAGAGGGGGAAGAGAGAGGGACGGUUGGAUCCAGAUCAGAGGGAUGGGAUUAGAUCCACUCGGGUUAAGUCUAAACCGCACGAUCUCGGACGAACGGCAGGGAUCUAACGACCAGGGGCGGAGACGGGCACGGUGGCGCCGCUCGGUCCCGUGGCGAGAACUCGCCGGAGAUAAGAAGGCCGGCCACGACGGGGCACUAGAGGCUCGAGGACUAGCCUAGGUGCAAUCAAGGCGGUCUGGCGGACUCGGCCAUGGCCUUCACACCGGCGCGGGGGCACCAGAGAGCGCAGACCACGGCGGGGCGGGCUAACGGCGGCGCUGGAUUGCUCCGGCGAGCAAUCGCGCGAGCUACAGAGCGGGGAUAACUAAAUUAAGGGUACUGGUGGGUCGCUCACCUUGAGGGGAAGCGCUGGUGUCGCGAAGCAACAGCGGAGGUGCAGAGACUCGACGGGGUGACGGGGGCGGGGCUCUGGCAGCGCGAAGAUUGCUCCGGUGAGCGUGGACCGGACGCAGCAGAGAGGGAAAGGGCACACCGAAGGGUGUCCCGAGCAGCUGACAGUAAGGCGGAGCUCACCGUGGCACUGGACGGGGCACGGGCGCGACGGCGGCCACAGAACAGGCAGCGGUCGAUGGCGGGCGGUGGCGGAGUUUCCUGCACGUGUGGGCAAAGCGAGAGAGAGGGCGAGAGGUUGGGCAGAGGGCGCAAAUGAGAGAGGAGAGGUGGGCGAGCAGGGCGAGUGGCUCAAAAAGGGCGCGAGGGCGUGGACGUGGCCGGAGAACGCGAGGACGUGGGCGCGUCCACGGCGGGGAGAUCGUGGGCGGGAGGUUGAGGACGAGCUGACAGGUGGCGAUGGCGGGACAGAGAGAGAGAAACGGGCGUGCGUGCGAGAGGACAGGGUCAACAAGCCUGGCCCAUGGGACAGCGAGAGAGAGGGCGCGCUGGUUGGUGCCAACAGGCGGGGCCUGCCUGUCUGGCACAGGGGGCACGCGGGCGAGGGCGCGCGCGCGGGGGCUGGGCUAAGUGGGCCAGUUUGGGCUGAAAUUGGUUUUCCUUUUUCCAGGGAUUUUCUAAUUGCUUUUCUAUUUAUUUUCUCUAGGGUUUUCAAUUCAAAUUCAAAUCAAGUUUCAAAUUCAAACCAAAUCAAAUAUAACAAUUCAAAGAAUAUUUAGGCUCAAUAUGAUGCAACGUUCCAUGACUCAUAAGUUUUGGGCAAAAUAAAAUAAAUAAUCCUUCACUAAUACAACUAACUCUAAUUAAAAGAAAAAGAGAGGGGGAAAGCUAGAGAGAGAAAGAAUCUAGAGUGAGAUAGAGAAGAGUAACAUAUGAAUUUGGAUGAUCAUAAGAAAGAAAUUUUAUACCCCAAAUUCAGGGUGUUACAGCCGGCCCCAUGCACUACAUAAUGAAAAAUGAUAACUAUUUAGUACUUGUAUGAUUCGACCAUUUAGAGGUUGAGAGACUUACUUUCGAAUGGUAAGAAUUACUCUUUAGGAGUCAAGGAUAGUUACAGUGCCUUCUUCCAUUGAGAGCACCACAAGUACCUAGUGAAAGUUGUAGAUAGGUUAUAAAUAUGUAGAGCAGAUUAGAAUACAUAUUUAGUCUGAAAAGGUAUGGAUAUGGAAAGAUAAUGAACACUAACUUAAAUUUAUAUGGAAUAAGUAUGUAUUGCAUAUAGUUUUGCUUGUGAAGAAACUUGAGCACUUUUUGUAAGAUCUCUGACUGAAAGUCUUUAAUUGUCUUUUGAUUUAUAUACACUAGGUCCACGAAGCAGAUAUUGUAAAUUCCUUCUUUACGACAUCUUUUGAUCCAUGAAACAUAAUAUGUGUAAGAUAACUUCAACUAGCAUUGAAUAUAUAUAUUUUUAGUAGUGUAAAAGAGGGAAGACAAACACUUACAGAACCCAGGUGCUGAUGAGAGAAGUGUCUAUAUCUCAAAUAUAUAUUUAAACUCCUGCCAAAUGACAUCAAAAUUGUGCAAGUAUUGGUUAUUUACAAGUACAUCAAAGUUGGUCCAAACACAUUUUCAUACCUUCAUGUACCAGUCAUGGAAUCUGCGCAUUUGUGUUGUUAUUUAAACCCGCCGGAUCUGAAACGGAUGGAUAUGAAUGCAUAACGGUUCAGAUUAAUGAGAUUCUAACAGAGGUCGUUGAAUCACGAUCGGACGACAGUGGUCGGCGGAUACCCGUUCGGUCAUAAGAUUUGUAAAAGAACCCCUGUGGUUAUGACACAUAAACCCGUCGUUCCUCGCCAGUGGAGAAGCUUUACACCUAGGUCUAUGAUACUUUGCAGAUACAUCGCCGAGAACUAAUACUUAAUAUAAAAAUAAUAUGAAAUGACCUACAAUCCCAUUUUAUCUAUAAAUUUCACAUUUUAACUCUGAUUUAGUACGUUCAAGUUGCAAUAUCUUCAUAUAAAUAUUUAGUAUGUAGUGACACACAUUAAUUAGACAUACCAUAUGUUUUUGUAAUCAGAUAUUUAUUUAGCCUAUGUUUGUGGGAUUAGCUUUUCUAAAUAUAAUGUAAUAUUUUGAUUCUAUAGUUAUACUCUGACUAAAUUGACCUCUAAUCAAGAUUUCAAAGAGAAAUGUACACUUGGGCCAUUUCUAUAUUGUUUUGGUGAAUAGAUGCACAACACAUUAUGCUUGAACUAACAUGAUAUUAAGCAAAAGUGUUUGAGGCAAAAUGAGCUCGGAAGAGGAAUUAGUGCAAAUCUAUAUGGAUCAAGAUAAAAGGUAUGCUCUGGACAUUGAGUCAAUUGAUUUGAGUGCUAAUCAUGUUUGUCUAAGUGACAGGAACUCAACUAUGUAAAGUCCAAAAGAAACAAAGGAAGAAACAAAGGAAGAAACAAAGAAAAAGUGCUGGACUACGUAGCACCGGAUGGUCCGGUACCAACCACUGGACAGUCCGGUGUGCACCGGACAGUCUGAUGCAUAGUCUGGCCAACUGGGCACUCUCGAGAAUUCUAGCCUGCAUCGGCUAUAAUUCACCGGACCAUCCACGUGUGGUGCCGUACAGUCCGGUGAGCCAGCGGCCAACGGCUAGUGGCCACGUUGGCACUAGGCCAACGGUCAACAGGCGCACCGGACAGUCCGGUGCCCCCCAGAAGCAGAAACCAACCAAUCAGGGGAUUCUCUGUCGUGCCUAGCGCGCGUACUGUAUAUAGUCUGGUGUGCACCGGACAAUUCAGUGCACCCGCGGAUAGAUGGCAACCAAGGCAUUCCAAAUGGAGCUUCAACGGCUCCUAGCUGCCUUGGGGCUAUAAAAGAUACCCCUAGGUGCAUGGAGUAGUACACCAAGCCUCCAUUGAACAUUAUAAGAAACCUAGACUCCACAAUCACGCAUUUGGUUCAUUGCAUUUGAGAUUUGAGCACUUCUUUGAGCCGCGACUCCACUAGGUUGUGUUGUGUGCUCGCUUCUUGACUUGUGUGCAUGUUGUUGGUGCGAUUCUAGUUCGUGUGUGUGUAUUUCUAUUCCCUCCCUUACUCUUGUGGUUUACUUAUGAUCAACUUGUAAGGAUGAGAGGCUCCAAAUUGUGGACAUUCCUCACAAAGGGAACACUUGAUAAAUGGAAAAAAACCAUGGUACUCAAGUUUGAUCAUUGGAUCACUUGAGAGGGAUUGAGUGCAAUCCUUUACCGAAGGAGGUCACCACAACGUGGAGUCGGCAUUGGCCAAACCACGGGAUAAAAUCACUAUGUCACUUGUGCAACUCUCGUGUCUUGGGAGAUUCUCUAUGAAAAGGGGAGAGGAGCCAACCGAAACAUACAACAGGCUCAAGAUCCUGGUGAACAAGAUUCGUAGUUACGGGAGCACAAGAUGGACGGAUCAUAACGUCGUUCGACUCAUGCUAAGGUCAUUUACAAUUAUUGAUCCUCAUCUUGUAAACCUUAUUCAUGAAAAUCUCAGGUAUACCAAGAUGACGCCCAAGGAAAUUCUCGAUAAAUUUGUAAGCGGGUGGAUGAUGGUAAAGGAAGCAAGGUAUGUGGAUGAUAUUGCAAAUGGACUGCUUCCACUCUAUGAACCGCAACCAAUUGCCCUCAAGGCAACAAGCAGCAAGGAGGCACUACCUAAUAAGGUGGCACAAGUAGAGGCUGUCGGGCUCAACGAAGAGGAAAUGGCGCUUGUAAUCAAGCGCUUCAAGACCGCUUUGAAAGGACGCAAAGAGUAUCCCAACAAGAACAAAUCAAAGGGAAAGCGCUCCUGCUUCAAAUGUGGUAAGUCCGGUCAUUUUAUUACACAAUGUUCCAAUAUUGAAAAUGACUAGGGACAAGAAAAUAAAUGGAAGAAGGAGAAGAAGAACUACAGGAAAACGAAGGGCGAGGCGCAUAUUGGCAAGGAAUGGGACUUCGACUGUUCUUCGUCUGACUCCGAUGAUGCAGGACUAGCUGCCUCCACCUUCGACAUGUCCUCCCUCUUCCCCAACGAACAUCACAUGUGCCUCAUGGCUAAGGAGAAGGUACGUACACGAGAUACCCCCAAGUAUACUUCUUCUAGUGAUGAGGAAUCUGAUGAUGAUGAUGUAGACUAUAGUGAUCUAUUUAAGGGUUUAGAUAGAUCUAAAGUAGAUAAGAUCAAUGAACUAAUUGAUGCCCUUAAUGAGAAAGAUAGGUUGUUAGAAAAACAAGAAUAUAUUCUUUAUGAGGAACAUGAUAAAUUUAUUAAUGUUCAAAAAUCUCUUUCUCUUGAAACUAAGAAAAUGAAUUAUUGUCUUCUGAGCUAUCUUCUUGUCAUGAUUCUAUAUCUAGUCUUAAGAAUUUAAAUGUUGGUUUAAAUGCUAAGCUAGAAAAAGUAAAUGUUGCUAGUUCAACUGUGGAACAUGUCUCUAUUUGCAAUAGAUGUAAAGAUAUCGAUAUUAAUGCUUGCAAUACCCAUGCUGCCACUAUUCAUAAGUUGAAUGAUGAGGUUGCACAUCUUAAUGAUCAACUUAAAAUUUGCAAAAAUGAUUAUGAAAAGUUAAAAUUUGUCAGGGAUGCCUACACCAUUGGUAGACACCCCUCCAUUAAGGAUGGACUUGGUUUCCAAAAGGGAACCAAGAACUUAACAAACCAAAGGACCUCCAAUCUCAACAAGGAGAAAGGGAAGGCUCCCAUGGCUUGUAGCUCUCAUUCGUCACAUGACAAAAAGAACCAUGCAUGUCUUUAUGCUCAUGUUAAGAAUGUUUCUAGUGUUGCUCAUCAUGAUAGGUGUUAUUAUCAUGUUUUACCUACUCGUCAUGAUGCUAUUUUUGAUUCUCAUGCCAUGUUUGCAUCAUCUAGCUCUUCUUAUGCUCAUGGUAGGAAUAAACCUAGCCGCCAUGUUCAUCAUGCUGCUUCUCAUGCGCCUAGGAAUGCAUCAAAUGGACCAACCAUGCUUUAUUAAACUUAUGAUGCUUCAUUUGUUGAGAUUUAGGGCCUAAGUGCAAGAGAGACUAAACUUGCAUCUGGGUUCCAAAGUCUUAUGUGACUAACCUUUUAGGACCAAACAAGAGUUGGGUACCUAAAACCCAAGCUUAAAUCAUCCUGCAGGUUUAUGCAUCCAGGGGCACAAGAUGGAUCAUUGAUAGCGGAUGCACAAACCACAUGACGGGGGAGAAGAAAAUGUUCACCUCCUACGUCAAGAACAGGGAUUCCCAAGACACGAUCAUCUUUGGAGAUGGGAAUCAUGGCAAGGUAAAAGGUUUGGGUAAAAUAGCUGUUGGGGGCCUUCUUCCUUCGAAGGUCCUAAAAAACACGACUAACCAUAUGUUUUUAGUGUGACAUGGGUUAUUUCAGAAGGAAGCUUUGUCUUCAGGAUAUAAGCCUCUUAUGACGAAGGCACACAAGAUGAAAACAAAUCCAAAGAAGAGUAAAACGCCAAAGCUAGCACCAGACGGGAAAGCUUCGUCUCGCAACGAAGCGGAGGAAUAAUGAUGAUGACCGAAGGAGGAAAAGGCCAUCUAGUCCUUUAUAAUUUGUAUUUCGAUCAUGUGUAAACAUUGAGGACAUAAAUGUACUUUUACCCAUGUUGUGUCCCGUGCCUAUAAAUAGAUGAACAGUAACAACGUACUGUUCACGCUCCGAAGGUCCUCAAAAACAUGACUAACCAUAUGUUUUUAGUGUGACAUGGGUUAUUUCAGAAGGAAGCUUCAUCUUCAGGAUAUAAGCCUCUUAUGACGAAGGCACACAAGAUAAAAACAGAUCCAAAGAAGAUAAGAGUAAAACACCGAAGCUAGCAACAGACGGAAAAGCUUCGACUCGCGACGAAGCGGAGGAAUAAUGAUGAUGACCGAACGAGGAAAAGACCAUCUAGUCCUUUAUAAUUUGUAUUUCGAUCAUGUGUAAACAUUGAGGACAUAAAUGUACUUUUACCCGGGCUGCGUCAUGUGCCUAUAAAUAGAUGAACAGUAACACCGUACUAUUCACGCUAGAUUGUACUUUUACUCUCGCAUCCUCGCCUUCGAGCAAGCCAAAGGUAUCAAUAUAAUAUUAACAUUGUUGAUAUUUUUAUAUGUUUUAUGUAAUACAAGAAUAAAUGAAUUAUUAAGAAACUGUUAUCAUGUUUAUUCGUUGGUAUUUCAUGUUUACUUAUUAAGUGAUGAAGGUAUGUCCUUCAAGACCUUCGUCUGAUGAGUAUUAUACUCAUGGGGGAAUAAUGCUUUGGAGGACGAAGGUGUUUUACAAUUAACAAUUGUGUUGCCUUGUUCUUGACUCACAACAUUUGAGAACAAGUGACCAGCAUUGGCGACCACCGUGGGUGAACUCACAUCCACAACCUUCGGCAAGCAUUCACCUUCGACAUGCCGCCGAAGAAGGCAACGGUGCCAGGGGCUGCCCUGCAGCCACUGGACAUAAAUCAGGACCUACUCUCCCUGCGAGAGGCUAGGAGUCAAAAGAGAAAGGCCACCAGCCUAACCCUUUAGGAGGAGCAGCUUGGCCAGGAAAUCAGGGAUUUAGAAACAAUCCACCAGCAGGUACAAAGAAAAAAAGGAGAAAAUGCUUCGGCUGACUGACCUUCAGAAGAAGAUUAACGAAACCGCUGAGGAAAUGCGUCAUCUUACCUAAGAUGACCAGGACCGAAGGCCUCAGCACAGGGAGCUUCAUCAAGAAAGCCCAUGCAAUGAAGACGAAUGGUAUGACAACUUCCAUCAUGGUAACUUUACUUUUGAUGAUGCUUCUCCUCUGGCAGCAGAAUUGCAGGCUACCCCGUGGCCACAAUCCUACAAGCCACCUCAGUUGCCCAUGUAUGAUGGGCACUCAGAUCCAAAGCAAUUUCUGAUGAGCUACGAGGCAACAAUAUCCUCGUAUGGGGGAAAUGAUGCUGUCAUGGCAAAGUUCUUCGUCAUGGCAGUCAGAAGCGUGGCCCAGACAUGGUAUUCCUCCCUUAGGCCAAGGACAAUCACAUCAUGGCAGAAGCUCAAGGACAUGCUAGUCUCUAGCUUCCAUGGCUUUCAGACAAAGCCAAUCACUGCUCAAGCCUUAUUUCAAUGCACGCGAGACAAUGAAGAGUACCUUCAGGCGUACGUCUGAAGGUUCCUGCAUUUGAGAGCUCAAGCGCCUAUAGUGCCUAAUGAAAUUGUUAUUGAGGCCAUGAUCAAGGGGCUUCCGCUAGGACCUACAACCCAAUAUUUUGCUAGGAAACCCCCACAAACCCUGGAGAAGCUCCUUCAGAAGAUGGAUGAGUACAUCCGGGCUGAUAAUGAUUUCCGCCAAAAAAGGGAGGAAGCAUACAAGUUUUCUGAAAUGGCCAGGGGCUUCGAAGGAAGACUUCAUCCCAGGCAUGUCAGGUCAAUCCAUAAUUCCAAUACCAACGAUGAAAGGACCAACAAUGCUCAGAGCAGCCAUCAUAGUUCAUAGUCUUUGGGCAUGCAGCAAACUUCUUACAGACCACCAGCUCCGAGAGACAGGGGAGGAAGAAACUUCAGUGGAGGAAGGUUCGGCAAUCAACCCAUGAAGUUUUUCUGCCUUUUCUGUGGAGAGGACAAGGGUCACACAACCAGGAUAUGCCAGGUCACGAUUCAAAAGCAAAAAAAAUUGCUGAAACUAAGGCGCGGCAAAAUCAGCCGAAGUAGGUCCUCCAUACUGCUCCGUGCUACUCUCCAUACAUCCUAGAAUCUGUAGGCAAUCAACAGCCUACGACUUCUGUAGCUUCAACAAGUCACUCUCAAGCUUCUUGGGCUCAAUUGCCACCACCUCCACCAAUGGCGCCUGCCCCAAAUCAUGAUCAGCAGCCAGAACGGCAUCAUUGGCCUCAACAACAACAUGACCUUUGGGAGCAGUCUGAAGCUCGCACAGUUAAUAGCACUGUGCCCGAAUCCAGGCACAUCUACUGUAGAAAGCUCUGAUUUGUUCUAUUCCUACUAUUUUUUGCUUUUAAAUUUCUGUUGCAAAAGACAAUAUAGGAAGGUUUAACCUUCAACUCGAUGUAAUAAACAUGUGGUUACACCAUCGAGUAUGACAAAACCAAGCUCUGAAGCUCCAAAGAUGUUCCUAAGGGAGCGCAGAGUAAGUUCUGAAGCUCCAAAGACGUUCCUAAGGGAGCGCAGAGUAAGUUCCAAAGCUCAAAAGUCGUUCCUAAGGGAAUGCAGAGCUAAGAUGCCAACUAAAUCAAAGGUGAAGAAGCUCCAAAGUCGUUCCUAAGGGAAUGUAGAGCUUAAAUGCCACCUAAGUAAAAGGUGAGGAAGCUCCAAAGUCGUUCCUAAGGGGAUGCAAAGCUAAAAUACCACCUAAGUAAAAGGUGAAGACUCCAAAGUCGUUCCUAAGGGGAUGCAGAGUCUUGGUGUGUAUUCGCAUGGGUUUUGCCUUCGGCAUAAACAUCAUUUUGCAUCAUUCCAUCAUAUCAUAUCAUAUCGCAUAGCAUCGCAUCAUACAUCAUUUUGCAUAGCAAAAAACCGUGGAGAAGGAAAAUUGCUCCUUCGAAGAUACUUGUCGGAUCAUAAAAAAAUGUGUUGUAGCACAGCAUAUGCCUUCGGGAGAUAUAUUGUACUACACGAAGCUAACCUUCGUCAACAAUGGCAUAAGAAAAGUUCUCUUCUUUGCGAAGCAUGAAAAUAAGGGAAGGUGUUUUUUCGCCAAAGGCUCAAAAACGGUACGUACGUAGAUUUCAUACAUCGCAAAGAGAUAUAUUAAAUUAAUGUACAUACAAAUACUUGAUGUUUGUUUCUUACACAAGACGACAGCCAUACACAAGCAUUACAUUUUAAAGCAUACAAAAAAUUAAUCUCCCUUUAGCACUUUUUUAGCAGCUUUGUGUAACAGCCUGUCGACAACUUCGUUAAUGACUUUAUUAGCAACCUUCAUUAUAUCCAAAGCUUCUUUCAUAAUCGGGUCGGCUUCGGAAUUGUACGGCUCCAGUGGUGGUGAACGGCCGGAUGUAGUGAAGAAUAUGUUGGUGAAUUUUGAAGCUAGAAACGAACAAUGAAGCAAAACUUUAAAAAAGUACCUAUAAUCAUGGCGCGUUCAGCAGCUUCUUCAACUUGUUUAGCCUCCUCUUGGGCAUCGUGAGAUUCUUUCUCAUUCUUUUUAAUGGCUUCAUCAGCCAUCUCACGACCGCCCUUCAUCCAAACAUCAGAAUAAAACCUCCCGCCUAGCAAAGAGGCUUCGGUCGAGCGGUCCUUAGUGUCAUCUGCUGAGAAAAUAGAUUCCGGCUAGGCUGCGGCCUUGACAUGUUCACAACCGGCUUUUUCCAAAAUGGCUGUGACCCCUCGUGCACCGGCGAAAGCGCAGAAUUCUCCACGAUCGCUGAGUAUUUCAUCAAAAGCUUUGAUCUCUUCAUCGAUCCACUGGAUAACCCCUUCAGGAUCACCGCGAAUAAAUUUUUGCUCCGAAGAGUAUGCCCCCACCUUUGCAAAGCUAUCUUUCAACUUCUUCGUGCAUUCCAAGGAUGUUUCGUAGCAUCUCUCCUUGGAAUCCCGAAGCUCUUCAACAUUCCUUUGUACCCUUGAUCUUUCCAUUUCACUUAUUUCCUGCAUCACCUUUCCAACUUCGAAAUUUUCAUUCAUUUCUACAAGCUUUUUCUUCAAAUCUUCGACUUCAGCUUUGUGGGCAUCAGUUUGAGCAUUAAGCUUGAUUUCACUGGCUUUCAGCCUGUCCACUAAGGAAAGCAGUAUUUUAUCUUUCUCAAGACCUUCAUUCCUUAGUGUGAUGACCUUCGAUCGAAGGUUUCCAAGAGCUAUCUGGUAGCUCUCGUUGUCCGCUUCCUUUUGAGCCCUUAAAGCUUUACUUAGAAUUAAGCCCUACAAACAAAAAAUAUAUGUGAGAACAUAAUGAUAGCAAGAAAACCUACAAACAUAGACUAUUUUACAACAAAAGUAUAUAUACCUUCAAGCUAUUAUAAGCAAGGCUAUCUGCAAGAUCGUCCUUUGACAUUGCAGAUAGGCCGAGCUCAAGCUUCGAGAAUCCCAUGUUCCUCAUCAUUUCCCGGCAAACAGAUAUCUCCUUAUUGUCUGGAAAACAAUAGAGAAAGUCAUCUUCAUCAGUGCCACUGUAUACCAAGGAUCCUUGUGGAUACUUCAUAUCCCUGGCAUAUUUCCUAGCUUCGGCAAUCUGCUCUUCUGACAAUUGCUUCCCUAAAGCAUGUCGCACGAUAAACUAUAGCUCUUCAGUAGGUGUCUCGGGAGCAGGAGACCGAAGUUUCUCAGGUACACUUUCUUUUUCCAUGAUUAGAGGAGCAGCCCCCGAAGGAUAUGCUUCGGUAGAAACUGAGGGUCCAGUCUCAGUAGUAGUCUACACCAUACCAGCUUCGCCAUAUUUCUUUAAGGCUUCGCCCUCUAUAUCAGGUGUUGAAGCAGGAGUUUGUACCUUUACAGAUUCCAUGACAGCAUCUAGCACGCUGGCCAUUCUCCUUCUCGGAGUUGCUGCAAAAAUCUUUGAUGCCUUCGGCAGCUCUGUCUCUUGCAAUGGACUCAGAGCCUUCGGUUGCUCUGUCGCUUUCUUCAGUUCGGGCUCUUCGGCUGAUUCUAUCCUAGCUUUGACAGGAGCGAAGCGACUUGGCUCAGAUACGGAAGAAAACCCCUCAAUAGGCUUUGGCACUUCAGCCAUUUCAAUAAGCUUGUGGCGAUGUGUUAAAACUUUAACUUUUUCGACCUUGGCAUGCUAGAAGUCACCGAAGCAGCAGUCUUUCUUUUCUUUCCUUGCUUUCGUGAAGGACAACAGUAAUCGGGGUAUACAAACCUGGUGACAUCAGAUAAUCUAUUCAGCCUCUUUUUGCCUCGACCCCCGAAGGCCGUUGUCAUAGCAUCAUCUUUGGCCUUUGAGUAGGCACCAAGCAAUUCAUCACUGGUUGCUUCAAUGGCAUCUAACCAGUCAUCAUUCGGCUCAUCGAAUUGAUUCCUAUACCUGAAAGUGUACUUUAGGUAAACUAAACCGCCUUGGCUGGAUCCAACAGCAGUCUCCUUUGGCAUCUCCCAUGCAUUUGCAAGUGGCCACACUCUAUAAGCAAUAUGCUCCUGGAUUAAGUCCCUUGUGCCUAUGUAAGUGCAUAUUGUAUUGAAGGUCAUCUGACAUGCUUGUAUGUCAUUCCCAAGGGCAACGGAUGGCCUCCUAAUGCCGAAGCGAGACCAGAUAGGGCGUUGAAUAAUCCCCUUAAUAUCUUCCCUUUUAGCCAGGUUGUUCUUCACAUAGAACCUCUCUGUUGGGGCGAAGGCGAAGACGCCACCCUUCGCUCGAGGCCUUCGCCGUACUCGCUGCACCAACGGUGACAAGACAACGGGCAGACUUACCCUUCGUCUCAUACGCCACCGAAUGAAGACCUGUGACGAUGUCGUCUCAUCUUGCGACAUCCAGAAUGGAGGCCCGCGUGUGAUCCGGCCCAUUGUAACAGGCCCUGCGUGGCCGUUGCGUGUUACAGGCCUAAUUUGUAAAGGCCUCCCUGUAAUUACGGUAUGUAACCCCGCUUUAUGGGAAUAUUUCGGGGAUAACCUAGGUGUCUGAGGGCACAUGCGUCCUUAACAUGGGACGCUGGGCACUCAGAUACCUAUAAAUACCCCCGCACAGUGCCCUUGAGAGGCUAGAUUAACAAAGCUAUUGCCAUCUCGUGUGAAAACCCUGUUUACGUUACUACACACCCCUGUUGGAUCAACUUGCGCCGGAGAGAUUCCGUCCAUAAGGAAACACUCUCCAGUCACGAACCAUGCGAGAUGUAAAAAAGUCUUCGCCGGCCGUGUGGGGGAUAGGAACAUUCUUAGGCCACCAACCCCUGGUAACCUUCAGCAUCCGCGCCGAAGACUCCCGGAGCUCGGGAGAAGACAUCCUCCCCCCGGGGGCCGCGCAUGUCCUCAUCAACUCCCUAGCAAAACCAUUGGAAACACCCAGUCCUCCCGUAGCAGUACCUAGCUUCCUCUUCUUAGAGGAUGGGGCGGCCGCCGGUGCGGGGUCGUCUCCAGUCUCUGCCGCCGGCUUCUUCCCACGACGAUCCACAUCGACUUGCCCGGGAUAACCGCCAUACGGCAGACGGUUCAACUCGAAGACCGUGUUCAAGCGGUCGUUGGACCCGCGUAUAUACCAGCUACGCUGGCCCUUCGUCUUCGGCACGUACCGACCAACAAUCCGCACCGCCCCAUCCUCCGCCUCACGCACAAAUGCGGCAGGAUCGCGGCUAUGCAGAUCCAGUGCGAAGGCGGGACUUCGCACCAGCAUCCCACCACGGGAAGGCAUCUGGCGAGGGCAUACUUCGCCCAGCGCCUAGCCAUGCGUCAAAGGCCACACCCCAUAUGCCACAAACUCCUCAACCAAAUCGCGCCCGCUACUCAGGCCGGCCGCGCACCGCAGGGCCCCUUCGUCUGCAUCCUCCUCCACCACUUCAAACUGCGGGUAUGCUGAGUAAUAAUGCGAGCACAUCUCGGCCACGGGGAGCCCCGGAUGGUCCUCGACUGUGCCCUCCGCAAUGUAGAACCAAAACUCAUACCAGUUGCCCCAUUUAUUGCGGGCGCAAGGAACCAACUCAACGACCUCCAUCGAAGUCUUGCCGGUCUUCGGCGUAAAUGUACAGGACCCAAACUGAGCGAUCUUAUUUCUGAUCAUCCUUUUCUGCCAGUGCAGACAAUAGUACUUCGCGAAGACUUCGACCGAUGGCUGUCCGCCGUACGAAGUCGUCGCCCAGACAUAUUUCGACAGGGCCACCACGGCAUUCGGCGUCAGCUGGUGGAUCUGGACGUUGAAUCUGCGCAGGACUUCUCCCACGAAUCGAUGCGCAGGCAGGCGAAGACCAGCGGCAAAGAACGCCUCGAAGACAACCAACUCGCCUUCUGGCUCGGGGACCUCCUCCGCCUCCGGGACACGAGCGACUCCGCCGCCAAAGUAACCAAGCUGCUGCAUAUCUUGCACGCGGAUCAAGGACAUCCGCGACACACCGAAAUCCACCGUGUCGCCGGCGCGCAACUCCUCUGCCGCCACAGUGCUCAGCGUCUCCUCAGACGACGCGUCGGCCGGCGGUGUAGCGGCAGCAGAAGAAGAAGAGGUCGGCAUCGCUACGUACCGUCGGCGGCGGCGGGCGGUCUGCUUCACACGGGCCAGAUCUCCGACGAACAAGAGCA
rnacentral:lncRNA from 1 species